UUUUUUUCUUGUUUUUGUUUUUCCUUCUUCAAAUUAAUUCGGGAUUUCCAAAAGUUGUCAGUUUAGGAUUUUAUUGGAGAAAUCAUAAAAUGAUCAUGAAUUCAUAAAAUGUUUAGGAAGUCAUAACAUGUCCAGUAUUUAAAAAAACUAUUCACAUUGUUUUUUCAAAAUCAUAAAAUUUUCAUGAACUCAAAAAAAGUUUGGAAAAUUAUAAAAUGUCCAGUAUUUUGAAAAAAUGUUUGCAUUUAUAAAGAAAUCAUGAUUUCGAAAAAAUGUUCGCCAAAAAUACUCAUGAUUUAAGAAAAAAAUGAUCAUGUAUUCAAAACAUAUUUGGGAAUUUGAAAAAAAUGUAAUUUUUAGAAAAUGUUCGAAAAAAAUUAAGCAGGUCUGUAAAUAACGAACAGAACUAACCUGCUUAUAUAGAGGUUUUUUUAAUAUGUAGAGGUUGUUUUAUGAUUUUAUUUAGUACAAGCGAGUCGCGUAAAAAAAGCUUUCCAUAUUCUGCACAACGUUGAACCCAAAAAAAUUGACAAAACUUUCUACGGAUUAGCUUUUGUAAGCUAUAUGAAAAUGAUUAAAUAUCUAAUUUGCCUCCAUACUAUUUUGGUACUAUAGUUUUACUAGUCAGGGUAAACACCGUGACCCUAGGUGAAGGCAGAGACACAUCAUUCAUUAGUCUAGCUCAGGUGGAGUCCAUCAAUACAGUUUUCUCAGCCAGAAAAUAUUUUGUUGUGGUGCCUUAGGAAAUCAAGUCGUGAUGAGACCAUCACAUUUUUAGCCUUUGAAAUGACUUUUUAGAAGUUCCUUAUCUCAUCAUGACAUGAUUCAGACGCAGUUUAUGAAAUCGCAAUUUAAAGGUCCCAAUCUCAUCUUAUCAUAUGUUUCAGACUUUUUAUCUCUACCACAUAUGCAUAAUCUGAUUGUUUUUCCCCCGUUGCAACGCAUGAGCAUAUUUUCUGGUAGGACCAAAAAAUGACAUAUGAACAAACAUAAUUUAGAAAAUUUGAGGAGAAGGCUUUAUUAGUUUCACAAACGUUCUCAUACAAAGUUCUUAACAUAAAGUUUUCUGGCACAGCCUCACGAAUUACAGAUCUGAAAGGAAAGUUAUUGUUAGGCCAGGUACAUGGAAUGUAAAAGCCAACACUUCUCCUCCCACAGCUAAACUAGAGUGACUACGCCAGAGGAGGGAAUGUGUAACCUGCAAGACCAUUCAAUUUGACCCAACAUAUAAUUAGAAUAGGACAAGAAGCAUAUAAAAAUGCAUAAUUAAAAUCUAAAUCGUGUGAAUCCAAAGAAUAACAAAUAUCAAAACUGCAUGUAUGCAAUGCCGAUCAUCAUAAUUCCCUUAAUAUAUUUCACUUACUUCCGCACUUGUAGCCAUGUGGGAACGGCUUCUUGCAGAAAUUGGCAACGUAGCCAACCUUCUCCAUACAAUAUAUCUUCUCUUUCUCCUUGGUGACACCAGCGCAAAGGCAUGGGAUGUUUGCCUUUUGCCACACGGCGCAACAUGCAUCCGAUGGAUCUAGCUUCGGAUUUGCUGGCCAUUGUUGAUACUUAGCACACUCCUUGAUCAUUGCCUGUCGGUCACCCUCGCAUUCGUCAGCUGACAUGGCUACCCCAAUAGUGAGGAUGAUGAAACAUAAGCACAUGAGUUUUGCCAUGACUAUGGCUUUUGUAUCUGCUACACUAGAGCCUUCUCUAUCCCUUUGAUGUUAUAAUUGUUUGUGUGGCUUCUCUGUGAAUGUGUGGGAUACAUGACUUCGUUAGCUAUGGCUUGGUUUAUAUAGCCUUGUUUGAGAUGAUGAUAUGGGCACAUGCAUCAGUUCUAUAUCUUGAAGUUAUGGCACCAUGUCAAGCAAUUAAUAUGUACAUUAAUUGCACUCUAGAGGCUACAUAAUACAUUAGUUCUAUAUCUUGAAGAUACGAUAUUGUAUCAAAUAAUGAAUGUUCACAUUAACUCUAUCUCUACAUGCUAUACCUUGAAGAUAUGAAAUAGCAUCGAACAAUGAAUGUGUAUAUUAACUCCACAUCGACACAUUAUACAUACAUUAGUUGUACUAUAUAUGAUAUAUCUUGAAGAUAUGGUACUGCAUAAAAAAUGAAUAUAUCCAUUAGUUGCACAUCUACAUGCUAUAAUACUACAAUAAUUAUAUAUAUCUUGAAGAUAGAAAGAUGUGGUACUGCACCUAAAAAUGAACGUGUGCAUUAAUUACACAUCUACAUGCUACAACAUUACAUUAAUUAUAUAUAUCUUGAAGGUAUGGUACUGCAUCAAAAAAAAGAAUUGUAUAUUAAUUACACAUCUACAUGCUAUAACAUUACAAUCAUAAUAUCAGCUUUGCUAUUUAACAUCUAGAUGUGAAAUAACUACGUCACAUCUAAGUCUAGAGCCGUUGGAUCUCGUCUAUCUUCAAGAUUCGCGCAAACCUAUUUUUGUCCCGUUAGUGCAUUCGCACGCGACUGUUGUGUGUUGCGCGGCCCAUUUUCAGGUUGAUGCUAGUAGCGGGCCCGGGUGUUUGUCACGAUAGUUGGGCUGGUAGGCCGUUUGUCUCUCUCAGAGUAAUUUUCUCCCUCGCAUUCAUUUUGCCCAUUUCCCAUUCCUCUUCGGCCUCCUCUAGGGGCUCUGGAGAACGAGAAGGGAGAGAGACGCCAUUGGAGUAAGUUUUUUGCCCUGUUCUUAUUUUUUUCUUCCUCUUUGUUUUUGUCCAGUUAUUGUUUCUUGCUCAUAGAUUGAGCACCAUCCCCUCUUCUUUGUUUGUGCAUUCAUCAAUCUAGGGUUUGUCCCGCAAUCGACCCAAAUGUGGGUAGGGUUCCUCACAGAUUAGUACCGUCCCUAUUUUGUUGUGUAUCCAUCUAUCUAGGAUUUGUUCAUCAAUAUAUCCAAAUGUUGGGAGGGGGGGUUCCAGUCGGUCAAGAUUCAGCGGGUCACUGGGUAGUGCGCAGAGAUUCAGUCUAUGCCCUUUUUUCAGUUCAGGUGAUUUAGUGUCAAGGUUGAUUUUAGAUUUUAGUCUAGAUCCAUGUUGUUCCAUUUUUUCAUGUAAGUAUAAUGUUUGUUAAGGAUUGUCCAGUAUCAUAACUUUAUACAUGUGUUCUUUUUUCUGAUUUGCCUUAGUGAACAUUCGGAUCACUUGCGUCGGGAUAAAAUCAACUUUGCUAACAGUCUACAACAACUUUCCUUUUUUAAAAGAUAAGAGCCGAACAUAAACAAAGAAGCACCGCACAAACGAAUCAACUUAUACAUACCUCAUUUUAUUUGUUUUUUCAUGUACCUAGGGUUUGUUCCCAAUCGACUCGAAUGUAGGGAGCAAGGGGAUUUUAAGUAGUCAAGAUUCAAUGGGUGGCCGGAUAGCUUGUGUGUGUAGGUAAUUCAGUGGAUUCAUAGGAUUUUUAUUUUCAGCAGGAGUAGAUUUUCAUUUAGUGUUUUUGCUAGAUUCAGUGGGGGUUGGUUCAUUUUUUAGUUUUUCUAGUUCAUGUUUUUUGUCUGGUAGGUAGGAAAUGAGGUUUAACCCUCGAGUUUGGUUUGAUUACGUGUAGGGUUUGAUAGAUAAGUAAUUUUUUAUCAGAGCUAGUUUCAAUUUGUAUCAAUCAAGGUUCAUUUUAUUUCAUUCUAGAUCUAUGUUUUGUCACAUUUUUUUCAUGUCAGUAUAUCUCUGUUAAUGUUUGCCUAGUAAAUCAUAGCUUAUGCAUUGUGCUUCUUGAUUUAUUUGUAUAUUUAUUGAUUUAACGACCAUUCAGAUGAGAUAUGUUAGGUUAUGGGUGAGGACUAAUGUCGUGCGAUGUUUUUUGUUUGUACCUUGCAUUAGCCUCUAAUUUUUUAUUUUGCUCAAUGAUAGCAACUAGUAUCAUGUUUUGAAUACUAUAUUUUUAUGAGUGCGCGAUCAAUGUAGUUUGUGUAUGCUUUUUUAUGGGCUAAACCAUAGGUACUAUAUGUGUCGUUGCCUGAACUAUGUAUGUUGCCAUAUGCAAAGUAUGACUACAAAAUGACAUACUAUGCAGUUUACUAGUUUGCAUGUCUCAUGUACCAGUUACUAGUUAUAUAUCAUUUUAUUUGUCCAGAUUCUUAUUUUUGGUUUUUGGACAAAGAUGGUGUGUACAGUAGGACCCCGAUAAGGUUUGUUUGAACAUUUGUAUCCACACAUCUCAAGGUAGGAAGCAGUAUUCUUAAUGCUAUGUGACCCCCAUGUCUAAUUUUAUUUAUUCAUUAUUGUUCAGAAAAUGAUGAACUACCUUGUUUGGGAUUAUGAACAUUUGUUCUUUUUCUUUUUUGCAGCUUUAUGAGCUGGUGAGAAUGUGUUAUUUUUUUACUAUAAAUGGCUCAGCUUCUAAACUUUUUUCUUUACCCAUGCAGAAUGGUGUGCCCUAUUUGCCAUUCGCAUUGUGAGAGUGACAACGAGCAGAGAUUUGGCAUUGUCAUUCGCGAGGGCUCCAAAGCAGCAACAGUAAUUCCUUGUUUUAUUGAUUUUUCUUUCCUCACAAAUGUUUUUCAUCCUUUUUAUAUGUGUAAGAUUUUUUGCUAAUUGUUUGAUGCUUUUUCUUUUUCUUUUUUGUAUUUGUUGUUAACAGAACAUCCCACGCACUAAAGGAACCAGUUUCACAAGAUGCCAGGCCCGAACUGGCAUAUAUGUGUUUCCUUGGAAGUAGGCUUGCAACAGAUCUUGGUUCGAUAGGAUAGGACAUGGCUAGAGUUGGGGGUGAAGAAGAUGAAGGAAGUAUGCCCUAGAUGCAAUAAUAAAGUUGUUAUUUAUAUUUCCUUAUAUCAUGAUAAAUGUUUAUUAUUCAUGCUAGAAUUGUAUUAACGGGAAACUUGAUACAUGUGUGAAUACAUAGACAAAAUAAAGUGUCCCUAGUAUGCCUCUACUUGACUAGCUCGUUAAUCAAAGAUGGUUAAGUUUCCUGACCAUAGACAUGUGUUGCCAUUUGAUGAACGAGAUCACAUCAUUAGGAGAAUGAUGUGAUGUACAAGACCCAUCCAUUAGCUUAGCAUUAUGAUCAUUAAGUUUUAUUGCUAUUGCUCUCUUCAUGACAUAUGCAUAUUCCUCUGACUAUUAGAUUAUGCAACUCCCGAAUACUGUAGGAACACCUUGUGUGCUAUCAAAUGUCAAAACGUAACUGGGUGAUUAUAAAGAUGAUCUACAGAUGUAUUCGAAGGUGUUUGUUGGGUUGGCAUAGAUCGAGAUUAGGAUUUGUCACUCCAAGUAUCAAAGAGGUAUCUCUGGGCCCUCUCGGUAGUGCACAUCACUAUAAGCCUUGCAAGCAAUGUGACUAAUGAGUUAGUUAUUGGAUGAUGCAUUACGGAACGAGUAAAGGCAUUUGCCGGUAGCGAGAUUGAACUAGGUAUGAGGAUACCGGCGAUCAAAUCUCGGGCCAGUAACAUACCGAUGACAAAAGGAAUAACAUAUGUCGUUAUUGCAGUUUGACCGAUAAAGAUCUUCGUAGAAUAUGUACAAACCAAUAUGAGCAUCCAGGUUCCGCUAUUGGUUAUUGACCAUAGACGUGUCUGGGUCAUGUCUACAUAGUUCUCGAACCCGUAGGGUCCGCAUGCUUAACGCUCGAAGAUGACUUGUAUUAUGAGUUAUGUGUUUUGGUGGAUCUAGGCAGCUGGAAGGCUCGGGAGCUGGAGUUGUAUUGACUUCCCCACGAGGUGAUAAAUUUUCUUAUGUUCUUCGGUUGAUGUUCCCUUGUACUAAAAAUCAAGCUGAGUACGAGGCCUUGCUCCAUGAUCUUCAUAUGGCUAAGGAGAUGAACUUGAGCCGGGUGAGGUGUUUCGGCGACUCAGAUCUGGUAGCUCGGCAAGUUUCUGACACUUGGGACUCUAAGGAUCCGCUCAUGGCGGCUUAUCUUUAAGAGGUUGAUGCUAUCGUAGGUCACUUCGAGGGUUAUCAAGUUGAACAUGUUGAUUGCAGGAAAAUGAGGUACCCGAUGCUUUAAGACGGUUAGGGUCUCAGCGUAAGCUGGUGCCACCUAAUACUUUCCUUGAUAUUCUGCAUAACCUUUCUGUCAAAUUGCCUAUAGAAGAGGAUCUUGCUAUUCCUGACCCAAAAGCACAAUUGGUGGCAGCUCUUCAUGCUAUUCCCGACUGGACGGUUCCAUAUUUUGGCUUAUAUGACCCGGGGCGAGUUACCCGAGGAUGAAACUUUGUCCAGGCAGAUAACCCAGCGGUCUAAGUCAAUGACUAUUGUCAAUGGAGAGUUGCAUCAUCGCAGUGUCACAGGGGCGUUUCAACGUUGUGUUUCUCCUGAAGAUGGCUGUGAGAUUUUACGAGAGAUUCAUGAAGGAGAUUGUGGUCAUCAUGCCGGUUCUGAGUCUCUCGUAGCCACAACUUUCCAUCAUGGGUUUUAUUGGCUGACGGCUCAUGCUAAUGCUGAGGAUCUAGUAAGUAAAUGUGAUGAUUGUCAGAAGUUUUCACGACGAGCUCAUGUGCCGGCUCAAAAUUUGAGGAUGAUUCCGAUUGCUUGGCCAUUUGCAGUCUGGGGGCUUGAUAUGGUUAGGCCUUUCAAAAGGUCCAAAGAUAAAAAGACUCACCUUUUGGUGGCGGUUGACAAGUUUACAAAAUGGGUUGAAGCAGAGCCAGUUGGCAAGUGUGACACGGCGACAACGGUUCAAUUUAUCAACAAGGUGAUUUUCUGUUUCGGCUUUCCCCAUGGUAUUAUAACUGAUAAUGGAACUAAUUUAUCCAAGGGUGCUAUGAAAGAAUUUUGUCAACGUGAGCAUAUUCCGCUUGACCUAUCAUCAGUGGCUCACCUCAAGUCUAGUGGUCAAGAUGAGAGAACCAAUCAAGAGAUCCUGAGAGGCAUCAAGCCCCGGCUUAUAGUUCCUUUGCAGAGGACGCCGGGUUGUUGGGUCGAGGAGUUACCAUCAGUAAUAUGGAGUAUCAAUACUACCCCCAACAGAUCUACGUGUUACACGCCUUUCUUCAUGGUUUACGGAGUAGAGGCGGUUCUCCCUAGUGACAUCCGUCAUGACUCACCCCGUGUGGCAGCUUAUGUUGAAGAUGACAAUGAAAAAGCACAUCAGGAUGAACUUGACCUGUUAGAUAAGGAGCAUGAUCUUCCGAUGGCUCGUUCGGCGAAAUACCAACAAGAUGUGCACAAGCUAUCCCCGCCUUGGGAAGGGCCCUUUCUGGUCAGCUAUCCCCGUUAUUACAGCCGCCAGGUUAAAACCAGAACCUUUCAAGAAGGUGACUUGAUACUUCGGCUUAUCCAGGAUCAAUCUGAUAUGCACAAGCUAUGCCCGCCUUGGGAAGGGCCCUUUGUGGUCCGCAAAAAUCUGAACAAUGGGUCAUACUACCUUAUCGAUGUUUGACCACAAGGACUCACGCACGUCGGAGGAGGAAACUCGCCGGCCAUGGAAUAUUGCUCAUCUUCGGCCUUACUAUACCCGAGCCACCGGCUCUCCUGAUGAACAUAUUUUGACAAUGCAUAUAUUAUAUUCAAUAUAAUAAAGCCGACAUCCUUGAUAAUUCAGGGCCUCUAUCGUGUCAUUUCUCAGAAACCGAGUCUUUAUAAUUACUUUCUAUGAUCACUUAAAGGCUUGAUGCCGAGUUACAGGGACCAAAGAGAGUUUGUUGCACGGCACAACUCAAACAUAGGUACCCGGUGAGCACAGCUCAGAAAUAUAUCACUUGGGGGCUUCCUGCUCAUCUAGCAUAGCUAUGACUACCCUUGUUGAUCCUGCUUAUAUGCUUGACAUAAAAUGUUACUUGGGGGCUCUUUUUUCAGUGGACGAGAGUUUUUACGACCCUUGUAACAGGCUUAAAAGCCAGGCUUGGAAGCCAGGUGUAUUCACCUAAAAACCUGGGUUAUCCUGCCUUUUUAAGUCAGCUACUCUGCCCAGGUAAUCCUGGAACGACCCGCCGUACUUUUGACAAGUCAAUCUUAUACAAACCCUAAACUUGUCAAAGUUAAAACGACGAUUGUUUAUGUGAGGUCCGGGUUAUAAGGUUUGUAUGAAGGUUUAACUCAGUGGUUGUGCGGCCCUUGAAAGCACUUGAUUUUUAGGCCUGGCUGCCUAUGAAAGCCUUGAUUUCUUGUUAUUUGAUUUGAACAUUUUUGAGGUUCCUCUCCUGUGAACAUAUUAAUGCAUGAUUAAAAACCGAUGAGGGCUAUGAUGCCUUAUGCUUCAUACAUGAAACUACCUGGUGUUUAUUAACCAGGCCUGGCUUUGGACUAUAAUUUGCUAGUGUAUGAUGAUCUUAUAUACUUGGAAGCGCUAUGCUCUAAGUUUUGGGAUGUUACCCCUUGCUGCAUAUGACGUAUUAAGCCGGCGGUAUAUGUCAACUUGCACAAAGCAUUGUAUGCUCAAUCUUUUGGGUUGUCACCCUUAUUGCACUUGUAUAAUGAGCCGGCAGUAUGAUCAAAUAUCAUAGAACAAAGAAAUACAAUCUGCCCUACCUAAUGAUAUCAUAUGCAUAAGUGGCAUAUGUUCAACUGGCAGUUCAACAAUGUUAUGUAACACAAAACGUGCAUGAUGCCACGGCAUAUCAGAGUUCAACUAAAUUAUUACAUGGCUCGGCGAGCCCAAAUGUUUAAGUGUUUUUUCAGAAGAUCAAAUAUAUGAACUACCCAGCGGAUCAAUUUUCUUGACCUUAAUGGCUUGAAGCUUCUGGGUCAUCCUUCGACGGUUCUUCGUCCUCCUCCGUCGUCUAGAAGUUUGCUGAUGACCAAUCAAUGCCAUGCAGGGCUUGGAAUUCAACUUCAUCAUCUAUAAGUUUGGCGGAUCAACUUCAGGGGCGAAAGUAUGCUUGCGGAUUGGGGGGAUCAGAUCCAUCAGUUUAUAAGCUGAUGUGGGAAUCUUCUGAUUCUCCGUAUCAUAAGCCGACUGAUAUUUUGAAAGAUUUGUUACAUCAACAAUCAUACCCGCCAGAGGAUGUAUUUCAUUCACACAGGCAGCAAAGUCUUUCUGGUCAAACAGAGUGCCAUCUUCUUUCAAGCUUGGAUACCCACUAGCUACCUCGGACGUGUCUAGCUCUGGUAGCCAUGCCUUAGCCCGGCUUAAGGCCGUCACAGCAUCGGCUCUUGCAGUGUAACGCCCUCGAUGCGGCUAUAUCUCCCACAUGUCGAAGCACGACUUAGAGGCAUAACCGCAUUGAAAGCAAUGUCGUAAGUGAGGUAAUCUUCACACAACCCAUGUAAUACAUAAGGGAAAGAGAUACAUAGUUGGCUUACAAUCGCCACUUCACACAAUUACAUGAAUAAAGCAUUACAUCACCCAGGUGCAAUCAAGGUCCGGCUACGGAACCAAAAUAAAAGAAGACUAUCCCAAAUGCUACACAGAUCCCCGAUCAUCCCGACUGGGCUCCACUACUGAUCAAAUAGAACGAAACAACACAAAGGACAAGAUCUUCAUCGAGCUCCUCCUUGAGCUUGGUUGCGCCACCUGCACGGUUCAACGGCACCUGCAAGCUGGUUUUGGAAGUAUCUGUGAGUCACGGGGACUCAGCAAUCUCACACCCUCGCGAUCAAGACUAUUUAAGCUUAUGGGUAAGGGUAAAAGGUAUGGGGUGGAGCUGCAACAAGCGACUAGCAUAUAUGGUGGCUAAACAUACGCAAAUGAGAGCGAGAAGAGAAGGCAAAGUAGGGUCGAACAACUAUGAUCAAGAAGUGAUCCUAGAACAACCUACGUCAAGCAUUACUCCAACACCGUGUUCAGUUCCCGGACUCCGCCGGAAAGAGACCAUCAUGGUUACACACGCGAUUGAUGUAUUUUAAUUAAGGUCAACUUCAGGUUUUCUACAACCGGAAAUUAACAAAUUCCCAUCUGCCCAUAACCGCGGGCACGACUUUCGAAAGUUCAAAUCCCUACAGGGGAGUCCCAACUUAGCCCAUCACAAGCUCUCACGGUCAACGAAGGAUAUUCCUUCUCCCGAGACAUUCCGAUCAGGCUCGGCAUCCCGGUUACAAGACAUCCUCGACAAUGGUAAAACAAGUCCAGCAACACCGCCUGAAUGUGCCGACAAAUCCCGAUAGGAGCUGCACAUAUCUCGUUCUCAGGGCACACUCAGAUGAGCUCUCCAUACAACUAAAACCAAACCUUGAGUAUCCCCGAGGGGGCGCUGCACAGGGCUCUAGUUUGGACCAACACUCAGAGGAGCACUGGCCUGGGGGGUUAAAAUAAUGAUGACCCUUGAGUCUGCAGAACCCAAGGGAAUGAAAAGGCUAGGUGGCAAAUGGUAAAACCAAGGUUGGGCAUUACUGGAGGAGUUUUAUUCAAGGCGAACUGUCAAGGGGUUCCCAUUAUAACCCAACCGCGUAAGGAACACAAAAUCCGGGAACAUAACACCGAUAUGACGGAAACUAGGGUGGCAAGAGUGGAACAAAACACCAGGCAUAAGGCCGAGCCUUCCACCCUUUACCAAGUAUAUAGAUGCAUUAAUUAAAUAAGAGAUAUUGUGAUAUCCCAACAGAAUAUCCAUGUUCCAACAUGGAACAAGCUCCAAUCUUCACCUGCAACUAACAACGCUAUAAGAGGGGCUGAGCAAAGUGGUAACAUAGCCAAACAAUGGUUUGCUAGGACAAGGUGGGUUAGAGGCUUGGCCUAACAAUAUGGGAGGCAUGAUAAGCAAGUGGUAGGUAUCGCAGCAUAGGCAUAGCAAAGGAGCGAGCAACUAGCAAGCAAAGAUAGAAGUGAUUUCAUGGGUAUGGUCAUCUUGCCUGAAAUCCCGCAAGGAAGAAGAACAAGUCCAUGAAGAAGAACAACGGACGUGGACGAACGGGUCCACACAAACGCAACGUUAACGGAACCAACCUGAAGAAGCAACACCGGAAAGAAGCACACAACAUAGUAAACAACCACAACAUAACCAUGGCAUGAUGCACAAUCAAGUAUGAUGCAUGUCCGUUUUAAAGAGGCAUGGCAUGGCAAAAUGCACAAGCAAUCCUACAACUUAAGUGGAGCUCAAUAUGCAACGGGAUGCAUAUUGACGGAACACCCCAUUUGAGUUACUUAGUUCGAUCUCGUUUAUGUAGCCAACAAGAUUAAAUGUUGUUAGCAUGGCAAGAGGGUGAAGCAAAGUAAAACUACCUAUCUAGUCAAGUCUAAAUGAGGCCGGAAGCAACGAACAACAAUUCCGGUAAAUCCCCAUAUGCGUAUAUUAUGUUUGGUUUUGUUCUGCCCUAAACCAAAUUUUAGAGUUGUUAAACAUGCAAAGUGAGGCCACCAUGUUAAACUAGGCAUUUUCCACCCCAUUUACAUAUAAAGAUUAUUAAAUUUGGAGCUACGGUUAUUUAGUUAUGGAAUUAAAGCAUUUUAACAUGUUAAUAGAGCAAAAUAAAGAAACCAUCAUUUUAAACAUGUCAAACAUGAUUGAAAGUUGGAUAUUAUUAAACUAGAUGAAAAUCUAGUCAUGAUACAUAUAUGACAUGUUUUAUUUGGAUGCAUGGUUCAAAAGUUAUUAGCAGUUUAACAUAGGGGCAGUUCUGUAAAUAUGCAGUGCACUAGUUAAAUAGAAAAAAAUUGUUCAGCGAAAAAACGUGUCUCAGGCCGAAUCUGGCUGGCCUAACCGCACAGAGAUCUGAAGGGGGGUUCUCACCAUGGGCUUGGCCCAGAUCUGUGGAGGAGGAGGCCUGGCAAGGCACGCUAGCCUUGGACGUGGUCGGCCCACAUGCGCGCGAGGAAGGUGGCCCAGUAGGGAAGCGCUCGUCCUCCUCUGCUCGAGAAGAGGCAGGAGCAUGGCGCGGCGGCUGCCGGCGAUGCGGACGGCGGCGCGACGCGUAGGGAGCCAGAGGACGACGGGGAUGGAUGGAUCCGAGGACGGGUGUUCCAGAUCCGAUGACAGAUGUGGUCCACGACGCUCGGGGAUGCGGGAUCCGGCGAGGUGGAGCUCGUCCAUGGUGGCGGCGGCGGUUUCCUAUGGCAACAGAGGGAGGGAGAGAGCUGGUGAGGAGAGGAAGGAGAACAGGAAGGGAGAGAGAGGGAGGCGAGGGCGGCACUGGCCUGCUGCUCGUCUGCAGGAGCAACUCCGGCGAGGUCCGCGCGGUGACGGGACAGACCGGCGGAGGAGCUCGGAUCGGGAUCUCCCUCUCCCGAUCUGGAGCUCGAAGAGUAGGGGCGGUGCGGUGCUGGCCUCAGAGCCCAGAUCGUGGCCUGGCGCGGGCCUGGCAGCACGGGGGGAUAGGAGCGGGGCAGGGAGGCCACGUGGCACGCCCUGGAUGGCCAGGUGCGGUGGUUGCAGCGGCGCAGGCCAAUGGGGGCUCGCCAAGUGGCGCUGGUGAGGUGGCUGGCGCCGGAUUUGGAGGGGGAAGGCGGCUGGUGGCACAGAAUUUGAGGAGGGAGGCGGCAGGGAGGUAGGGGAAGGGCUAGGCUGCCAAAUUUGGAAGGGGGUUGUCCAUAUAUAGGCAGGGAUGGCUAGGGUUUGGGUUUAGGGGGGGUUUAGGAGCGUUUCAGAGCCUCCGAUCGCGAUCUGACGGUCUGGAACGUAGGGGGUUUAGGUGGGUUGCAGGUGGGUUGUGAAAAGAGGUUGGGCUAAGAUGAGAGGAGAGGAGUGUAGCCCGGCAACUGUUUUCGAAGACCGAAAACGCCCGACGUUUUGACCGACUAUAAUGUCGCUAUAUUUAUCCGUUGGGGCAUCAAACGAACUCCGAAUGCAAUGAAACUUGGCAGGCGGUCUAUCUACACUAUAAUAAGACCACACGCCAACUUUCAACCCAUUCCGAGAACAUUUUCUGGUAACUUAUAAAAUACAAGUUCGGACAUGCCGCGGGCGCUUGCGAGUGUGUCUGGGCUCAGAACGGACAACGGACGGAACUGGGGGAACCCGGACGGAUGCAAGUUUCGAAAACAUGAUGAUGCAAUGCACAUGAUGACAUGACAAGAUGCGACACGCAAGCAAAUGACAAAGCAACAACAACGAAAUAACUGGAAGACACCUGGCGCAACGGUCUCGGGGCGUUACAUGCAGAUGACCGCUUUAUCUCUUCAAUCCUAGCAGGGAGAAUAGAAAGAUUCUUCAAGACGCCACUCAACAGAGUGGGGGCUUGAUUAGCUGGAGAAAUCAUGGCCAGCAUGCGUUGAGUUCCAGUAUAUAGCUGUUCAAUAAGGGUAUCUACGACUUUGAGCUUCACAAGCAUUAUCUGACCAAGAUUGCUACUCCUAGGACCUGUGUAACAAUUGUGGAUUGAUGAGAGACAAUUUAUGACAUGAAAGAAAAGACUCGAUUAUGAUGCUAGUAAUGUUACUUACCAAAGAUAGCAGAAAUCAUCUGGGAUAUGGGGUGUUUUAAGCCGGUAAGCUCAGUGGAUAUCUCUUGAAGAGAAGCUUCAACUUUUUCAGCCUGAUGUAUCAGAGCAGUUCUUUCCUCAGCCCAGGCGGUUCUUUCAGUAUCAAAAUUGGUCUUCAGUUUUUCUGUCUCAGCCAGACUAAAAUUGAAUUUUGAGUCGGCCUUCUGGGUCUCGAAUUCUUGAUGCUCCAGCCGGGUUUUCACAUCCGCCAAUUGUGAUUCAAGUUGAGAAGUGGCGUCCUAUACAUGCACAGAUUUGCAAUCAUAUGCAUAUUUGGGUUACAGGAAUAAAAGUCCCAAGCCUUUUUGCAAGCUCCAACACUUGGCACUUGGGGGCUAAUGCAUACAGAAAAAUUCUUCAUAUAACGACAAAUAUGAACAAGUCCCAAGAACUUUGCAAGCAAGAGCUCUUGGCACGUGGGGACUAAUGCAUAUUGCUCGCGUUUUCAUUACUCGAAACAUCCCAAAUUUUCAAUUUGAUAUGUUAUACAUAGGUCAUCAUAUGCAUAUCAUAUUUUAUUUGCAUUUUGGUUUUCAUCCUAGAAAUUCUAAGCAACUCAAGGACCCACGAAGAGAGUUGGGGAUUUCAUUUAUUUUCAUAUUUGAAUUCUUUUCUCAAAUAUUGAAAAGAGGAUCAUUUAGGUUUUAAUUAUUUUUCCUCUCCGAAAAUAUUUACAAUAUUAAAAAUAAAAGAGAGGAGAUAAUAUGACUUCUCCAAAACAAUAGAAAUAUUGGGGGGAAAUGUUAAAAUCAAAUAAUUAUUUUAUUUGGAUUUUAUUUGAAUUGUAAAAAAAUAUGCAUGUUUCAAAAUUGCAUUUUAGGCCAAGAAAAUGUUCACUAAGUUCUAAAUAUUUAAUUUAGAUGGUGAAAAUUGUUUUUCGCAUUUUUAAAAAAAAUUAUAUAUUUUUAGGAUUUUUUCCUUUUCGGCAGAAUCAUUAAAAAAAAUUGCGCCUGACUUGGCCAACGACCCAGCCAAGCGGGCCGAAGCCCAGCUGCCGUGUCCGCCUUCACUACGCGGGAGCGUGUUGCCGCCGGACUCGUCCCCUUGCCAGACUCUGCCUCGCCCCGCCUUCUUGCCCCCAUCCCCAAGCCGCCUCGGACCCCCCGGCCUCCUAUAAGUACGCCGCCACCCCGCCACCUCCCACCUCGUCCCGCCUCAGCCCCCCAACGAGCCGCCGCCGACGCAAUUGCCGCCGCCGCCCGCACCAUCCCGCAACCGCGCCGGAGCUCCGCCGCCUCGCCUCACAGCCACGGACUCGCGUCGCUGCCGCCGGUUUUUCCGGUCCGUCCCGGUUUUUUUAGAAACCCUAGAUUUGGCUUUUUGGAUCGGUUCGGUUUUUCCUCGGUUUUCUCGGUUUAGGUUAAAUAACGAACGUUGGUUUGUUAGUUCAUUUUAACGAGUGAAUUUUGCCCGUUUGCCUCUGUUAGCGAACGUUCGCGCCUUAGUCUUUUUCUUUUUAUUUUAUUUUCGGCCAGGGACCUAUCCGCGAUUAUUUUUAUUGCAGAUUAGCCCCUGAUCUUCAAACCCUCGCAACGUUUUAACCGUUCGUCCAAAUCUAGUGAAACCAAUGCCAAAAUCUUCGUCUCGAGCCUCUCUUUCUGGUUAAUCAACUUGAACAUGAUUUUGACAAUUUAAAAUUUGACAGAUUUGAAUUCGAAGUUCUUUUGACCAUAGUUUCAGUUAUGUAGCUCCGAUUUGACCGAUUCUUUUUGCAAAUCGAAUCUCUUUAGAUGAACUUUCAGAUUGGAUCUUCUUAUUUGGGUUUUACCCUUGCAUCUAUGCUUGAGCGCUUAUGUAUGCUAUUGUUUGUUUGCGAUAGAAUUCCUGGAGUGCGAACCGUGCUACUACGAGUCUCUAGGGUUUGCGGAUCGUCAGCAAGGCAAGUAACACAUUGAUCAUACCCUUUAUUACCCAGUUUUUAUGCAUUAGUUACAACCCUGAAACACUGCAUGAUUAUGACAUGAUUAAGAUGUGAGUACUGGGAAGUAGUUGAUGAUGUAGAACCUAUCGCCCUUUUAUUGUCAAACCCUUGGGAGUUACUUCUACGUGAUACUUAUAUUUCCAUCCUAUGCUCGUAGACGUGGAUUGGGUUUGAGUACCCGUGUGGGCACCUGGAGAAUCCAGUGUUGUCCUAGGAUAUCCCGGAGUACCCGUGUGAUCAUCCUAUGGUUCGCCACACAAGCUCAAAGGGAUCAUAAGAUUAUUCAUGAUAGAAAUUUCCGUGUGUAGCCACAAGCUAUUAUGGGCUCUAGCAUAGUUGAGUAAGUUGCAUGACCUCUUUUAGUGGUGGGCUAGCAGAUGUAGGGUAAAGUAGGUGUAACUGUUCACCCAGAGUAAAGAGUUAAUGUUUCUGAAAGGCUGUGUCUCGGUCAUCCAUUUCUCAAACACCAUGUAGUGCGAGAAAUUCAAUGGAGGAUAUCGUGUCUUGUGGGGAAAAGUGCGCAAACCUCUGCAGAGUGUACAAACUAAUCAUGGUUAGCCGUGUCCCUGGUUAUGGACAUCUUGAGUAUCUGGUUCUUGGAUUAUCAUGUUGAUCUCAUCACUUUAAAUUAAUUUGUUGGGUUUUUAAUACUGCUUAAUUGGGAUUGAGUUGGAGGAAACUUCUCAAUGUUUAACAACUACAAUGAUAUUUAAACAAGAUAUAUUCCUUUGUUGUAGGCAAAAAUUGGCUUUUCGCAAAAACAAUAUAACCAUGGAGCCUCCACCAGCCUCAUAUGCAUGUAGUUACAGCAUUUAUUCUGUUCAUUGCUCUACUGUGUUAUAUUGCCAGCAUAUUCCAUAUGCUGACCCGUUUCGGGCUGCAACAUAUCAUGUUGCAGACUUUUCAGACGAAGAGUAAGGUGAGCUAGGUCGUUGUCGUGCACUCAGCUAUGCCGUUGGAGUUGAUGUACUCACUUUAUCUUUCAAGCCUUCCGCUAUUAUCUUAUUUAGAUGGCCUUAAGCCAUAUUAUUUGUAAUAAGUUCUCCUUUGAGAUAUUCGAUGUUAUAAGUGUGUGAUUGCACUCUAUUAUAAAUCCUUCAAAGUACUGUGUGUGUCAGCAUUACCAAUCCAGGGAUGACACUUAUGCACAGAGAUUUGACUGUUUGAGGACGGAUCGCUACAUUACUACUUUAUGAUGACCCGGUUGUGCUGUAAACAACCACAGCCGGCUCAUGGGGGAUACACAAGUAAGUUUUGAUUUAUAAACAAAGAAGAACAGUACCAGUUCAUUCAUGAUGAUUAAACCGGCCCUUGGGGCCUACUGAUGCAAUGUGAAUCCUUAAAGAUCCGGUUUAACUUUGACGGUGAAAGCCGGCUUUUGAAGGAUUCUACCAAAGAUGCUUUUAUACUCAUAGCUAUUUAAGUCUACCGCAUAUUCUAUUUCUAUUAUACAAAGUAGACUUGGGGGCUGAGAGGAUGAAAGUGCGUUAUAUCGACUAGACGUGGGGUGAAUAGGCGAUUUUUAUGAAAGUCUUCAAAAUGUGGAAGUUAUGAAGACAAACGAUAGAAAUAAACCUAUUACCAUGCAGCGGAAGGUAGACCACACUAGGAAAACCAUAGUCAAGUAUUCAAUGGAGUGAACGCACAAUGACUAAUAGCAGCAAUGUAGUAAGGAGCAGGUAGGAAGAUAUUAUGAAGCCAAACAGAACACGUAGUCACUCAGUGAAGAUACAAGAUAGUGCAAUCAUACAAUGACUUCACAAGGGCCAACAGUAAGUAAAGGGAAGGAAAGGAUGAAACCAGUGGCACGUUGAAGACAAUGAUUUGCUGGACCAGUUCCAGUUGCUGUGACAACUGUACGUCUGGUUAGGGCGGCUAGGUAUUUAAACCUGAGGACACACAGUCCCGGACACCCAGUCCUGAACACGCAGCUCAGGACACCCAGUCCUCACUGUAUUCCCCUUGAGCUAAGGUCACACAGACCUCGCCCAAUCACUCUGGUAAGUCUUCAAGGUAGACUCCAGACUUCAUUCACCGGCGAUCCACAAUGUCUCUUGGAUGCUCAGAACGCGACGCCUAACCGGCUGGAGGAUUCACAGUCCUCAAGUGUAAUAAGUCUUCAGAUCACACAGACAAGAAGACUUAAGUGAUGCCUAAUUCUCUUUGGCUCUGGGUGGUUAGGGCUUUAUCCUCGCAAGGAAUUCUCUCUCAAAGGCUUCGAGGUGGGUUGCUCUCAAACGACAAAAGCCGUACACUAACUCUGAGCAUCCAACCAUUUAUGGUUGUAGGGGGUGGGCUAUUUAUAGCCACUAGGCAACCCGACUUGAUUUGUCCGAAAUGACCUUGGGUCACUAAGGAACUGACACGUGUUCCAAUGGUCAGAUUUAAAGCUCACACGGCAACUUUACUUGGGCUACAAGAAAAGCUGACUUGUCCUACUCUGGACAAGAUUCGCUCUCAUAGUCUUCACUCGAAGACAUAGGUUUUGGUUAAGCAUCACUUCAGACAUUCUGACUGGUUCUCUUGGACCCCACUUAACAGUACGGUGGUUCCUAUGACUCAACAAAGGAGAAAAACAACUACAAAAGAUCUAAGUCUUCGAGCUCCAUAGGCUUCAUGCGAUGUCUUCUCUUUCCAUAGUCUUCAAUGUGAAUAUCUUCAUAUACCACCUUUGACAUCAAUGUCUUCAUACAUUUUUAGGGGUCAUCUCUGGUAGGAAAACCGAAUCAAUGAGGGACUUCUACCUGUGUUAUCCUGCAAUUCUCACAAACACAUUAGUCCCUCAACUAGGUUUGUCGUCAAUACUCCAAAACCAGCUAAGGGUGGCACUAGAUGCACUGACAAUCUCCCCCUUUUUAGUGAUUGAUGACAAACUAGUUGAAGUUUUCAACGGGGAAUAUAAUAUGUGAAAUUGUAAAGGAUAAGGAAUUGUCUUCAUAAGUUGCAAGGGCUCCCCCUGAAGAUGUGCAUAUAAGUAAUUUGCUUUUGGAAUGCAAAUGCACAUGGCAGGUUGUGCUUGUGGAGAUCCUCUUCAACUUAUGAUGACAAUCCACUAUGCAUGUGAAGGUAUGUGAAGAUAAUGACAUGCAUAAUGGAAAAUGGAUGUUUGCAAAAUGAUCUAAGUGCGGAAUUUAUCGUCGCACAUGCGGAAUUUAUCAUCGCAUCACAAAAUGGCAAAUAAGUAGCAGACGACCAUCGAGUUUAAGUGUUACAACUCAAAGAACCAAAUGUAGCAAAACGAGAGUUGUAAACACGAAGAAAAAUAUGAAUUACCCGCCCAUAUGGACCCGCUUGAAGACUAUCAAACUCAUAUGCUUCUCCCCCUUUUGUCAGUAAGGACCAAAAAGGUUUGAAGACACAGAGCAUCUACUCGUUCCCAUGAAGAGUAGGUGAAGCAGCAGGGUCGUCGGUGGUGUUCGGCGGUGCAGAAGAACUUGGAGCAGUGUCGAAGCGUGCUGAAGGAGGUGGUGGUGAAGUAGCAUCGUCUUCAUCCUCGAUCACUCUGGCAUUCACAGUUGCAGCAGAGGAAGAGAACUCAGAGUCUUCAAGAGAUGGAGUUCGUCGCAGCACUGCCCUUCGAGGAGCUGUGGAGUCAAACUUGAAGCGCUCAGAGAAGCCAUCCUCUUGAAGAUCAUCUUCAGAACACAUCAGUGUCAGCCCUUUCCAAGUGCAUCGAGAGGUUUCAUGGGCAAUAAAGGCAUUCUUGGUGGCAAGAUUGCGAAUGCGAUUAACAUCCACCAAGAGGCUUUGCAUUUGACACUUUAGCAGGUCAUGAUGCCUAUCCUGUUUCUGAUGAAGAGCCACAAGAAGCUCUCGGUCGUUGAGAACACGAGUGUGCUUCUUAGGUCGUUGGGCAAUUGUGCUAUCAGUGGCUUUAGUGAGAGCAGGAUGCAGUGCACGUGUAGUGCCAGCCAAAAGAUACACACGAGUGACUGCUUCAACUCCUUCAAUGUUCUGAGAAAAACUUUGAUGCUCUGCAUUCUGAAGACUUAGAGGUUCCUUGGCAGGCUCAGGAUAGAUGGCUUCAAUAGAUAUAUCCACAUCAGGCAGAAAGAUCCGAUGAUUGCGAGUAGAUGGCUGAUAUGAAAUAGCGGAGUGAAGUUUGAUCAGCCGCAUUACCCAUGGGGCGUAGAACUUCAAACCAAACAGAUCAGAGCCUGAUGCAGCAAGUUGGCGAAUGAAAAAGUCCUAUGCAUUGAAGCAUUUUCCAUGAAGAAUAUAAAAGACCAAAGUCAUUGCACCUUCCAGCUUGGCAUGUGGAGAGUGUCCUUUGAUGGGCCAGAGAGUUCGCCUUAUGAUGUGAUAAAUAGUCCUUGGAAGAUACUCAAGGUCUUCAACAAAGAACUCUUUGGGAUAUGCAGCAUCUUGGGGCAAUGGCUUCAUCAUACUGAGCAUCUGACUCAUGUUAGGUUCAGGCUUCUGAAAGAUGCUCUCCACAGCUUCACUGUGAAGUUGACAGCCAGAUUCGUAGAGAUCGCCAGGAGUGGGUAGACUAGUGAGCUCAAUGAUGUCAAAGUCUUUGGCUUCAUGAUGAACGUUUCCUGUCAUCCACUCCAGGACCCAAGUCUUCAGAUCUCUAUUGUACCUGCGGAUGUGAAGUGUGGCAUAGAAUUGUAGCAGCAACUCUUCAUUCCAAUGCUCUUGGUCAGUGACGAACGGCAGCAAUCCAACCUCUUUGAAGCAAUCCAGAGCUUCUUCCAGACAGGGCAGACCAGCUAUUGCUUCAAUGUCAAGAUGCUUGUGUGGGAAGAUGUGACCUUGAUUGUAAAGAAUGCAGGAGUAAUAGCUUCGCUGCGGAUAGCUCCAGAACCGAUCAGAUGAUAUUCUUUCCCUUGAGUAGGGGUUCCUGGAGCUAUUGAAGAAAGUGUUGUCUGCUUUGAAGCCAUUGAUAUUGAAGGAUCCAGGUGCUGAUGCAGGACCUGGGAACCUGGGGAAUCUUGGGAUUGGCUUCUGUACCUGAGGCCUGUGCUCAACAUGAUAGUCGAACUGAGGACCGACAGCAGGCGCAGGAACAGAAGCAGUGGGAUCAGUGGCUUCGCUGACUUCUGGUGCUUUUGUUGGUGAGGGCUCUACAUUAGCUUCAGUCAUGACAACGUCAGUGGCUUCAUUGGUGUUGGUGGUGGCAGCCUCAAGAUUUUCAUCCUCCGCUUGACGAGCUGGAGGGUCAGUCACAUUCAUGUUCUCCUCGAGAACCGCUUCUUGGUGGAACAGGGGAGUUGCAGCUUGUGGGGCUUCUUCUUCAUCGGCUGAUGCAGCCGGAAUGUCUUCAGAAGCUUUAGCUUCAGACCUAGACACUGGAGGCCUUGGUCCUUUGUGAAGCCUGCACAACGCUGGCGACGCCUGUGUAGUUGGAGUUGGCUGGGCCUCAAAGUCUUCUUCCUCUUGUGGACGAUCAGCCCAUGAAGCAUCCUGAGCAAUUGGCAUCAGAGGAUGACCAAUGCUGAUGAGUUCGUUGUGCUCGAGCUGAGGAAGGACUGCAUCAUCUUCAAUAUGGUCAUGGUGACUAAUGUCUUCAGCAGCGAUGGGAUCAGCUGCUGGAAAGUCUUCAGCUUCAUGAGCCUCUGUUAAAGCAGCCUCAUGGAUAGUCAGUUGACGUUCUUGCGGUUCAGCGUCUGGGUGAACCAUGGAGAUGGGUUCGACAAUCAAGGGCUCUGUGGGAGCAGCCCGUUCUUUCCUGGUCUUCCUCUUCUUCUUGGAGGGGGUAGUAGCAGAGGCUUCAGGAUGUUUCCUCUUCCUGGCUUCAGCCUCAGCAGUCCUCAUCUUCUUCAGCUCUGAAGCGGUGGACUGGGCCUUUGGCUUCGAGCCAGUCAUGCUAGUUGGGAAGACAAUGGGAUCUGCUUCCUGCCUUGGUGCGAGAGGUUCGGCCACAAUGGGCUUCUUCUUCUGCUUAGCAGCCAUCCUGGGAUCAAUGCCAGGACGCCCAAGGGCCUUGCGCUUCUCAGCCUCGUUGUAGCCUUGCACACACUUGUCAGUUAGGCUCUUCAUGCGCUCCCGAGAACCCUGAGCUUCUGCGCAUUUCUUGAGGAAGGCUUCUUUGAGCUCGUGCAGCAUAAUCUUGAAGUUUUUCACCUCUUGCACGCUGAGUUUGGCCAUAUGCUUCUUGAACUAAGCCUUUUCAUAGCCAAUCUUUUUCUUUAGUUCGAUGAUGUGCUGAGCGAGAGUUAGCUUUGAAUCAAUGGUGCCAUGAAAGGCGACACUGAGGCCAAUGGGUAAUUGCAGAUCUUCGAAGCUGAUGUUUGGCGUGUCAAACCACUCAUCAAUGAAGUUGUUGAUGAUUUUUACGUCAAAGAGAGGCAGAUCAUUGAAGAUUUCUACUUUUUCUUUGCUCUUGAUGAGUUCCUCAAGAGCGUCAUCUGCAAGAUCUUCAUCACUAGACAGAUCAAUGGCAUUGUUGCGCAGAAUGGCAGCAGCUGUGAGCUCUUGGCCGGUGUGUGGCAGAGGCAUCUUUACCUUCUGGGGCUUGGAGAUGCGUGACAAAUCUUUAGACUGCACACUGUCUUCAAGAGGUGCAGUAGCCAGUGGCUUCGCCCGUGAGAUUUUUGGUGCAGAAGCCGGCUUUGAAGCUUUUGGCUGCUUCAGCUUCUUUGGCUUCGGCGCUACAGGCACUUCAUCUGAUUCAGCGUCAUCUGCAGGCUCAUUCACGGCUAUCUCUUGAACCACGAUGUGAGUGAUGAGACCUUCCAAGUUGUAGAAGGGCCCAAGAAGAUUGGGUUAAUCUUCACGAGUUCCAUCGGCACGGGGAGCAGAGGUACCAGGGUUGAAAUCUAAUCCCAAAGACUUCUUGUUCUGCUUCGCUGAGUUCUGGGCAAACUAGAAGUUGAGCUUAAACAGAUUGUCGUCACGACACCAUAGCAGGGACGAUGGGUCAGCAUCCGCAAGCUAUGGUCCACGGACCAUGCAGGGAUAGAAGCCUUGUUCAAUGGCUUCAUCUCUAGUCCUGGGUUGAAGAUUUUUGUGGAGGAUAUCUCCCCAUGGUCGCUUGAUGGCAUUCUUUUCAGCAUAUUCCUUUGUCACAAAUCUGUACUUGAACCACUGUUCUGCACAAUAGCGUCAAAUCCAUUGGAUUCAUGUCUUGUGCUGAUUGUAAUCCUCUUCAGGAUCUGUCUUGUACAGCUCUGAGAGGUCAUCAGGCAGAUCUCUUAAUGUUUCUCCUCGACGCUUUCUGCCACCCUUCCUUGCUGAUUUCUCUGAAGCCAUGAACUUUAAACUGAAGGGCUUCAAUACGUUCAAAGGCUUCAAAGGUUUUCGCUUGCUGGACAAACAGGAACUGGGUUCGGGAGAAUUUAUGUGAUGCUGUAAGUAUUCUGCAAAUGAAUGCAGACUAUGAGAACCAAGGGAUUCUCCCACGGACAUGUACCUGUGACAGCAUUAGGGUGCGAGGGAAGGGGAAGAGGUCAUAUGCAUUCUCAGAAGAUUUUGAAGAUAAAUCAGUUUAGAAGACAUUGACCUCAUCGUGCGAAGACAUUUACUCAUAGAUAAGGAGUUGGUUCCAGAUUUGUACGAAUCCAUGGAUCAGUACAAGUGAGGAAUCUAACUACUUUGUGAGAUACAAGUGAAUAUACUAGGCAUAUUAUGAGAUGCAGUAUGUAAGAGAUCCAACUUGUGUUAACAGAAACUGCUUGUGGUAGAAAGUGACGAAGCUAUAGGAUCAAGGGGACUGUAGAAAGGAAGUUUUAUUUACCACACGAAGAGCUGCUAGAAGGAGUGGAAGAGGAGACCGAACAGUUCGAUCGUCCGUGCCCUAACCUGGCGACGGAGGACACCUACGGCGACGGCGGAGAAGACGAUGUCCGCGGUCGGCGUGAAUACGGCGUUGGAGAGGUUGCGGCAGCGAAGCGCUUCGUCGCCGGCGUCGUCGAGGGCUAGCGGUGGCGCUAGGGUUCGUGCGAGAGUGGAAGAAGAGAUAAUGACUGCUGUGAGGUGUGUAUUUAUAGGUACAGGAGCGUCACUAUGUUAUUACACAGGUGCCCCUGGCGAUUCACAUCUGAGGAACACGUGGCCAUCAUGCAGCAUAUCGGGGGUCGUUCCACGUCCCACGCACGCCUGGAUUGUCGGGUGGUCGUUCCCACUUCUCCGAGUUUCAGGUGAAGGAAUGAGCAUUGAAAAUGGACUUAAUGGUUGUCUCUGUAUCUUCUGCUGACAAGGACGCAGAGAAGACAUUCGACGGUUUCAAUAGAAUGCAUAUGACUUGGAGAGAUUGAGUUUGAGAUAGAAAGCAUAGAGAGGUUAGGGUCCGAUCACAUUCACUUAGUUCAAAAGAUUCAACAAGAAGACAUAGCUAUACGUGAAUGCUGUAGAGGACAGAACACUAGUAUAUAUAUAUAUAUAUAUAUAUAUAUAUAUAUAUAAUCAACAUAGUGAAGAUAAUCAUGAAGACAUGUUGAAAUUGAAGCCAAACCAAAUGUGAAGACAUAGCAAAUGUAACACCAUGAGUGAAACACUUCAAACAGAACAUUUUGGUGGUGGUGUUACCCACCGUAUAGGAAGUAUUAGACCCAGACACGGCGCACAAUUAUCGUGGCGCUCCGAAGUCAAAUUCCAUAUUAAUGUAUUCACACUUAGAAUGUAUGUCUUCAUUGAUUCAAGAUAUACUUUACUUCGUGUGUUGCACAUCUAAGUCAUCAAUAUGCAUAAGUGUUAGGAUGUGUGCCUGAUCAUAGGACAUUUGAGGAUUCCAAGAUAUUUAGCUCACAUCUUAACUUGCAAAAUCUCUUUUCAUCCAAGGGCUUGGUAAAGAUAUCUGCCAAUUGCUCUUCAGUGUUGACGUGUAUGAUGUCAAUAUCUUCCUUCACAACAUGAUCUCUGAGAAAGUGAGGACGAAUUUCAAUGUGCUUUGUCUUCGAGUGCUGAAAUGGGUUGUUGGCAAUCUUGAUGGCGCUUUCGUUGUCGCAGUAGAGUGGCACUUGCUUCAGAUGAAUGCCAUAGUCCUGGAGUGUUUUCUUCAUCCACAGAAGCUGAGCGCAGCAAGAUCCAGCAACAAUGUAUUCAGAUUCAGCAGUGGAGAGAGAUACACAGUUCUGCUUAUUUGAAGACCAACAUACAAGUGAUCGUCACAGAAAGUGACAUGUGCCUGAUGUAGACUUGCGAUCCACUUUGUCACCAGCAUAAUCAGCAUCCGAGAAUCCAGCCAGAUCAAACUCUGAGCCCUUUGGAUACAUAAUCCUAGAGUUGGGGUGUGAGCCAAAUAUCGAAGAAUUCGCUUCACAGCUAAGUGAUGUGACUCCUUUGGUGCCACUUGAAAUCGAGCACACAUGCAAACACUAAGCAUAAUAUCUGGCCUAGAUGCACAUAGAUAAAGCAAAGAACCAAUCAUGGAGCGGUAUACCUUUUGGUCGAACUCUUUACCAUUGUCAUCAGGACCCAGAUGAUGCUUGGUUGGCAUUGGCGUCGUGAAGCCUUUGCAGUCUUGCAUACCGAACUUCUUCAGGCAAUCUUUGAGAUACUUCUCUUGAGAUAUGAAGAUGAUGUUGCGUUGCUGCCGUAUUUGAAGACCGAGGAAGAACUUCAGCUCUCCCAUCAUGGACAUCUGAUAUUGCUCUUGCAUUAUAUAUCCAAACUCUUCACUGUACUUCUGAUUGGUGCAGCCGAAGAUAAUGUCAUCCACAUAUAUUUGGCACACAAACAGUUCACUAUCAUAUGUCUUCGUGAAGAGAGUGGGGUCUAGGGAACCUGGUAUGAAGCCUUUUCUCUUCAGGAAGUAUUUGAGUGUGUCAUACCAGGGCCGAGGGGCUUGUUUGAGGCCAUAUAGUGCCUUUUUGAGCUUGUAUACCAUGUCAGGAUGUUUUGGAUCUUCAAAGCCAGGCAGUUGUGCAACAUACACUUCUUCUUCAAUCUUGCCAUUGAGAAAGGUGUUCUUCACAUCCAUUUGAUAUAGAAGUAUGUUGUGAUGAUUUGCAUAGGCCAGCAGUAUGUGUAUGGCUUCAAGUCUAGCCAUAGGAGCAAAUGUUUCAUCGAAGUCAAUGCCUUCCACUUGAGUAUAUCCUUGAGCAACGAGACGAGCUUUGUUUUUGACAACUUGACCAUGCUCAUCUUGCUUGUUGCGGUAUAUCCAUUUGGUUCCUAUUAUGUUGUGCUGCCGAGGAUCAGGACGCUUAACCAGUUCCCAUACAUUAUUCAGCUCAAACUGUUGAAGCUCUUCUUGCAUAGCUUGAAUCCAUUCAGGUUCCAUGAAGGCUUCUUCAACUUUCUUGGGUUCUGUUAUUGAGGCGAAUGCGAAGUGCCCACAGAAAUUUGCUAGCUGAGUUGCCCUUGAUCGAGUGAGCGGACCGGGUGCAUUGAUGCUGUCAAUUAUUCUCUCAAUCUGCACUUCAUUGGCAACACGAGGAUGUACCGGGCGAAGGUUUUGCUCUUGCUGAUCAUUGUCAUUGUUAGUGGGAUUGUCUUUAGGCUGAGCAUUGUCUUCAGGUUGAUCAGGUGCCGAGAUGAUAAGUUCCUCUUCAGGUUGAGCUUCAAAGGGUAUGAUUUCUCCGGUUCCGAUAAGCUUGAUUGAUUCGCUGGAUGGAACUUCAUCUAGCACAUUUGGGAGGUGCUCUCUUUGUGAACCGUUAGUCUCAUCAAACCGCACAUCCACUGUUCCAACCACUUUGUAAUGAAAGAGAUUGAAGACUCUGUAGGAGUGCAAAUCCUUUCCAUUUCCAAGCAUUAAACCCUCAUGUGCCUUUGGUGCAAAUUUUGAAGUGUGAUGUGGAUCCUUGAUCCAGCACUUGGCGCCAAAUACUCUAAAGUAACUGACAUUUGGCUUCUUGCCAGUAAGGAGCUCAUAAGAUGUCUUGUUCAGAACCUUGUGAAGAUAAACACAAUUGAUUGUAUGGCAUGCAGUAUCAAUGGCUUCAGGCCAGAAUUUUCUUGGAGUCUUGUAUUCAUCAAGCAUCAUUCGGGCCAUCUCAAUGAGUGUUCUGUUCUUGUGUUCGACGACGCCAUUCUGCUAUGGCGUGUACGGGGCUGAGAAUUCAUGUGUGAUGCCCAAGGUAUCAAGAUAUGUAUCAAGGCCGGUGUUCUUGAAUUCAGUGCCAUUGUCACUUCUGAUGUGCUUUAUCUUGGCGCCAUAGUUAUUCAUUACUCGAUUGGCGAAGCGUCUGAAGACAUCCUGCACUUCAGUCUUGUAGAGGAUUAUGCGCACCCAAGUAUAUCUAGAAUAAUCAUCAACAAUGACAAAGCCAUAGAAACAAGCAGUAGUAGUAAGAGUUGACUAAUGAGUGGGACUGAAAAGAUCCAUGUGGAGCAGUUCGAAGGGUCGAGUAGUUGUCAUGAUUGUCUUUGAGGGAUGUUUGGCCCUCGUCAUCUUUCCUGCUUCACAGGCACCGCAUAAGUGAUCUUUCUUGAACUUUACGCCCUUGAUGCCUAUGACAUGCUUCUUCUUUGCAAGAGUGUGGAGGUUCCUCAUGCCAGCAUGCCCUAGCCUCCGAUGCUAGAGCCAGCAUUCUGAAGCUUUUGCUAGAAGACAUACGGCAAGUUGUGGUCCUGCCAAGAAAUCUACCACGUACAAAUCAUCUUUCGGAUACCCUUCAAACACUAGAGACUUGUCAGAUUCCAUUAGUACAAGGCAACGAUAUUUUCCAAAUAUUAUGAUCAUGUUCAAAUCGCAAAGCAUUGAGACAGACAUUAAGUUGAAGCCAAGGGAUUCAACAAACAUGACUUUAUCCAUGUGUUGAUCCUUUGAGAUUGCAACUCUACCUAGGCCCAAUACCUUACUUUUACCAGUGUCAGCAAAUGUGAUGUGACUCUUGUCGGAUGGAUGUAAGGUUGAGUCCAUAAGAAUGCUUCUUUUGCCAGUCAUGUGAUUGGUACACCCACUAUCAAUAAUCCAUUCUGAAGACGCUGGUGUCGUACCCUACAGUGCAGUUAGGGGGACAGGCUUCACGAAGAGAAUUGUGAAGCAAAAACAUUUGACGAACCAGUGGGUUAUGAAAGCUUAGAUCCAGAUUAGGACUAAUGGGGAGAGAAGCAAGCGAUUCAAGAAUGAAGUACAUAGUAAGACCAUUCGGGCAUUUGAUCUUGCGCCCUACAAGAUGUUUAAGGUCCCCAGCAAUAGCGUCAGACGAUUUUGGUUUUCUGCUGGAGACCUUUCCCUACAAAAGAGAGUUAAGCUUUCUUAGCCACCCACAUCUUCAAGGGUGGCUUAGAAGCAAUAAGUCUAAGUGCAGCGUCUGAGAACUUUGGCUUUGGAGCCCUAGCAAAAAGUCUUGCAGGCGGACAAUAGUACUCACAAGAAUAAGCAGAAUAGUUCUUGGUCUUAUGAACAUGGCGGUUUGAUGAACCGCGCUCAUAUUCAUAGGCCUGAGUAUGGUUUCCCUGCAAAACAUUUGCGUUAGUGCGACUCAGGUGAGUCCUCUGUCUGUAUGAAGCCUUUGGACCGUAUGAUGCCUGUGGUCUGAGGUUUGUCUUCUUCACGUGUGGUGUCAUGAUGACAUUCACAGGAAGAUUCUCCAAACACUUUUUCGGAACCCAGAUCUUAUUCAUAUGCGGUCCAUUCCUGCAGUUAGUACCAAUGUACCUGGCAAACACUUCACCAUUCUGAUUCUUAAACAGUUUAUAGUUUGCAUCAAAGGAUUCAGCAAUGACAAUGGGGUUUGCACAAGUGAAGCCAGAUAGAGUGGAUAGAUCUGCUGAAGAUUCCUUUGCAGCAACCCAUGUGGUUUUGGGGUACUGCUCAGGUUUCCAGUAAGAACCAUCAUCAUUCAUUUUCCUUACGAACCCAACACCCUCUUUCCUCGGAUUUCGGUUCAAGAUCUGCUUUUUGAGGACAUCACAUAGUGUCUGAUGCGCUUUAAGACUUUUGUACAUCCCUGUUUCAAGCAAUGUCUUCAACCUAGCAUUCUCAUCAGCAAUAGUAGUGGAAUCCUCAGUAGAGGGGUUAGUUCCCAUAUCAAUAGUUGAAGAUAUUGCAACAGUAGCAGCAGUAGAACAUUCAGCAACAGUAGUAGCAUUAUCAUGCUCAAUGCAUUUAAGACAUGGUGGUUCAAAUCCUUCCUGAGCGGAACUGAUCUGUUUGGAGCGAAGUGAUUCAUUUUCCUUUUGAAGAUCUUCAUGAGCCGCUCUCAAUUUCUCAAGAUCUUGCUUCCUUUGAAGAUAAUCAUAGUAAAGCUUUUCAUGAGUUGUUGAGAGCGUUUCAUGACGACUUUCAAGUUCCUCAUACUUAACAUGAAUAUUUUUUAUGUCUUCAAUUAAGGACUCAGAGCGAGUCAUUUCAGCGCCUAACAAAUCAUCGCUUUUGUCUAACAGUUUUUGAAUAUGUUCCAUGGCUUUUUGUUGUUCAGUUACAAUUUUAGCAAGUGUUUUGUAGCUGGGUUUUGAACCACAAUCAGAGUCAUCGUCACUAGAUGUUUGAUGGUGAGUAGUGCAUGUGUUUACCUUGGCACCGCGUGCCAUGAAGCAGUAGGUAGGAGCGGAGUGGUCCUUGUCAUUUGCAUCGGUGUCGGUGAUGAAGUCAUUGUCUUCAGUGUUGAAGAUGGACUUGGCAACGUAUGCUGUAGCCAGACUUGCGACGCCAGAAUCGGACUCCUCCUCAGACUCCACCUCCACCUCCUCAGAAGCAGACUCCUCCUGUGAAUCCAUUUCCUUGCCAACAAACGCACGUGCCUUGCCAAAUGAGCUCUUCAUGUGUGAUGAAGACUUUGAAGAAGACUUGGAAGAAGACUUCGAGUAUUUCUUCUUCUUCUUCUUGUCGUCAGAGUCAUAUUCCUUGCUCUUCUUCUUCUUUUUGUUCUCAUUGUCCCACUGCGGAGACUCAGAGAUGAAGUGGCCAGGUUUCUUGCACUUGUGACAUGUUUUCUUCUUGUAGUCAUGAGCAGAAGCUUCAUCAUUCCUUGAGCUUGAUCGGGAAGACUUUCUGAAGCCUUUCUUCUUGGUGAAUUUUUGGAACUUCUUCACAAGCAUAGCAAGUUCCCUUCCAAUGUCUUCAGGAUCAUCAGAACUGCUGUCAGAUUCUUCUUCAGAUGAGGAGACAGCUUUUGCCUUCAAGGCACAAGUUCGCCCAUAGUUUGGACCGUAGAUAUCUCUUUUUUCUCAGAAAGCUGAAACUCAUGUGUGUUGAGCCUCUCAAGUAUGUCAGACAGAUCGAGUGUCUUGAAAUCAGGAUGUUCUUGAAUCAUCAGGGCUAGGGUGUCAAACGAACUGUCAAAUGAUCUCAGUAGUGUCUUGACGACUUCAUGCUUGGUGAUCCCAGAAGUGCCAAGGGCCUGAAGCUCAUUCGUGAUGUCAGUGAGUCGAUCAAACGUGAGCUGGACAUUCUCAUUGUCAUUUCUCUUGAAGCGGUUGAAGAGGUUGCGAAGGACACUGAUUCUCUGAUCUCUCUGGGUUGAGACGCCUUCGUUGACCUUGGGGAGCCAGUCCCAGACUAGCUUAGAUGUUUCCAAAGCACUCACGCGGCCAUACUGUCCUUUGGUCAGAUGACCACAGAUGAUAUUCUUGGCACUAGAGUCCAGUUGAACGAACUUCUUGACAUCAGCAGCAGCGACACUUUCUCCAUCCUUGGGAACGCCGUUCUUGACAACCUACCAUAGGUCGAUGUCAAUGGCUUCAAGAUGCAUGCGCAUCUUAUUCUUCCAGUAGGGAUAUUCAGUUCCAUCAAAGACGGGGCAUGCAGCGGAGACUUUGAUUAUCCCUGCAGACGACAUAGCUAAAACUCCAGGUGGUUAAACCGAAACAUACAGAACAAGGGAGUACCUUGCUCUGAUACCAAUUGAAAGUGCGUUAUAUCGACUAGAGGGGGGGUGAAUAGGCGAUUUUUAUGAAAGUCUUCAAAACAUGGAAGUUCUGAAGACAAACGAUAGAAAUAAACCUAUUACCAUGCAACAGAAGGUAGACUACACUAGGCAAACCAUAGUCAAGUAUUCAAUGGAGUGAACGCACAAUGACUAAUAGCAGCAAUGUAGUAAGGAUCAGGUAGGAAGAUAUUAUGAAGCCAAAUAGAACACGCAGUCACUCAGUGAAGAUAAAAGAUAGUGCAAUCAUACAAUGACUUCACAAGGACCAACAGUAAGUAAAGGGAAGGAAAGGAUGAAACCAGUGACAUGUUGAAGACAAUGAUUUGUUGGACCAGUUCCAGUUGUUGUGACAACUGUACGUCUGGUUAGGGUGGCUAGGUAUCUAAACCUGAGGACACACAGUCCCGGACACCCAGUCCUGAACACGUACCUCAAGACACCCAAUCCUCACCGUAUUCCCCUUGAGCUAAGGUCACACAGACCUCGCCCAAUCACUCUGGUAAGUCUUCAAGGUAGACUCCCAAACCUUCACAGACGUCGUUCACCGGCGAUCCACAAUGUCUCUUGGAUGCUCAGAACGCGACGCCUAACCCGCUAGAGGAUUCACAGUCCUCAAGUGUAAUAAGUCUUCAGAUCACACAGACAAGAAGACUUAAGUGAUGCCUAAUUCUCUUUGGCUCUGGGUGGUUAGGGCUUUAUCCUCGCAAGGAAUUCUCUCUCAAAGGCUUCGAGGUGGGUUGCUGUCAAACGACAAAAGCCGUACUCUAACUCUAAGCAGCCAACCAUUUAUAGUUGUAGGGGGUGGGCUAUUUAUAGCCACUAGGCAACCCGACCUGAUUUGUUCGAAAUGACCCUGGGUCACUAAGGAACUGACACGUGUUCCAACGGUCAGAUUUCGAACUCACAUGGCAACUUUACUUGGGCUACAAGCAAAGCUGACUUGUCCGACUCUGGACAAGAUUCGCUCUCAUAGUCUUCACUCGAAGACAUAGGUUUUGGUUAAGCAUCACUUCAGUCAUUCUGACUGGUUCUCUUGGACCCCACUUAACAGUACGGUGGUUCCUAUGGCUCAACAAAGGAGAAAAAGAACUACGAAAGAUCUAAGUCUUCGAGCUACAUAGGCUUCAUGCGAUGUCUUCUCUUGUCAUAGUCUUCAAUGUGAAUAUCUUCAUAUACCACCUUUGACAUCAAUGUCUUCAUACAUUUUUAGGGGUCAUCUCUGGUAGGAAAACCGAAUCAAUGAGGGACUUCUACUUGUGUUAUCCUGCAAUUCUCACAAACACAUUAGUCCCUCAACUAGGUUUGUCGUCAAUACUCCAAAACCAGCUAGGGGUGGCACUAGAUGCACUUACACAGGAUAUGCAUAAUUUAUCAAGCCGGAGUUCAAACCUCAUAUUUCUGAUGCAUCUGUUUCACCAUAUCAAUUUCAAGAUCGCGGCUGGUGUGAACUUGGUUGAGAUAAUCAGAGAGUACUUCACUGACGCUUAAUUGAGAAUAAUUGGCAAUAUCAAAUCUCACUUUUCGCCUUUCAAUAAAUUCCUCUUUGGCGGAGUGCGCGGCUAAAACGGUAGGUUUUCCUUGAAAGUCGGUGCCAGUGAUCAUAACAUCCUCAGUAUGUGUUUCUGGCGUUUUAAGUGGGCUUGAUGAUUCAGUGUUCAAAGGAUUGAUGUGAGAGGUCAAGAUUUUCUGGUGGAACAUCAUGGACAGGCUCUUCUGACUGUUGUACGGAGGCUUCAGACGCUGGAAUUUGCUACUCCGGUUCAUGGACUUUGGGGUCUUUAGCCGGCUUGGUCACCUUGGCCUUCUUGCUAGGCUUUGCCUUUCCACUACAAAGGGUUGUGGGAGGUUAUUACAAGUAUAAGGAUACAAAGUGGUAGAAAACAAAAAUUGUUACCCAUGGGCAGUCUUGAAGGCCGGCAGCUGGGUCUAUGAUGAGUCAUCGGAAGAGGAGUGAGAUAUCACCUGAUAAUUCGAAUCGGGAGAAUGAAGUGGCUGACGAAUAAGACCCACUAGAGGAUAAAAAGAGUUUAUAUUUGGAGGGACCUCGCUUUGAUGUUUUCGCGGAGCUGGAGUAUUUGGUAAACCAGAGGAUAACUCUCCACCUCCGCUGGUCCGAGUCUGACGCCGGUUCUCGUACUACUGUUUCUUCAAAAGAAAGUGAGGAUCCAAGUAAGCUAAGGGAUGUGAAAAGCUUACUUUCCGGAUUACUCGUCAAUUUUUCUAUCUUGGCAAAGGCUCUGAGUCGGAUGAAAUAAUAGGUACCUCUUCUUCGAGUGUUUGACUGGCCCUCGUGUCAUCCUGAUGAUAAUCAGUGUUAAUAAGAUAAUUGAAAAGGGAGCCAAGGGAGUCAAGGGAAACCUCCAACUCAGUGUUGUCAUCCAGUUCAAACAUCUCAGAGGCACUUAGUUUCUUCUUAUUCUUCUUGGCGGCUUUCUUGAUGACUUUUUUUUGGCCCUGGCUUUCUUAGCAACUUCAUGGUGAUAGUCCUUCUUCCAAAAAGCGGAUUCAGCCCUGGUUGAGUUAAUAGAAUAUUUGAAUGAUAAGGUAAAAUAAAUAAGUUGGAGACUCACGGCUGGUGUCGGGUUAAGUCUGCAGAAAGGGUUUAGUCCCACUUUGCUGCAGCUUUCCAUGUUCUAAGUAAGAAGGGUCUUUGUCAUCUCAUUGAUUGCGUCAUCACUUAAACACGUGGAGUUGUAGCAUAGUGCAUCUUUAGCAUCACCCGUAUAUGUACACAUUAAGCCGGAACGGCGGCUCAAGGGUAUGAUUCUCCAAGAAACCUAGCACCGAACCAGGUCAAUACCGGUUAACCCAUUUCGUAGCAAGGCCUUGACCUUUGAAAUGGUAGGUUCAAGCUUUGACCGUUCAACAGUAGUAAGCCGCUCAGGAAGAUGAUGCUUGGGGUUGAGCCGCUCAGUACGAUAACCCGGCAGUGGAUUCUCAUCAGCCGGAGAGGUAUCUUUACAAUAGAACCUUGCUUGGUUCCAGUCCUUGGGGUGACUUGACAGGCGAGCAUAAGGGAAGAUAGCAUCUCUUCUUCGUAGAAUCGAGACCCCGCCAAGUUCUAAGCUAGGUCCACCGGUAAACUCAUUCUGCCAGUUCAAAUAAAAAUAUUCCCUGAAGAGUUCAAUGAUGGGUUCUUCUUGAAGGUAUACUUCACAGAAAAUUUGAAAAGUAUAGAUGCUUAACACGGAAUUGGGUCCGAUGUCUUGAGGAUGAAUAUGAAAGAAGUGCAGAACGUCUCAAAAAAAUUUGGAGCCACGCGGUGAGAAGCCCCAAUUCAUGUGAUUAGUAAAAACAAUGACCUCACCAUCUUGUGGCUGAGGUCUUUCUUCACCCAGUGUGGGAGCGCGCUAGUGUAGGAUGUUUUUUGCUGGUAAAAAGCCGACUUUGACAAAGUCCUUAAGGGUGUUUUCAGUGAAAGUGGAAGGAACCCAAUUACACGAGGUAAUUGUCUUCGGCAUCAUAAGGGAAGAAGCCUAAAAGAAAGAAAAUUUGCCAGUUUAAGUUGAUUUGUUAAGCCGGAGAUGAACACUGCAGCAUAUAUUCACAUUGACGACUUAAAUGGGGCCUAAUGAUAUAUGACUACUUAUAGCUGGUGUUGUAAGCUGCCAUAACAUUAAUGGUAUUUAAGAUCUAUCAAAGAGCGAAUUAUGCUAAGUGUUGGAUAAACAGGUUUUACACAUGGUGCAAUUAAUGUUUGAGCUACUACUGCUCGGAAAAGAAAGUAAAAUUAAAACCUAAUAUCACAGCAGCGGAGGAACUAGUAUGCUGCCAAGAUUUCUACAUCUGGGAAGCAUAUUCGGUGAUUAAGAGAAAGUACAAAAACAGAUUCCACAUAUUCUAAAAGUCAUAUUUGGAUCGAGGAAAGGAUCAAACAGAGGUAUAAUGAAGAACGACGACGAACUCCUAAGAACUUUAGAAAACCCUAAUGGAGAUCUAUAGUGGAGAAAGGAGAGGUACUUACUGGAUCCACUAAGCGACGGAGAAGCGCCGCAGUUUCUCUGGUCUCAUUCAGGUCGAUGCAGCGACCGGGGUCGAGGAAGAUGACGAGGUCGGCGGUGGCGGUGUUCAGAUGCGCAGAUGCGUUGUGAGAGGGAGAAAUGUUGAAGACGAGAUGGCUAAGGGGGAGAGUGAAAAGGGGGACCCUCGUCCUAUUUAUAAGGCUGGAAGGAUAAGUGGUGUGUGCAGGAAUCGAGGAGACCAAAAAAUGGAUAUGUGACGGCGCAAACACCUUGAUUUUCGGGGGUUCGUUAAAAGAGAAGAUUUAUUAAGACUUGGGCCAUGUGCAAUAUUAAUGACAGGUGACGUCAUGGGGGGUUACCACAAUCCUGGGAGAUGACGUCAUAGCGGGUUACAAGGUCUCGCGAAGAGUAAAUGAAAAGGAUUUUUUCUAAGUGUUGAAGAUUGAUAUGAACAAGUUCAUAUCAACGUGGGGCCUAAUGUUGGAUGAAUGACUAUUUGGUAUGACCCGCUGUCGGUGUCAAAACCAACGGAUCUCGGGUAGGGGGUCCCGAACUGUGCCUCUAGGAUCGAUGGUAACAGGAGGCAAGGGACAUGAUGUUUACCCAGGUUCGGGCCGUCUUGAUGGAGGUAAUACCCUACGUCCUCCUUGAUUGAUAUUGAUGAUAUGAGUAUUACAGGAGUUGAUCUACCACGAGAUUAUAGAGGCUAAAAACCCUAGAAGCAAGCCUAUGGUAUGAUUGUAUUUAUAUAUCUAUCGACUAGCCUGGCCUUGGUUUAUAUAAUGCACCAGAGGCCUAGGAUAACAUGAGUCCUAGCCGAAUACGCCGGUGGGGAGGAGUCCUUGUCUUGAUCACCAAGUCUUGUGGAAUCUUCCAUGUAUGCGGCAGCUGUCCGAACCGGCCCAUGAGUAUACGGCCAUGGGGGUCCUCGGCCCAAUCUAACAGAUCAGGAGACGACGUGGUGAGUACCCCUAGUCCAGGACACCGUUAGUAUCCCCCUGAACCGGUCCUCCUUGAUUCUUCUGAACUGUUCUUCAUCUUCAGUUGUCGAUCUUGAAAACUGGUUCAACAAAUCUUCUCAUCUUCGAUCUUGAGGAUCGCCGAAAUGCAUUCGAUGAGUUUGCACGUCGGGUAUCCGAGGAGCCCCUUUAAGUUGCAGCCUUUAUCAAUGCCUUGUUAUUUUUACGCCACACCUCGGGUUUGAAGUUGUUCCCGGGAGGCAGUGUCCUCUUGCGUCCGAGCUUUAACGCCGGACUGCAUUCGAGGUAUAUUUUGCAGCCGAGCACCAAUGCUGGACUACUUUUGAGCUCCAACGCCGAAAUGUAUCCGAGCUCCAACGUCGGACUGUGUCCAAGCUCCAACGCCGGACUAUAUCCAAGAUGUCAUAGAUCAUCUUGGUCCAAAAAAGUUGAAGGAUUUUAGCCGAGCUUAAUGCCGGAAAUGCCCUCUAUGGAGCUAGCCGCUAGCGCCCGAGCUUUAUGCCGGACUGCUUCCAAGGUAGUGCACUACCCCAACUGCGGGCCAAUUUUUUGUCAAUAUUUUUUAUUGGUGCAAAUUAUUCUGUGCCGAGAUAUAUAGCCAGUAACCCUCAACGUGUGUAUUGGUUUAAAACCCGAGAUGCACUAGAAGGAUGAUGUAAGACCACUGAUCCCAGUAGCCACUGAGACUCAGGUUGAUUUGCAAAAUCGGCCUGAGGAUCAAGUCCUAGCUCGGCAGAAUACUUCGGGAUACAAAAAGUGGCGUGCUCAGUCCUCGAGACUCAGGUUGGGUGCGGCCGACCAACCUGAGGAUCAUAAUCUCGUCGGAAACUUUAUUGCACUUAAAAUUUUCUGCAUUGGACGGGCAAUGCAGUAGCCCCCGAGACACUGGUCGGAUGGCAACACCAGAUCAGGGGAUCGAUGUGCCCCUUUAAUAUUUGUAAAUAAUAAGCCCGAAGCCCAGUAGCCCCCGAGCCUUAAUGCGGGAACGUGUGGCGGAAUUAAGGAUCGCUAUCCAUAGUAAAAUCACAAAUUAUGUGUAAUGACUCUAUGUAUCCAAGUACUUUACAUCCUUAAUGCUCGGAUCCGCAUUGUACAAAACUUUGUUGACCGACCAUGGGCUUCCACCUCCUCGGCUAGUAGCCGAGGAGUGUUUGUCCUACUUUAUAAAGCCUUUAUGAGGGCAAAGAUUUACGACAAACAAGGCAAUCUGGCCACACGGUUUUAUAAACAAAGGUACACAGAGAGAUAUGUUAUAUUACUGUUUAACAUAAGAAAUGUCUUCCAAAGAAAAUAAUCCUGCUAUCGGUUCCUUUCUUUGGGUUGUCAUGCUAAGCAUGAUCAUGAAACCUCAGCUCUAAUGUAAGAGCAAAAUAUCGAGGAUUUAGUUUGGGACGCCAGUUAAUAGCCCCCGGUAGUGUUCAGUGACAGUCGAGGUCAAGCCGUAAACACUUCGGCCAUUGUUAAUGGCCCGUCAUUUAACACCGUCAUCGGAUCGCUGACCAGUUUACGCUUAUUGUGAUAGUCAGUUUUCGGCUUUAUCCACUGAGGUGCUUUACCAUGUGAGCUGGAAGCACAAUCGCAGUGGUUCUCCGUUUGCACACCUAGCCGAAUAAAGCGGAACGUAGGAGGCAAGCACAGGAGCCGGGCAACCCAACUAUUGACCGAAGACACAAUUCGAAACCAAUGCAUAUAUAGUGAGAUCCGAGAAUGUUUUUGCCGAAUCUAUAUAGGUGUCCGGCAUUGCACAGUGAGACUUGUGCUGGAAACACACAAAUAGUUUAAAAGUGCCAAAAAGCUUGGAAAACCAAAAAAUGUCAGUAAAAACAUGACGUCCGAACAAGAUCAAGUGUUCGGUGCCAAUCAGAAAAUUGGAAGAGAAAGAAAAAAUUGUGCUUAUGUCGUGUUUUCACAACAACCAAGAAGAAAACACAUUUACAGCUCAUAUGUAAAUUUUAAGAGCCCCCAAGUGACUUGGGUAAUAAUUUUAUGUAUAAUGAUUGUAUGUACCGAAGUACUUAUAUCAUAUUUGUGUUCACCUGAACUUUAAACGCGUCUUAACCGACCGUCGGCUUCUCCCUCUUCGGCCAAGGGCCGAAAAGUGUCAUGUACUCCGCCUGUCGAGAGUAUCGACGGUGUUUUAGAUGAUGAGGCAAUCAGGCCAUAAGGCUGUAACAGACAAAGCGCGCUCAGGGGACUUAUGCUAUAUUACUAACGAAGUGUAAGAAGCAUCUUCGAAGAAAAUAGUACCCCCACCGAUACCUUUCUUCGGUGCUCAUUAUUACUAUGAGACUUGUUCAAUAUAUUUUUCGUCCUCAUGACUUCCGUUGUGUGCCGACCAUGAUUGAAAACAAUAAGAGCGCUAUCUUUCGACUUCACCCAGUCUGAGGUCAGAGCUUUGAUGACCCGGUCAUGACAAUCGCAGAGGUGCUCCCUUUACUCCCUAGCCGGACAGUCGGGAAUGUAGGGGUAAGCACAGGAGCCAGGCAACCCAGCUUGCUAAUCGCUUAGGUUAAUAUGGUGCAUAUUGUGGCAUAAUACACGAACAAGGAACGAAGCCGUACAAGUAUAAUCAUAUGCAAGAGGAAAAGCUCCAUCAAGGGAGCCCCAAGUAAACGGGGUAUUUGAAUUUGUGUGUCACAAACAAAGUUUUGACAAGGAGAUUCUCUACAAGCAACUUUUUUUUCAAAAAGGUAUAAUGCUUGGUCGAACCGAACACAAGUAAAAAAAUUAAAACUUUGAGCAUGAAGGCAACUUAGCUGGUUAAUGUGUUCGGUAUUGAUGAUGCGGCCCGAGCUUGAUGCGGGACAAGGUUCCAUCCCCCAAGCCGGUCCCAAGGUGGCGGAGCAAAGAGCUCGGCACUUUGAAGUGGUGACAUAGCACGGUUAAUGCGGGCCGGCAGAGUGAUGUCGAAGUCCCUGGCAUGGGGUAAUGAAGUGUUGACGAAGCCCCCCGUCCAGCCGAGGUGACGUGGUAUGUCAGUACGCCGAGUUGACGAUACUGCCCAACCCGGAUCAUUUUCCUGUGCACAAAAAAUAGUACAAACCGAAGAUAAUAGUAAUAAUAAUAAAUAAAUAGAAAUCGUUGCAUAAUAAAUAAUUUAUGCAAAGUGAGUAAUAAAAGAAAUAUGGCCUGGCGCCAAAGUCAAUGUCGAUGCAGGGCUUCGGCGUGAUGCGGUAAAGGCAUGGCAAAGCCUGAAUUCACAGGUCGGUCUGAGUUCCGGAUGCGGCGUUCGCCGGACCAUGUACGGAAACUGACCGAACCACCAUGCGACCAUCGUUAAUGCGGCCAUCAUUUGGUAGACCUGUGUACAUAUGAAGAACAAACCAGAGUAAUAAUUCCUUGGGAAAAAUGAACCCAAACAAGCAAAAAAAUACUAGGAUUAAUAGCACCUGGUUUAUUUGUUGCAGCAUUCUGAAGAAAGGUGAUUCCGAAAAUUUGGACUCGAUCCGCACACCCAUUGCCUGAUGGGCGAUAAAGCGACGGUAUUGCGAUGCUCGCAAAGGUUGGCUCGCCGAGGCAAAGCCCUCGGUCCAGCUAACGUGAUGGAGCUGGUCGGCUAGUGAUGCCGAAGUCUCCGGAGUAGGUUGAUGAAGAGAUGGCGAAGCCCCCAGUCCAGCCUCGAUGUCGAAGCCUCGAUGUCAGCCAAUGAGUCGAAGUAGGUCGGCGUGAAUAACACCAGCUUGAAGAAGCAAUAGUGCAGCCCUGCCGAUGCAGGUCGUGACAUGCUCGAUGCCGGCUUGAUGAAGUGACCGUGCGGCGAUGCCGGUAUGCCCGCUCCGUGUAAUCUCUGGGGUGGCGAUGUUGGUGAUGAUUUAUCCUUCGUGAUGCCGGACUCUUGUUCGCCUUGCCGAGAUGAUGAUCCGAAGAAGUUGAGCUCGGCUCAACAAAGUGACGACGUGUCUAGCGCAGGUCGGUAACCUUGGAGCAAUAUUGCCGGACUGGUUUGACACCAGCAUGAUGAUGGAGAUGACCUCAAGGGAGGCUUCAAAAUUUAUGGGCACGUGUUUAAAAACAAUGCACAAUACCCUAGAAGAGAAUUCCUCUAAAAAGGAUGUCCAAUAUCACGAUCAUAAAGAAACAUUAAUUCGGGUCGGAUCCGUAUUCGCGCAGAAAACGGAUCCGAAAAUUGGUCCACUCAUCGGAAGGUUCCUGUAGUUUGAACCGUCGGAUCGAGCUAAAAUUUGGAGGGGUGGUAGAUAUGGGAAUUCCGCAGUAGAUGAACGGUUGGAUCUUCCAAAGGACCUCCGAGCUGGGCUCUGAAGACCACGCCCUAAACUCGUCCAGAUUCCCGUCCAGAGUUGACAGGGCUCCGGUAUAUCAUAGAUUGUCCGAGAUUCCUCCAUCGGAACUUGAUGAAAUUUUGCAUGGCUGUUGCAGACGUAAUUACGCACUAUUCCACCAAAGCAAUCGUCAAAACGACGCUCGAGGAGGUGGUGACGGCGAAUACAAGUUCGUUGUCCAUAAAAACAGCACGGCUGCCCGAGGGCAAUGUUGACGUUGAGCCCUCGAGCUCCAUGGAUGACUCCUCUUUGAUCAUGAUAGAGAUUCGAGUUGAUGUUGAAAAAGGCCCCCGUCCGAACAUGAUGAUCAGAGAUGGAGCACGGUCCUCGAUCGAGCCAAGGUGACCAGUCGAGCCGGCGUCGCAGUUGACCUGCAGGCGAGCCAUUGAUCCUUUUGCCGAUCACACAGCGGAACUCUUAAUGAAAGCACCAAUGUCGGUGUCAAAACCGGCAGAUCUAGUGUAGGGGGUCCUGAACUGUGCGUCUAGGAUCGAUGGCAGGAGACAUGAUGUUUACCCAGGUUCCGGCCCUCUUGAUGGAGGUAAUACCCUACGUCCUGCUUGAUUGAUAUUGAUGAUAUGAGUAUUACAAGAGUUGAUCUACCACGAGAUCGUAGAGGCUAAAACUCUAGAAGCUAGCCUAUGGUAUGAUUGUAUGUAUAUAUCUAUCGACUAGCCUGGCCUCGGUUUAUAUAAUGCACUAGAGGCCUAAGAUAACAAGAGUCCUAGCCGAAUACGCCGGUGGGGAGGAGUCCUUGUCUUGAUCACCCAGUCUUGUGGAAUCUUCCAUGUAUGCGGCAGCUGUCCGAACUGGCCCAUGAGUAUACGGCCAUGGGGGUCCUCUGUCACAUCCCUAGUUCUGGUAUGACCUAGUCUAGCCUUCAUGUUUGCAUCAUGUUUAAAUUCCAUUUGAAAUUGAAAUGGGGAUUUGUGACACCCUCAGAAUCAUUUCUAAAAAUGACCCAAGUAAAAAUUGCUCCAAAAGGAUCCAAAAAAUGCUCAUGUUGCUCUCUGAAAAUAUUGGACAGAGAUAAAAAUCAAACAAAUAUUUUUAGGAACUCAUAAAUAUUUAGUUUGGACAUUUGGAAUUAAUCCAGUAAUUAUUUGUGUUGGAUAAAUAUUUAUAUAUAUAUAUAAAAUAUUGUCCAAUAAUUUUGAAUUUUGUUGAGGGGCUUUGGAAUAAUCCCUUAGGCCCCUGCAAAAAUUGUGAGAAGAAAAUAAAAUGAUUUAGUGUUUUACAAAAUCAGAAACAAAUGUCAGAAAAUAUAAAAGAAACAAAAAUUGAAAAAUUCUUACCUGGGUUACCACGGCCUGGCACUGUGCAGCCGGCCUGGCCCAGUGGCCCAACAGGCCGGCCCAGCCGACUGGCCAGUGCCCCUCGUCCUCCACCUCCCGCCAGGAGGACGCACGCGCAUGGCCGCCGCGCGCAAGCACACACCGGCCACCUCCUGCCUGCCUGCCUCCCCCCUCGAUGGCCUGGACGCCUCUGGCAUCGCCACGCUACCCCCCAUCUCGCUAUCUCUCUCUCUCUCGUCCCCAUCCCCUCCCUGGCUCUCUCCCUCGCACGCACCGAACGCAGCCACCGCCGCCGCUCAUCGUUGCCGCGGCCAUCACCUCUCUCUCGACCCCUCGCCGUGCCUGCGAGCUCCAUCUCGACCUCCCCGACCUCCUCGACGAGCCACGAGGCCCGGACGUGCUACAACGCCAAUACGCCGUCGUCCUCGUCCUCUGCAUCUGGUCACCACCGACGUUGAUUCGCCGUCACCAAGCCGUCCCCGAGCCCGCCGAGCACCUCGUCUGACGCCCUGUGAGCCACACCAUCUUUCCCCUCUCCUCUUGCGACCAAAUUUGGCCCUAUCUACACCCCCCGCUGCAACCGUGAGCUCACCGCCGCCGUGUUCGUUGCUGCCGCAGCUAGCAACCUCGCCUGACCCAACCGAGCACAUAGUCGUGCUCAGCGUGCUCCUAGGAGGCCAUAGCACCGAUUACCUCGCUCUCCUGACCACCGUAGCAUCGACUCCGUCGAUGGCUGAACUCCGGCCACUGCCACGAGCUCCAUUCCGGCGAGCUCCGGCCGUCCCCACUGCCACCACUUGCCGCGCUAGAUGCGGGUGAGAUCCAGCUCCGUGUAGCUGCCCUCGGCUACUCGUUUGGGCCCCGGGGAAGCGAUCCCGAGCCCCUCCACCGCACGGAAUAGUCACUGCCAGCCAAACUCCGGCGGCCUGACGUGUCAAGAUUAGUUUAGGACUAAUCCCCCCCCCCAUUAGUGACACUGACAGUGGGCCCUGGUGCCUUAAUCUUUUAGUUAAAUUAGAAAUAACCCCCUGUUUAACCUGUGACACUGACAUCUGGACCCCACACAUCAGGUUUGACCUACUCAGCCGCCUUCGACCUGCUGAUGCAAUGCUGCUGUCAUGCUGACGCAAUAUAUCUUUUCUAGCUUUAAAAUAAAUGAGGAAAUUCCAGAAAAUUGCCUAAACUUCUAAAAAUCAUAGAAAAUCAACCGUAACUCCAAAUGAAAUAAAUUAUAUAUGAAAAAUUAUCAGAAAAAUCCAAUCUAUCCAUUUAUGGUACUUUCAUGCAUGUUCAACCAACUUAUACCCACUGUAUAAGUGAAAACAUGAUAAUGGCAUUUUAGAUGCUAAAUAUGGAGUUUGCAUAUGAACCCUUGGUCCAUAUGGACUUCAUUUAAAUUGUUGCUAGAUGCAUUAGUGAAAAUCAUAACAUUAUUGCCAUGUUCAUGCAUCAUAAUGUUGCAUAUGCUUGUGUUUCAUUUUCAACAUCGUUCCUUCUCGAGAGUACCUGUCUGAGGAGCAGUGCCCCCCUGUUGAUCUACCAGGCAAGCAACCCCCCUUGUUCAUUCCGAUACAAUCAUUCUCUCUCGCUCCUGCUCUAAUUUAUUGCAUUAGGACAAAAAUGAUUCAACUGCUACUUUAUGCUGCGGUAGUUGAACCCAUUCCUCUGCAUCACCUGUCAUUGCCAUAGUAAAUAGUGAAAACCCACUAGCAUGUGUAGGAGUUGUUUGAGCCAUGUUGUGUUCCUACCAUGCUUUGCCUGCUAUUGCUUAGAGUAUGUCAGGUCUAAUUCAUCGGGAACGAAUUGGAGUGUUACGAUAUGAUCUGGUGCUGAGAGUUAAGCGUGUGAACACGAUUUGGUAAAGGUAGCGGUGAUAGACCAUGUAGGAGUACAUGGUGGGUUGUCUCAUUAGGACCGUCCUUAAGAACUGAGUUCUGUGUAAGUUGUCCAAUGACUAGCUACUACCACACAUUGGGCUCCAGGCGCUCCAAGCUGUCUCGACUUAUUAACCCCCUUGAUCUCUGUCCAGGAGUUGCAAAUAGUUUCUGGUGUUUGUAGGUAGUGCUAUUUUUCUACCGAGUGGCACCUGGCAGGGUGGACUUGGGACAGACUAGGCACACGUGGCCCGGUGUACCGAGUGGCACCCGGAUGGUGGGCUCAGGAACCCUGUACACAUCGUUUGGGGCCAUGAGCAAAACCCCGACCGGAUCUCCUUGCGGAUGGAACUCGAAUGGGCGAUAAACCUGGACUAGAGUCUUGUGUGGUUAGUCAGGUCGUGGCCGACACCCUCACCAGGCUUCCGCUUGAAGGUUGCCGAGAUACAUGCCGUGUAUAUGGUGAUAAGUGGUGAGAGCGUGGGUGAAGAAGUACACCCCUGCAGGGUUAUCAUGAUCUAUUCGAAUAGUCGUGUCCUCGGUUAUGGACUUCUUGGAUGCUUACAUGGUACAUAGACAACUUAAAGUGGAUAUUCUAAAAUUCUCAAGACAAGUGUGAGUGCUAUGGAUGGCCUUCUCGUAAGGAGACGGGGAUGAAUCCAUAGUAGGGUAUUGAUGUGGUGAUUAGUGGACUCGUGUGCGCUGCCUCAUCUCAAAGAAGUUUCUCAUUAUCGUAGAACAGGAUAGCCACUGAGUCAAAGCUGGCUUGCUGCAACUAAACCCCACAUUACCUUCUUGAUACAAAUGCAUGUAUGAUAGGAUCUGAUGUAACUCUUGCUGAGUACCUUUGUACUCACGUUUGCUUUAUUUAUGUUUUGCAGGUGAGAAAUCUGUCUCACUAGUAGUACCGCUUGGACUUCGAUGAGUAGCUUGUUACCUCAGCUGCGAUCUUGUACCCUUGGGAGGGACUUGUAGAUAGUCAGGCUUCUGAGCCUUUUUCCUUUUGUAGUUGUCUGCACUCAUACAUGUAAUGCUUCCGUUGCUUGUAUGCUCUGAAUGAUGGGUCAUGAGACCUCUGCUUGUAUUAAUGCUAUGUGGCUCUUCUGGUCCUUUAUCUAUGUGAGUUUGCGUUAUGUUGUGAUGCCAUGUUGUACAACACAUACUUGCAUGUUAUGCGUACGUGUGACGUGUAUUGCUAUGUGUGGGAUCCCACAAUCUAGUUGUUUAUCCUUGGCAGCCUCUCUUAUGGGGAAAUGUAGUCCAGUGCUUCCUUGAGCCAUAGUAGUCCGCUAUAGCUCGGUUCACCGGAGUCCUGCUAGCCUAGCACUACUGCUCAGGACACUUGACUGUCCGGCAUGUGUUUCACUUCGUUUCUGUGUCUGUCCCUUCGGGGAAAUGUCACGCGGUGACAUCCGGAGUCCUGCCUAGCCUGCUACAGCCCGGGUUCCCCGGAGUCCUGUUAGCCCAGUGCUACAGCCCGGAUUCACAUGCUGCUGACCGACAUGCUCGAUGUGAAUCAUGUAUGCCUGUCCCCAUAGGUUAGUGCCGCUUUGGGUUCACGACUAGCCAUGUCGGCCCGGGUUCUCUAUCAUAUGGAUGCUAGCGACACAAUCAUAUACGUGAGCCAAAAGGCGCAAACGGUCCCGGGCCAGGGUAAGGCGACACCUGUGGGGAUACCAUGCGUGAGGCCGCAAAGUGAUAUGAGGUGUUACUGGCUAGAUCGAUGUGACUUGGCAUCGGGGUCCCGACAUCCUCGGCCCAAUCUAACAGACCGGGAGACGACGUGGUGUGUACCCCCUAGUCCAGGACACCGUCACCCGCCCAGGAGGGGUCGGGUUAUACCAAUGGCAGUUCAUCAAGACAAGGCCCGUGAAGAUGUUGAAGAUGGCAGUUUAGAUAGCAGGCUUACUAAGGACCCAAAGCCCAAAGGCGGCUUAAGGCCCAUAGGUAUAAACCGCCAUAUGUGUAUGACUUGUAUUGUAAGGCAGGCGUAGUUAGUCACCGAGCCGGACAUGUUGUGUAUGAGCCGGCUGGGACUCCGUGAGCCGCGGGGUGUGAACCUGUGUAUAUAAAGGGACGACCCAGUGACAGUUUGGGGCAAGAAACAAGAGAUCGAAAGCUAGGUCAAGCGUAUUCGCUCCCUGGUAAUUGAAACCCAAGCAAUACCACUUCAGACUGGAUUAGGCCUUUACCUUCACAGCAAGGAGCCGACCUAGUAUAAACUCUCUAUGUCCUUUGUCCCGUUUAAUACCUUUAAGCUAACCAGGUUGUGAUGGCUCCACGACUUAGUCCUAUUGCUAGGACAUAUGUCGUGACAAUUCCACGACACAUGGAGAGAGGCGACACAACACAACAAGGGGCACCACGGGGCGCUCGAACUGCAGCGGCGAGCCAAGACUAAACCAUGACGCUGCACCGUCGAUGCAAUUGGGAAGCACCAGGGAAACCAAGACUGCACAACGCCGCGACACCACCUGUGUCAUGGGUUACAUUCGAACAGUCACACCGGGCCAAGACGACGCCACAACACCUGUGCGCCACCGGCGUAGUUGAAGGGCAUCACCAAGCAUAGAAGUCCAUAGAGCACACCCAAAAUAUCACACAAGGGGCACAAAGGGUGCUCGAACUGCAGCGGCGAGCCAAGACUAAACCAUAGCACUGCACCGUCCACGCAAUCGAAAAGCACCGGGCAACCAAGACUACACAACACCGCAACACCACCUGUGUCAUGGGGUACAUUCAAACGGUCACGCCAGGCCUAGACGAUGCCACGACACCUAUGUGCCACCGGCGUAGUCGAAGGACAUCACCAAGCAUAGAACUCCACAGAGCACACCCGAAACAUCACAACAACGGGGGAUGAAGACAGUGCCAUCAAGAUGGAAACGACAGGAAGCGUCGCCGCCAUCUCGGCCGACCAUGGAUUUCUCCCCAAACCCUAGUCACAACCUCCCACCAAUAGGACGCAGAGCAUCCGUCCAAGGCGUCAGACAUCACUGGAAUGGACGGCCCCAGAUCCAGGAGAAUUCAUCCAGCAGCGAUGUUGGCAGGUACCCUAGACAUGUGGCCAUCAGUGAGGACCACUAGCGAUAACUUGGUAUGCUCGAAUGUUAGGACUGGGAGUUUGCUGGUGGUAGGGUGGCUAGUUUGGCUCUUUUCCUUUUCUUUUGGUCCUUUGUUAGUGGUAUCCUGUAGCCCAAGAACGCUAUGGUUUUUGUUAAUAAAAAUCGGAGGGGUGUGAAGCCCUUCUUUUAUUAAAAAUAAAGGACCACUGGCGCGACGCCCCCUGCAGGCAAAGUCACGAUUCUUUAUUCCAACAGGUAUCCCCUUGGUCGAGUGCUAACCCUUCUCGGCCUCCAAGCCGCUCGCCCUGGGUGCCGCCUCCGUCCUCCAUUGGAUCACCUCGAUGCCCGACGCCCGAAUCUUGCAACCCUCCACAGAUGAAAGUCGCCGCCACCACUAGACCGUUGAUGCUGCGUUCACUAGUGCAGAACUAGGCAAUAGCACCGGUUCGUAAGGCCCUUUAGUGCCGGUUUGGUAACCGACACUAAAGUGUGGGCACUAAAGGUCCCCCCCUUUAGUACUGGUUCAGCACGAACCGGUGCUAAAGGGCAACCACGUGGCACGAGCCAGCUCCGGGGGCAGGGAGCCCUAUAGUACUGGUUGGUGACACCAACCUGUAUUAAAAGGUUGGGGGGUUUUGGGUUUAUGAUUUCUUUUUCAUUUAAUUUUGUGUUUUCCAUUUAAUUUUUUUCGUUUGCUGGUAUUUUACGAUACUGCAUAUUGUACACGUUAUGCAUAUAUAUAAAUAGAAUUUCUAGUAGAACCGAUCAUAUAUAUAUAUAUAUAUCAUCGAAUGUCUCACAACCACCAUUAAUUAAUUCACACAUAUAUACACACACAUAUAUAUAUAUAUACAAUUAGCUAGUUAUAUACAAUUUCUCCUAAUUGGUGCAUUCAGAGCCACUGGCAUUAGCCUAAUUGGUGCCUUCAGAGCACGAUAACAAUUGGAAGUGGUUCAUGGGGGUGGUAGCGGGUAAAAGUAUUCUCCUUUGGGAUCUAUGACCUAGUCGAGCAAAAAUCCCACUAUGUCCUCUUGAAUUGCUUCUAUGCGGUCUUCUGGUAGGAGCUUCUCCUGCACCUCUUUCAACUGUUAAGAAGGAGAUCAAUAUGCAUGUGUAUUAGUUGAGUGACUAGAUAUCGAUAAUGGUGUAAAAAUUGUGAAUAGUGUUCUCACAAACGUACCCACUCCUAUCUUUGAGAUCUGCUCCUUUCGGAUGCCAUCAUGCGAAUGUUCUCACAAACGUAGUAUGCACAUAGAUUAUUCCCCGGCAUCUGCUUCAGGGCCUUUACGAGAAUGGAAUUUGAUCAGAUAAUAAUUUAUCAAGCAUGAUAAUUAAAGAGAUGGCAGCUAGCUAGUACUACUUAAUUACUUACCAUGGGUUGAUACCAUUUCAUAUUUUGUUUCCAUUGGCCUGGACUGACGUUGAUGAACUUUGUCCAAGCCCUGCCCCGCCGACAAAGAAAAUGAAUAAAUGGGUUAUUAAAUAGUUGUUAUCAGGAAAUGACGACCUAAUUAAAUAGGCCGAGAUAUAGUUAAUAAUGAUUGAAAUUACCUAUUGACUAUCCCCUUCACGAUGGUGUAGUCAGUUGGUUUCUUAAGUAGUGAGUCUAGUGCUUCAACUGUUCCUUCAUCAACUUUAAGGAUUAACAAGAUCCAGUGAAAUCUGCAUGCACACACGUUUGCAUGUCUUAAUUAAGCAGGCAUAUGUAAGCAAAAACAUGUAGCUAGCUAGUAGGCAAAAACAGAAUUUGUAGUACAAGACAGUGUGACUCACUCGAAGUUGUAAGGAAGUAGUAUGUCAUCAUUGUAUUUGAGGCGCUUGAAGAACUCUAGCACACUUUCCUCUACACUUUCUUCGUAAUAUGGAUCUAAUUUCCAUGUGUAUUCAUUAAUGGUAUUUGGGUCAACGGACCCAAUGCCAUAGCGUCCACCUUUUUCAUUUCAUAAAUCUUCAUCCUGCAUAAUACCACAGAAAAGAAUAUAGUGAGGAUAAUUACAGGUAAUGAUUGAUCAAAAUGAUCACUACAGCUAGCUUGAGACUUAAAUUACAGAAAGAAAUCACUUACAGACAAUAACAACUGACGAUAGAUUUAUCGAGUGUGUCUUGAUUGUAUAACUGAAAUAGUUAUGAACACUCGACGGACACAACUUUCUCAUGGUAGUAAUGAUCCUCCUUGACAUUCACCAUGAGGGACUCUCGAUUGGAAUUCUUGGUCAUGUCCAUGUACCAUUGAGGCAAUUCAUACAUUCUCGUUGGGAGCUUCUUGACCUCGUCUAGCUCGACCAAAGGUUGGCCCCGGACAUAUUUUCGUUUUAUUUCCUCCUCUCUAGUCGGAGAUAUGGGCUCGAUAUCGAGGAGUUGUCCAACAGUGAUCAUGAGGCUUUUAGCCUGCUCAAUGUGCUCCUCGGUUAUUACCAUAUCGCCCAGCCCGGGAACGUUAACGGUUUGCCCACAGUAAUAUUGGGCGCGCCUACUCUCAUGUGUUGUUGGCACAACAAGUGGGGGGAUUGAUUGCGCCGCCUGUUUUCCCAGUUGGGGAAUGGUUUUACCGCAUGUUUUCCCAGCUGAUUUGCUCAAGCUCGAGCUCGCCUCUUUUUGUAGACGUGCUCGAUUUAACUUCCUGAUGUGGCGCUCAUAGUCUGUGUCAACAGGCUUGGGAGCUGGUGCUCUAGCCAUACGAAUGAAGUGGUCAAUCUUUUCCUCAGGCGCUUUCUCCCUUGGCGGCGGUGGCGGUCUCGGUGCAAAAUGGGCUUCGACCUUGGCCUUCGAUAUGGCUGUGUUUUCCUCCUCGGACUUGUCGUAAGGCCUCUGCGGAAGAGGCGCGUGGCUUGGACCAUGUUGAAAUCGCCUGCCUCCGCCUGUACCUCCAGUACUACCUCGACUUGUACCGCUACACACCAUAACUGAGGCAGCUCUCUUCCGUGAUUGCUGAGGCGGCAAAGACGGCUUACGUGGCUAAGUUGGAGGAGGAGGAGUGGCCUGAAGCUAUGCCGGACUUGGAGGAGAAUUGGCCUGACGCUUUGCCGGACUUGGAGGAGGAGGAGUGGCCUGAAGUUGUGCGAGACUUGGAGGAGGAUUGGCCUAAGACGUUGGUGGACUUGGAGGAGCGGGAGUUUGCUGACUCGGUGGCGGACUUCGACGAGGAGUCGGAUGACGCGGUGUUGGUGGCCUUCGAAAGAUGAUGCAAUCCUUUCUCCAUUGGAUGAUUCGAUGGUUGGCCUCUCCCAGUGUGUGCUCCUUGUCACCUCCAGGAAUGUCAAGCUCUAGCCCUGAAUAUUGGUCCACUACCUCAUCAACCAAGACACGAGCAUAGCCCACUGGAAUCGGGUUGCAAUGGAAGGUUGCCUCGGGGGGAUUUGUAAAAGCAAGGGCGUCCGCCACCUUCAUGGAUAUGUUCUUCAUUUUGAAGUGUAGCUCGUAGUUAGUGUUCUCCAUGAUGUCAUCCACUGGGUAGCUAUCCAGCAAUGCGUCGCCCGAGGCAGAACCCACGCUGCUUCUCAGCAUGGAUGGGACGGUGCUAUCCAAUGUUGGAUCAUCCGCUAGCUACUGCAGCUGCUGAGACCCCCUUUGCUGGUUAAGUGAGUCGAUCUGCUCCUGCUGCCAGUGGAAUUUGACUGCCAAGUCCGCGUGCGCUGAUUCUAGGCCUUGAAGGCGUCCAUAGUCCAGCUUCCUCUGCUCCUCCUCCAUCUUCCUCUUAUUCUCCUCCGCAAUCUUCUUUCUCGCACGGGUUCUGUAGUCGGAGUUCCAGUCUGAACACCCCUCAUACCACGGAAUAGUGCCCAUGCGUCGUGUUCUUCUCGGGUGUUCAAGAUUUCCCAGGGCACACGUAAGCUCGUCGUUCUCUCUGUUGGGCUGGAACACCCCCGAUCGAGCCUCUUCUAUUGCAACAAGUAGCUUAUCUUCGACUCCGUCCAGACAUGCCUUCUUCGAAACCUUGCCUGUCUUCGGGUCCAACUCCCCCCCAUGCGCAUAGAACCAAGUCCUGCACCUGGGGGCCAGCUCAAUGUUUCUGGAGUGACACCUGCAUCCUCCAUCUCUUUGUCAGACUUAUCCCACUUAGGCAUUCCCACCGCAUAGCCACCUGGCCCCAGCUUAUGGAACUUAUCCUUUUUUGCGGCAUUGGCCUUGUUUAUUCUCGACCGUUCCUUAGAUAAUUUCAAAUCCUUGAAUUUCACGAAAUUGCCCCAAUGAGCACUUUGCUUCUCUAGUGUUCCCUCAAAUACUGGAGUCUUCCUUCCUCCCAUGACGUACUUGGCGCAUUCACGAUUGUUGUGGUUGUUGAAUGCAACCGCCAUCUUCCUAAGAGCAGCGUCCUUGACUUUCUCCACAUCUACAUCUGUGAAAAGAUCUGGUAGGGUGAAAUGUUCCAUGAGCAUUUCCCAAAGCAGUAGUUUUUGUCUGUCGUCGACAAAAGUAACUCCUGGACGUGGCUUUGCUGGCUCUCUCCAUUCUUGAAGGGAGAUCGGGAGUAGGUCCUUCACAAGAACUCCGCACUGACGAAUGAACUUGUCUGCAAUCUUCUCAGGCGCUAAUGGUUCGCCAUUAGGUUUGAUGGCCUCGAUAUUGUACUUUACGCCCUCCUUCAACUUUUUGUUCGGGGCUCGUUUCCUGUUGCCUGAGGAUUUGUUCGAUCCGGAUGGCUGAAAGAAGAAAGAUCGAUUCGUUAAUAUAUCUUCAAGUCAUUUAAAACAUGUGAUGAUCACCAGAUGCCUGCUUAUAUAAAUAUAUAUACCUCGCCGGUCUUUGUUGUAUCAAGAUCAACAUUUUCUUCGUCAUGUUCAUAGUUCAUGACUUCAUCAAUUCGGUCGUCGCGAUCGAAUAUCAUAUCACCCUCCCCAGUGUUGUUUAGAUAUUCGGAGCCAUCAUAAUCUUCUUCAUUCUGAUCAUCAUCUGGCCCGCGAGGAUUGCGUAUGAUAUUGAACAGGGCCUCUUCUCCCUCUCUGCCGGUAUUGUCCGCCAUAGGUCUUAUUUAACUAAUCCAAAAGAAAUAUAUUCAAAUUACAAUGCAUGGAUGCAAUCAAUUAAUAAGGAAACACUGAAUCAAUCAUAGUACAUAAUAAGCAUCAUCGAUAUAAUCUCGAAUAUGUCGUCUCGAAUAAUAGAUAUAAUCUCGAAUACAUCGUCUCAAAUAAUAUAUAUAAUCUCCAAUAAAUCAUCUCGAAUAUUAUAUAUCGAAUACAUCACUAGAUAACUAAUAAAGAUCGAAUACUAGAGAGUAAUCUAGCCAAAGUGAAGGAACCAUCACUAGAUCGUAGCUCGGUUGAUCUCCCCAAAGAACCUGCCAGGUAUUGGAGAACCUGACGUCCAUAGCAGCCAUGUAGCGAUGGACGUGCUCGUCCUCCUCCCUGACACGGCGACGUACCACCUCCGGCGGGGCCGGCUACCUCCGCACCGAAAGUGGCCCACGCGAACGCCACCAAAGGAGAUGAGGGUCGACGACCGGACCCGGGGUCGGGUUCCUCACCAUGCGUCGUGCCCCUGAAGGUAGCACCUCCCAGUGCCAGCCCGGCGGAGCCUAGUCCCGGACAUGGGUCCUCUGAAGCAGGACGUCGUCGCGAACGGGUCGACGGUGAGGAUGCGGGCCGGGCAUCGUCGACAACAAAUACUAUAUGCCGCAAAAGUAAAGUAACAUUUUUUAAAUGAUGGAUUGUGAUUUCAUAUAUGCAAAUUCUAAAUUUUAUAACUAAAACUAACAUUUCUAAUAUUUCUAUAACUAAAACUAACAUUUCUAACAUUCCUAUAACUAAAAAAUAUUUCUAUAUAACUAGCAUUUCUAUAUAACUAACAUUUCUAAUAUAACUAACAUUUCUAUAUAACUAACAUUUCUAAUAUUUCUAUAUAACUAACAUUUCUAAUAUUUCUAUAACUAAAAAACAUUUCUAUAUAACUAACAUUUCUAAUAAUUCUAUAACUAAAAAACAGAAAGAUUGCUAACAUUUCUAUAACAAUGUGUGUGUUUGUGUGUUUGUGUGUGUGUGUGUGUGUGGUACAUGGCGGCCGGGGCAGGAGCUCACCGGCAAGGUGCGACGAUGGGGGGCGGCGACAGGGACGGGGACGGAGACGGAGACGGCGACGGGGAUGGGGCAGUGACGACAGGGACGGGGACGGGCCGGGCGGGGACGACGGGAGGACGGGGCGGGGCGCGGCGACGGGGACAGGGACGGUGACGGCGACGGACUGCGACGGAGACGACGACGGAUGGCGACGGGGGCGGCGACGAGGGGCGGCGGCGAUGGGCAGAGGAUAAAGAAGCAGAGGGAGAGAUGAUAAACUAACAAUUUUUUGAAGUGUUUUCUUAUAUAGAACAACCUUUAGUACCGGUUGGAGCCACCAACUGGUACUAAAGGUCUGUUUUGGCCAGGCCAAGCGGCAGGAACGGCACCCCUUUAGUACCGGGUGGUGGCUCCAACCGGUACUAAAGACCCCCCCUUUAGUACCGGUUUGAGCCACCACCCGGUACUAAAGGGGGUGCGCUGGCGCAGGUGCGGUGCGAAAUGUUUAGUCCCACCUCGCUAGCCGAGGGGCGUCCGCACUGGUUUAUAAGCCCUAGUGCGGUAGCUCCCUCGAGCUCCUCUCCAAAGCAAGGCUACUGGGCCUAAAUGUUCUGUGCUGCCCUGUGGGCCUAUUAGGCCUUUGUGGGCCUGCAUCCUGGCCCAACAACAGGUUGGGUUUCUAGUCGUAUGCAGGCCGCUGUGGUGCAGUAGGUGGGCUUUUUUUCUUAUUUUUUUGUUUUAUUUAUUUUUGAGUUUUUUUUGCUGUAUUUAGAGUUUCUUUGUGAAUAUUUUUGCUUUAGGUACAAAAAAUUACAAACUUUCUGUUAGUACCGAUAGUUUACAAAUUUGAAUAGUUUAAAUUUUGAAUUAUUUGAAAUUUGUGUGAAUCACUAGUUUGUGAAUAACUUAACUUUGAAAAUAGAUUUUUCAGUGAUUCUUUUUUCUUAUAUUUAAUAUUAGUGUGUUUUAUCAUUAUAUUCAAUUUGGUAAUGCUUAGGUUAUUUAAAAAAUGAAAUGCCUUUGUAAAGGACGAGUUUUCGUCUGAAACCCUGAUACUUCGAAAGAGAUUGUCCAUUUUGUACACGAAGUGCAUCCAGUUUUUGCGGUAACCCUCUCUACUUUUUUGCACAUGCUAUGUGGGUGAAAUUAUGAUACCAUGCCAACUUUCAACCUUUUCUGAGUUCAUUUGAAAUGCUUUUCAAUUUCAGGGUCAUUUAGCUGAAAAAAUCAGUAAAUGCAUGAAAGAAUUUGCUUGCACAUAAAAUUUCUUUGCGUUUCAAAUGCCAAAACACAUAACUAGCUACCCUAACUAUUAUAGAGAUUCCCUCCUUGGUGUGAAACACAGAAGAAAGUGAUGAUAGUGAAGCUGAUCACAUCCCAGAUCUUUGGGUGUGAAUCUUUUUCUUCGCGUGUGUCCCUUUGCGCCGUAGCCAUGGAAAAUCUUCAUCAUUUAACUGGAUGCUCGGGUCAAUAUUCACUAUGAAUGGAGCAAUUUCAUCAAACUUUUCAUAAUCUCCUGACAUGUCUGUCUUGUCAUCCACUCCCAUGAUGUUUCUCUUUCCAUAAAGAACUAUGUGCCGCUUUGGCUCAUCAUACGAUGCAUUCGCUUCCAUAUCUUUUCUUUUUCUCGGCUUGGUAGACAUGUCCUUCACAUAGAAAACCCUGUGUCACAUCAUUGUCUAGGAUGAAUGGUUCGUCUACAUACACAAGAUUGUUGAGAUCCACUAUUGUCAUUCCGUACCGCGGGUCUUCCGUUACCCCGCCUCGUGCCAUAUUGACCCAUUUGCACUGAAACAAAGGGACCUUCAAACCACGUCGAUAGUCAAGUUCCCAUAUGUCCUGUAUAUAACCAUAAUAUGUUUCCUUUCCCGUCUUGGUUUCUGCAUCAAAGCGGACACCACUGUUUUGGUUGGUGCUCUUCUUAUCUUGGGCGAUCGUGUAAAAUGUAUUACCAUUUAUCUCGUACCCUUUGAAAGUCAUUAUAUUCGAAGAUGGUAACUAGGAUAGAAAGUACAUGUCAUCUUCAAUAGAGGCGUCAUGCAUGGUACAUGUCUGCAACCAGCUAGCGAAACUCCUGGUUUGUUCACGUGUAAUCCAGUCAUCAGACCGCUCCGGGUGUUUGGAGCGUAGCAAAUUCUUGUGUUCAUCCAUAUACGGAGCCACCAAGGCGGAAUUCUGUAGAACUGUGUAGUGUGCUUCAGUGAGAGAAUAUCCAUCCAUACGUAUUAUUUGUUCCCCUCGUAGCGUGCCUUUUCCAUCCAGUCUGCCCUUAUGUCGCGAUUCAGGAAGACCAAUCGGCUUACAGUCAGGAAUAAAGUCAAUACAAAACUCAAUGACCUCCUCAUUGUCAUGGCCCUUGGAGAUGCUUCCUUCUGGCCUAGCACGGUUAUGAACAUAUUUCUUUAAGACUCCCAUGAACCUCUCAAAGGGGAACAUAUUGUGUAGAAAUACAGGACCCAAAAUGGUAAUGUCCUUGCAUAGAUGAACUAGGACGUGUGUCAUGAUGUUGAAGAAGCAUGGUGGGAACACCAACUCGAAACUGACAAGACAUUGCACCAAAUCAUUCUCUAACCUUGGUAUGAUUUUUGGAUCAAUUACCUUCUACGAGAUUGCAUUGAGGAAUGCACAUAGCUUCAUAAUGGCUAAUCGAACGUUUUCCGGUAGAAGCCCCCUCAGUGCAACCGAAAGCAGUUGCGUCAUAAUCACAUGGUAGUCAUGAGACUUUAGGUUCUGGAACUUUUUCUCUGCCAUGUUUAUUAUUCCGUUUAUAUUCGACGAGAAGCCAGAAGGUACCUUAAUACUGAGCAGGCAUUCAAAGAAGAUUUCCUUCUCUUCUUUGGUAACAGCGUAGCUUGCAUGACCCUGAUGUAUGCCGUCUUUUCCGUGCAUACGCCGCUGGUCCUCCCGUGCCUCAGGUGUAUCUUUUGUCUUCCCAUACACACCCAAGAAGCCAAGCAGGGUCACACAAAGAUUCUUCGUCACGUGCAUCACGUCGAUUGCGGAGCGGACCUCUAGGUCUUUCCAAUAGGGCAGGUCCCAAAAUAUAGAUUUCUUCUUCCACAUGGGUGCGCGUCCGUCACCGUCAUUCGGAAUAGGUUGUCCACUAGGACCCUUUCCAAAGACCACCUUCAAAUCCUUGACCAUAUCAUGUACAUCAGCACCAGUAUGGUGGCGAGGCUUCAUCCGGUGAUCCGCCUCACCUUUGAAAUGCUUGCCUUUCUUUCUUACGGGAUGCCUGCUCGGAAGAAAUCGACGAUGUCCCAGGUACACGUUCUUCUUACAAUUAGCCAACAUAUAUUGUCGGUAUCGUCCAAACAGUGCGUGCAUGCGCGGUAUCCCUUGUUUGUCUGUCCUGAAAGGUUACUGAGAGCAGGCCAAUCAUUGAUGGUCACGAACAGCAACGCCUUUAGGUCAAAUUCUACCCCCAUGUGCUCAUCCCACGCACGUACACCUAUUCCAUUCCACAGUUGUAAGAGUUCUUCAACUAAUGGCCUUAGGUACACAUCAAUGUCGUUGCCGGGUUGCUUAGGGCCUUGGAUGAGCACUGGCAUCAUAAUGAACUUCCGCUUCAUGCACAACCAAGGAGGAAGGUUAUACAAACGUAGAGUCACAGGCCAGGUGCUAUGGUUGCUGCAAUGCACCUCAUAUCGGGAAAGUGUUCAAAUCCUCGUACUCACUGCAGUAGAGGACGCAAUAUUAGGGCAUGCAUGUAUCCUCGUACUCACAGCCUUCUUUUCUUCAUAUGUACUCUUAGGAAAUUCGUUGUCCUUUCGAAGCAUAUUCUUUAUCAUUACCAGCAACUUUCCAAAUCCCUUGUUAGAUACACCAUUCUUUGCCUUCCAUUGUAGCAAUUCCAGUGUGGUACCCAGCUUUUUCUUGUCACCUACGCAAUUCGGGUACAACAAUUUUUCGUGAUCCUCUAACAUGCGCUGCAACUUCUUCUUCUCAAAAUCACUUGCGCAGUUUCUCUUUGCAUCGGCAAUGGACUGACCUAGAUCAUCAAUGGGCUCAUCCGAUGCCCCUUCUUCAGCUUCUUCCCGCAUUGUCGGCUCAGCUUCUUCCCGCAUUACCGACUCAGCUUCUUCCCUUAUUGUUGGAUCAUCGUAUUCAGGGAACCCAUGGCCAGAAUACUUGUCGUCGUCCUCUUCUUCUUCAUUGUCUUCCAUCAUAACCCCUCUUUCUCCAUGCUUGGUCCAAACAUUAUAGUGGGGCAUGAAACCGGACUCAAACAGGUGGACGUGAAUGGUUCUUGACGUAGAGUAAUUGUGACCAUUCUUAUAGCCAGCACAUGGACAAGGCAUAAAACCAUGCCCCCGCUUGUUUGCCUCAGCCGCAAGCAGAAAAGUAGGCAUGCCAUUAAUGAACUCGGGAGAGCAUUGGUCAUCGUACAUCCAUUGCCGGCUCAUCUUCAAUACACAGCACCAAAAACACCAAAUUAAUACAAUACAUAAAGUUCAUACAUAAAUAUCAUACAACACUUAAAUGCAACAAACAAAUAACUCUCUAGGUAAAGAAUUUAAAUGCAACAACCAAUGCGAUCAAGAUCGCAACUAAGGUAACAAUUGAUCCAACAGCAUAAUGAUACCAAGCCUCACUAUGAAUGGCAUAUUUUCUAAUCAUUCUAAUCUUCAAGCGCAUUUUCUCCAUCUUAAUCUUGUGAUCAUCGACGACAUCGGCAACAUGCAACUCCAAUUCUAUCUUCUCCCUCUCAAUUCUUUUCAAUUUUUCCUUCAAAUUCUCGUUUUCUCUUUCAACUAAAUUUAACCUCUCGACAAUAGGGUCGGUUAGAAUUUCCGGUUCAACUACCUCGUACAUACAAAUAUCUAUGUCAACUUGAUGGGCAUAAUUUGUCAUAAACACAAAAUGCAAUGAAUAGUUUUAAAAGAGAAUAUACCACAUCCGAAUCAUAACCCGGACGAGGGCCGACGCGGACGGAUAUCAAAACCAUGGCACUAUGUAUAACAAACAACGUAUGUGUAAGAUAAUUAUACGAGUGACUAUAUAUCCAAAUCACACAAACAUCAAUUUUUUUAUAUAAAACUUCAUGAACAAGAGGCUCACCACAAGGUGGUGCCGGCGACGGGACAUUGCGGGCGAUCGAUGGUGGUUAUGACGGAGAUUUAGAAGGCACUAAGUAAACCACACCUACAUAUGCAAACUAAGUGUUAUUUUUGACCUCAAAUUGCAUAUGAAUCAAAUACUAGCACAUAUAUAUAAUUCCUCCAAAAUUACUAAAGUCAAAAAUCAAUCACUAUAUAAAGCAUUGCACGAGCUAAUAUAGCAAUGAGAGAUGAAAGGACAAAGUUGCUAACCUUUGUGAUCAUUUGAAUGGAUCGGGGCCUUCAAAUCUUGAAAAUUUUUGGGCAAAAUGUGUGAUGAGCUUGAGAGGAAGAGGGAAAAGAACAGAGAGGAGAGGGGAAAGGGGAAGAACAAAGCGAGCUCGGCUGGACGAAUGGUCUAUGUAGGACGACCUUUAGUACCGGUUCGUGGCACGAACCGGUGCUAAUGAUCAGCGGUCGGCUAGUCGUUGGAACCGGCACUAAUGCACACAUUAGUGCCGGCUCAAAUUCAAACCGGCACUAAUGUGCUUCACAUUUGACCCUUUUUCUACUAGUGGUGGAUCCUCUCUCCCGGAGGCGCCACCAUCACCGAGCCGCCGUGGAUCUUGUGCUGAUGGGGCUAGCUGCCUUCGUGGCCCUAGCGAGCUUGCCAGCCACUGCCGGAGACCAAACCCCCAAUCUCUACGAGCUAGCUAGACGUCCUAGACACCUCGCUAUGCCCCCUGAGCGGCUGAGCCCCGCAGCCACCUUGCUGGCCACCAUUGGAGCCGCAGGCGGACGGGGACAAGGACAUCACAUAGAGCAGAGGUGUUCCAUGGACGAUGAGGUGUUCAAACAAAUGGAAGAAGCGGCGGCACUCCCUGACAACCUCCUUCAUGGAAUCCUCAAGCGCCUCGACCCGCACAAGGCGACGACCCUUCCCUCACUGGCUCUUACUCCUACACCUUGAUGUCGAUCGAGAUCAUGGGCACAUUCACGGCUGCAACACAUCCAAGUAUCCUCCUCCGGACGGGUGCAAAUGUGACUUCAAGAUUGCUAUAGAGGCUUCCCCAGCUUUUCCAUGCCGGUCCUGAAGGGAGCAUAUAUACUCAUUGCUUCACAUUCCAUAUUUCUUCAUUACGUUUAUUUGCUAAAUUGAUGCUCAUGAUUGACUAAUUGUUGUUCGAAUUUCAGAAUCAUUUGCAUCUCUUUGUUACCAAUUUUUGCUGCAACUGUUCUGCCUACAUGCGGAGAUUCUUAGCAAUCCCCACAUCCUUCUCCUAGCCGAGUCCAGGCAGGGAAACAGUGAUCCAGUGGCAAUGAAAAAAUUGAUGUGGGAUGGCACCAUGGCAGUGAUACUCCAGCCCAAUGCCACGAUGCAAGAAGGAACGCUCAAUAUUUCCUCAGGUUUAUUCUUCUUUCUCAAUUCCACGAGUUCCCAUUGGUUAGUAUUUGGUGGUUAACAGAUGGAAUUACAUGAUGCUUAGAAUCAAUCGAUUCAUACCUUGCAUGGUAGGAAUCUGAAUGUGCUUAGCCGGAUUGAUCAUUUGUGUACAUAAUAGAUUGGUCAGAUCACACACGGGCAUUUAUAUAGUCGUGAAGCAUGUUGCUUUCUUCAAGUGACUGCGUUAAGAACAGGGAAAUAAUAAUGUAUACUGCUAAGUGAUUCAAAGUUAAGUGACUGGUUCUUAAAGAGAGAGGAGGCAUGCUGGCCAUAUUUUGAGACUGAUACAAGGUGGGUGGGUGUAGUUAGGAUUAUAAUGUCAAUCUGUUGAUACAUCAAACUAUUGACAGGGAACAGGAGAAUGCAAUGCACUGUGGUGCAUGCCAAUGCAUUAGCUCUGCAUAUAUACAGUUUCAGAGUACAGCCGUUGUGCAGUCGUGCAUAGGUGGCAAUCGUGUGCCUAGUGCGUAGAGAGGGGGAAGACUAGGACGUGUAUAUAGAGGGCUGUGUCAACCAGUGGAUAUCCGCUGACACCCCGCCGCAGUUUGAGCGUCGGGUGGCCGGAUGCACAAGUUGUACCUGAAUUCUUCAAAUGCAGCCGUAGGUAACCCCUUUGUCAUCACGUCGGCAUACUGCUGCGUGGUUGGGACGUGUAGAACGCGAAGCUCGCCAAGUGCCACCUUCUCCCAAACAAAAUGUAUGUCGAGUUCGAUGUGCUUGGUACGCCGGUGAUGAACAGGGUUGGCUGCCAUGUUGUCACAGUACACGACCGUGGCCUUGGGGACGUCGACGUGCAGCUCUCCUAGAAGUUGCCUCAGCCCGCAACACUCAGCAACGACAUUGGCGACAGCAUGAUAUUUGGCCUCCGCACUUGAUCUAGACACUGUGGCUUGACGCUUCGAGGACCAAGAGAUCAGGGCAUCACCGAGGAAGACGGUAUAGCCGGAGGUGGACCGUCGCGUAUCCGGGCAACCGGCCCAGUCGGCGUCCGAAUAGGCGACAAGGUCGAGUGCCUGCGAGCGAUGUAGGUGUAGACUGUGCGUCGUCGUCCCCCGCAGGUACCGCAGUAUGCGCUUGACGAGAGCCAAGUGCUGGUCCCGCGGAUCAUGCAUAUGGAGGCAUGCUUGCUGGACUGCAUAGGCGAGGUCAGGGCAAGUCAUGGUGAGGUACUGAGCGCCCCGACCAGGCUUCUGUACUCCAAGGAAUCUGCAACAGGAGAGCCAUCGGAUGCGGACAGCUUGGCACGAGUGUCAACGGGCGUCGGCGAGGCCUUGCACGUGGUCAUGUUGGCGCGGUCCAAGAGCUCCUCUGCGUAUUUGUGCUGCGACAGGAAAAAGCCAGAGCUGCUGCGCGUGACGCUGAUACCGAGGAAGUAGUGUAGCGGACCGAGGUCCUUCAUUAAGAACUCGAAGAAGAGGCGCUGCUGGAUGUGUUGUAGAAGACAGCUCGACGAGGCGGUGAGCACGAUGUCGUCGACGUACAGGAGGACGUACGCCAUGCCACCACCGGAGUGGUACACGAACAACGACGGGUCGGAGCGUGCCGCCGUGAAGCCGACCGUGCGCAAGAACGCGGCGAACCGGUCGAACCAGGCAUGGGGAGCCUGCUUGAGGCCGUACAGAGACUUGUCGAGGAGGCAGACGUAGUUGGGGUGGUCGUGGUCGACGAAGCCGGCAGGUUGUUGACAGUAGACGCGCUCGGCCAGCUGCCCAUGAACAAAGGCAUUAUUCACGUUCAUUUGAUGGACGGGCCAGUCUCGCGAUGCGGCAAUGGCGAGCAUGGCACGAAUAGUAGCAGACUUGAUGACAGGGCUGAAGGUUUUGUCAAAGUCCACGCCCGGUCGUUGUGAGAAGCCACGGACCACCCACCUAGCUUUGUAUCGAUCCAGGGAGCCAUCGGCCUUGAGCUUGUGCCGGAACAGCCAUUUCCCAGUGACAAUGUUGGCACCGGGUGGGCGCGGCACUAGCGUCCAUGUGUUGUUCGCCAUCAACUCCCUGUACUCCUCCUGCAUAGCAGUUAGCCAAAACGGAUCGCGCAAUGCCGUGCGCACGGAUUUGGGUAUGGGGGAAAUGGUGGUUGUGUGAGAUUGGAGCGCAUACAUGGGGUUGGGCUGGAAGAUGCCGUUCAUCCCACCAGAGGCGCGUGGGCACCGGGGGCGCGUGGGAUUGUGUGGGUUUGGCGGGAGGGGGAGGGGGUGGCGGGGUUGGCGAUGUGGUGUCGUUGCUCGGAGGUGUGCGCGGGGAGGGAGAUGGAGUGGGCGAUCGGCAGGGGUGGAGUGCUGGUGGUGACUGACACUGAGGUGUCGAGGGCGCAGGGGGGUUGGGAGCUAGUGAGGCACUACACACGGUCCGACGAUCUCAAGGACUCGGUGACUGAUAGUGGUCAUCAUCAUCAGCCGACGCAGGUUGUGUGGUUUCAGUGAUGUGGUAUGGGAAAGAGCUCUCGUCGAAGAAGACGGCGCGUGAAGUGAGAACGCGGCCAGUCGAUCGAUUGUAGCAACGGUACCCUUUGUGGUCCGGCAAGUAGCCGAGAAAAACACAUGUUGUCGAUCGGGGAGCGAGUUUAUGAGCAGCAGUGGCCGUGGUGUUAGUUUAGCAUAGGCACCCAAACACGCGCAUUUUUGUGUAGUCUGGUUGGGCACCGUAGAGCAGGUAGAACGGAGUUGAGAACGAAGGUGGCAGUGUUCAGUGCUUCGACCCAGAAGGUAAAUGGCAUGGAGGCGUGGAUUAGUAAGCUGCGGACAGUGUCGUUUAGGGUUCGUAAGAUACGCUCGGCGCGGCCAUUUUGUGGGGUGGUUUAAGGACACGACAUGCAUAGAGCAAUGGCAUGUGUGGAGAAAAACUCGCGGCUUGAGUGAUUGUCGAAUUCGCGCCCAUUAUCUGUUUGAAGUGUUAGGAUGUUUAGGUUAAAGUGGUGAGAGACGAGGGUUUGAAUGGUGAGUAAGGUAGGGAGAACGUCAGAUUUAGCACAAAGAGGGAAUGUCCAGACAAAGUGACUAUAAUCAUUAAGCACAACUAGGUAGUAUUUGUAUCCAAAUAAGCUUUGUACAGGCGAGGUCCACACAUCACAAUGAACUAGCUGAAAAGGAAUGUAGGAUACAUGUUGCGAAUCUGUAAAUGGUAGUCUAGUGUUUUUCCCUAUUGAUAGGCACGGCAGGUUUGGGCAGGUGCAGCCACUAUAGAGGGCGAUGCUUGCCGCAGAGUGGUCGCCAAGGCAUCGUGUCCUGGGUGACCAAGACGUUGGUGCCAGAGAUCCACGGUAGCAGCGACAAGGCUGUGGUGCGUGGGGGUUGUGGUGACGGAUUAGAGCUCGCCGUCGUCAUCACAUCGGAGGAUCACCUUCUUUGUGCAUCGUUCCUUGGCAGAAAAACCGAGGUCAUCAAACUCAACAUUAACGGGAUUAUCGCGAGCGAGGGUUUUAACAGAGAUGAGAUUUUUGAUUAUGUUUGGGCAGACAAGAACAUUUCGGAGGGAGAGUGGAGAAGAUGUAGUGGGGAGGAUCUGGUGGCCGGAGUGUGUGACAGGCAAGGAUGAUCCGUUGCCAAAAACAAUGUGAGAGAGAGCAGUGGGGUGAGAGGUUGCGAGCAUACCUGAGGAUGAGGCCAUGUGCGACGUAGCGCCUGUGUCGAGGUACCACUCGCCAGCAGCGGAGGUUGGCGGGACGGGCUGCUGCAUGGACAUGCUAUUCAAGGCAUGGAUGAGGGUCGUCUGGUCCCACGAUGGCGCGGCAGGCGCGUUGUAGGGUGGCACCGACACGUAGGGUGCAGGGGAGCCGUAGGGCGGCGCCAUCGGGUAGUGUGCCGCGGUACCCGCGAACGGAGGAGGCACGCCGAGACGUGCACCCAGGAUGCCAUAGCCCGGGGCAUGGGGAUGCCAUGGCAUCGCCCAGACAUGAACCAUGCCAGUCCAGGGCGACGAUGCUGGCGUAGGAGGGCGCGACGACGAGGUGUUGUGGUAGGAGCCCCCGCCGGAGUUGUCGCCGCUGCCCCUGCCAUAGUUGGCAGAGGUCUUGCCCUUGCCCUUGUAGCGGCGGCCACCACCGCUGCUGUUGUUGUUGGAGCGGCCACCCCCGCCAGAGCUGCUGCCACCCGAGGCACCAGAGGCUGGCGAGCGCGCGGUAUGGAGGGCCAUGUCGGUGGAGCCGGCGCCUUGUGCAGUGUGACGGCUCUCCUCCAGAAGCAGAAAGGCGCGGCUAGCAAGGAAGGUGGGAAGCGGCCGCUGCAUGGUGAGAAUCGGGAUGGCAUAGUGGAGGCGAGGGCCGAGACCACAAAACAUGUUGAGUACCUGGUCCCGGUCAGUCACGGGCUCGCCGAGGUCGGCUAGGCGGUCAACACAGUCUUUCAGGCGGGCGAAGUAGGCAAUGAUAGAGGAGGACCCCUGCUCGAUCCGGCGGAACUCUGUAGCGAGGAAGACGGCCUGAUGCUCGGCGUUCUCUAGGAACAAGGUGGCGAUGGAGGCCCAGAGCUGUGCAGCGGUGACGUUUUGUUGGUGAACAAGGCCGAAGAUUUCCGGGCUGACCCGGUUGUACAAUCAUGAUACAAUGUGGGCGUCGUCUUGGGGCCAGUACGGCGCCGCCGCGCGAGGUGGGUCCACGAUGUGGUCGGUGACGCCGCUCUUGGCGAACAUGACCUCAAAGAGGGUGCGCCACUGGGUGUAGUUUGGCGGCGUCAGGGUGAGCACAAGCGGGUCAUGUUGGUUGAUGAAGAUCCCGGCCAGAGGUGACGCGAGGGCUGCCAUCGCAGCAGAUGGAGUGCUGUCAGGCUCACGAGGGAAGAGGGCGCCGCCACGCAUGGAGUUGGCUAGCGCGGACGGGUUGAGCAGGGGGGUGGAGGUGACUGGGGCCCGAAGGGGAGUGGUCGGGCCAUGGCUGACCGGAGGGGGAGGGGGAGUCAGAGGUGGUGCGGCCAUGGCGAGAGGAGUGCGGUGCAGAACGACAGUGGAAGAGGAGUUACAGGCUCAGGAGGUAGACGCCAUCUGAUACCAUAUUGACAGGGAACAGGAGAAUGCAAUGCACUUUGGUGCAUGCCGAUGCAUUAGCUCUGCAUAUAUACAGUUUCAGAUUAUAGCCGUUGUGCAGUCGUGCACAGGUGGAGAUCGUGCGCCUAGUGCGCAGAGAGGGGGAAGACUAGGACGUGUAUACGGAGGGCUGGGUCAACUAGUGGAUAUCCGCCGACACAAACAAAAUAUAUUAUAAUGUUAAUAUGUUGCUGCUGCCCUUUGUAUAGAAGUGGAACAUGUUAAUUUGCUUCUGCUGCUACACAAAUAAAAGUGCAGUGGAGUAGCUACUGCUCCGCUCUAGAAACAGAGCACGCAGCCAAACAGAAUUGCAAUAUAUAGAGACAGGCAGUGAAAUAAAUGAUGGCUGAGACAAAAUCCAUGUACUGAAUAAACUUACCAACUUGCCACUAAAAGGAUAUGGAAUAGAUCACUGAAACAAACACUAGUACACGUCAGUGCUAUACAAACGGUUUUUAACUCCUUCCCGCGACGGCGUUCAGAACCAUCACCUAGUGAGUGUGGGCAAUAGGGGGUCCUUCCCACACGACCCAGAAAUUGUCGGGGAUAUGCCCUCCUGGCACACACGCUCGGCAAAAUGAGGUCGUGUGCAACCGGCGAGCGACCAAAUACGGUUAUACGUACAGUAGUGCUAAAAAAUACAAUUAUACAGGCAAAAUCAUUUCUGGUCGUAAGUACAUCCCACACAGUCAGUCCCCGCUAAACGUUUCCAUUCGUAUAUACAUCCCACAUAGUCACUCCAAGGAAAACGUUUGCGCAAGGUGGCGUAACGAAACGAUUUUCAAGAGAAUGCCGUGUGUGAUUGUUCAUUGAUCUAACACGGUUUAUUCCUAGAAACUGUGUGUGUUGCCUGAGGUCAUCGCCCAUGGUGUUUUAUCAGUAACCGUUUGCAAUAGGAAAACCCAAUUAACAAGCUAAUUGCCCUAUUAUUAAUAAUCCAUUUUGUCAGUGUACAAAAAGAGGGGUACACUUUUUGUACCCCUAUAACUGCGCACGGGCAGUCUGAGCCACGGGCACCACCACAUUGAGCAAGGCGAGGGAGGUGAGCCAAGGUAAGGCUGAAGCUCAGGAGAAGCAGAACGACGCCAAGACCAAGACCACAAAGAGCAAAGGGGACGGAGCGGACCCCCCCGGCAAGAUCCUUGCCGGGAGGCGGUUUUAGCAAACCCGGCAAGACCCUUGCCGUGGCAGCUCGCCCCAUGCCUACGGAGUGAGUCACCCUUGAGUCCACUGCCCCCAUGGGGCAAGGAUUCGGGAGACAUCCCCAUGGUGGCAUGCAGAUCUUUGUGAAGGCAUUCAAUAUCAGAUACACCCUUUAGAAGAUGAUGAUCCUUGGCGGGAUCCCAGCCAAGGAGGACAACAAGGCCCCCGGCAAGAGCCUUGACGGGGAUGACAGCAGGCGCCACGACAAGACCCUUGCCAGGGCCCUGGCAAGGCCCUUGCCAAGAACACCCAUUGGGCCACCAUCAGGCCCACGCCAGUCAAACCUCCACCACCAUUCGCUUGCAGCUGCCGACCCAACCAGCUGGGCAGGCACCUGCGUGGCGGCAUGCGGAUCUUCGUGGAGACCCACCACUGCGCCACCUCAGCUGCCUGCCUGCCUACAUGGCACCGCGGGCGCCGCUGGCCAGGGCGCGUGUCAACAUGAGAGGGAGCGGCAACAGACGAGACAGGGCUCUCCCCCGUCCCCGAUAAAGCAAGGACACCUGGGCAAGACGCAUUAAAUGCGCCUUGUCAUGUAAUGCGAGGGAUAACCUCGCAUCACCGUUCCCUUUCCACCUCCUGUGUGCCACUGUGGCUACCCCGUUUCCUAUAAAAGGAGGCCCGAGGCGACCAGGAGGAGGAUUCGGCUUUUUGGAGCUCCUCACGCCCCAUAGCUAGCUCAAGAACAUAGAUAUACAAUCCACCAAAGUAGGAGUAGGGUUUUACGCAUCCCCGUGGCCUGAACCUGGAUAAACGAACCAUGUGCUAUCUGUUUGAUCCGCUCUUCUCACGACCCCGCGCCCCGCAACCGUAGUAGGGAUUCUUGUGAUCCCAUAGGUGUCGUUCCCAUUGACAUCUUUGUCGCGCCAGGUAGGGGGCGCGCUCGGCGGUGAGAAUCGGCUUUAGCAGUUAGUUCGACGCUUCUUCAUCGUCAUGGCGCCCAAGAAGAAGACGACGGUGACGGUUGGCCCGUCGGAAGCCGGACAUCCCGUCCCGACGCGGGCGAGUAGCGGACCAGUCGCAGAAAGGACCCAGGGUACCAUUCGUGAACACCAACACCGUCCCAGCAGCCGGAGUUUGGGAGGCGGCGAUGUUCGUGCGCCUGGUAACGGGCCGCACGCCGCCAAAUCCAAAGACGGAGCCAGGCCCUCCGCGGGUAGCGCGGGGCCUUCCGAGAUCGCUGCCACCCCGCCCGAAGGCGAUGCGAGGGCCUCCAAGACUCCCACGCCGGCGCCGACGGCGCGCUCCUCUCAAGACUCCACUACACGAACGGCGUAAACACGGCGGGGACCCCUGGUGUCGCCGCGGGAAGAGCCCCGAGCGCCACUCCCGGGAGGUAGAAGACCUGCUCGCUCGCCGAGGCACUGGUGGAGAUGGCAUGCGACCGCGGGGUCGUGAUAGAGCUCCUUCUGAUAUGGUCAGAAGUCGAAGCGCGUCGCGAUCCGUGCAGGUUUCGCUGCCACCAACGCCAGCAGAAGCCCUGGCGCGCACGUAGUUGCUCCUCGAUUUUCCUCCCACUACAGGGAAACUCGACGAAUGGAGAGCCACUAUCCUAAGCCUUGUUGCUGUGGCCAACAAAGACGAACCGAGUCCAUGGAGCCCCCGGGUUGACGCUCCGACGGAGUCCCACGCACGAAUGGCAGGAAAGCUGGCGGCGCCGCGACCACGGUGCACUCACCUCCUCCUCGCCCGGUACCGCGGACGCCAGCCCGUCGCAACGUUGCGGGCGAUGAAAUCUCCAUAGCGUCGUCCGACCCGCGGACCCACUGUGACCAGCGCCAAGUCCUUCGGGAACGAGAACAUGAAGACGCUCGAACCACUAUCGAGCGCCGGCGCGGAGCGCGCUACCAGUCAGACAGGCAAGCAUGGCCUGAUGUGAACCACCCGGCACCGGAGAGCCCUGGAGGCCUACCUUACGAGGUAGGCUGUCCGGCUUUUACCCGUGAGCUGUGGUAGUUCUAGUGGCCCACUCACCGCACCUGCAAACCUGACAUGGGCGAAAAGUACAGCGGCAAGACCCACCCGUCCGAGUUCCUCAACAUCUACACCAUUGAGAUGCAAGCUGACGGAGCCCGCGACGAUAAGGUGCUUGCGAAUUACUUUCCGUUGCCUCUUAAACCCAACGCCAUGUCAUGGUUGAUGCACUUGCCGGUAGACUCUAUUUCCUCCUGGUCGGAUUUGUGCCAUGAGUUUGUGGGCGCCUUUACUGGAGGCCACCAAGCCCAUGGCCAAGCGAGCAACCUGCACGUCAUUCCUCAUAAAGGAGGCGAGAGUCUCCGCAAGUAUAUACAGAGGUUCAGCCGGAUACAGUACAAUAUCCCUGAUGUUCACCCUGCCGCCAUCAUCAGCGUGUUCCAUCAGAACGUGCGUAGCCGCAAGAUGCGCGAAGAGCUGGCAAUGAACAAGGUGAAAGAUGUAGCAGAACUCUAUGUUCUUGCUGACAUAUGUGCUCGGGCUGAAUUGGGAAGGAAGUACCCCGGCGAAGAUGCCGACGUGGAAACCGACUCCACAGAUGAAGAUACUGCCGCCCCGGCGAAGAAGGGUCGGCGCCGCAACAGGAAGCGCAAAGGUAAAGCCGUGCUUGCCGUCGAGGGAUCUGAUGACACCGGCUCCACCAAGAAGACCAAGGCAGACGACCCCGGCGAGGAAAUUGCCAGAUGUGCCGGGCCUUGGCGGUUGCCAAGAAGCCAGGAAACUCCGACAAGCGAUACUUCAAGAUCCAUCGCACCAAUGUCCAUGCUCUUCAAGACUGCCGACAGGUUGAGCUCCUUGUUGAGAAGCAGAGGGAUGAAUAUGAGAGGCGGGACAAGGAGAAGGGCCAAGACGGUGCUAAGGGGUCCGGCAAGAAGCGUGACGACCAGGCAGGCCGUCGCGGCAAGGAUAGACAACAGGAGAGGCCCGCCCGGGGCCGUGACAAAAAGCUAGAAGACGAUGAUCACGAAGAGGACGACGAAUCCGGCGACCAAGAGUUUCAGAAAGCUACAGAGGCCAUGUGCAUCGACGGCGGCGCCUCGCUGCAUACUUCUCACCGCCAGCUUAAACAGUGGGCGCGAGAGAUUACAGUGGCAGAGCCGUCGUUUGAUGCCCAAAGGCCACUGAAGUGGUCCAGCACACCUAUCAUUUUUGACACUGAGGAUCACCCUAAUCGCACUAUUGCGGUCGGGUGCUUGCCAUUGUCGAGGUGACAAAGAUGCUAGUUGAUGGCGGGGCCGGUCUGAACUUGAUCUCACCUGCCGUAAUCGAGAAGCUGCAGAUUCCUGAUGGAGACCUCGAAGAGAUGGGCACAUUUCAGGGGGUCAACCCGGGAAGAAGCCAACCUAAGGGAAAGGUCACGCUGCCCGUGACUUUUGGAAGCGAUCUGAACUACAGGACGGAGAGGAUCGUGUUUGAUGUUGCCAAGAUCCCCUUGCCCUACAACGGGAUCCUUGGCCACCCAGCGCUGGCCAAGUUCAUGGCGGCGUCACACUAUGCCUACAACACCCUGAAGAUGCCAGGACCUGUGACGAUCAUCACCAUCCCCUCCGAUAAGAAAGAUGCGCUGAUUUGUGCUGACCGACUAUACCAGCAAGCAGUUGCAGCAGCUGCCACCACUAGGGUACUUGCUCCUGCCGCUGAGACCCCGGGAGGGAAGAAUAAGAAGAAGACCUGUGAGACCUCGGACACCCACUCCGGCAAGCGCACCUCUUCGGAGUGUAGCGCUCCCGUCGAGGACGUGCCAGAGAGCUCCACCGGCGGAAACAAGAAGCCCAGGGCCAUACCACCGGGAACCAAGAAGGUUUCUGUCAAUGAGGACGGCACGGGAGGGGCUUUCACCAUAAGCUCCACCCUUGACGACAAAUAGGAAGACGCGCUCGUCACCUUCCUGCGGGCGAAUGUCGAUGUGUUUGCAUGGAAAGAUUCCGACAUCCCCGGCGUUCCUAGGGAGGUGAUUGAGCACCACCUUGCUGUAUGUCCUCAUGCGCGGCCCGUCAAGCAGAAGGUCAGAAAGGAUGCUUUGGAAUGACAAGAGUUCCUCACAGAGGAGAUCCAGAAACUAGAAGCAGCGAGUUUGGUAAGAGGAGUGCUCCAUUCAACGUGGUUGGCCAAUCCGGUCGUGGUGCGCAAGGCUAAUGGGAAGUGGAGGCUGUGUAUUGAUUACACAGAUAUCAAUAAGGCUUGUCCUAAGGACCCCUUCCAAUUGCCGCACAUCGACCAGAUUGUUGACUCCACAGCUGGGUGUGAUUUGUUGUCAUUCCUCGAUGCCUACUCCGGCUACCACCAGAUCUUCAUGACAAGAGAAUACGAAGAGAAAACAUCAUUCAUCACCCCAUGUGGUACGUAUUGUUUCAUGUGGAUGCCUUUCGAGCUGAAGAGUGCUGGUUCGACGUUUGCGAGGGUGGUCCAGAUUGGUUUUGAACCCCAGCUCCAUAGAAAUAUGGAAGCUUAUAUGGAUGACAUAGUGGUCAAAACCAAGGACAGGGCAACCCUCAUACCGGAUUUGCAAGAAACAUUUGCAAACCCGCGCAAGAUCAAUCUCAAGCUGAACCCUGAGAAGUGCGUCUUUGGCGUCCCGUCCGGCAAGCUUCUCGGGUUCUUUGUGUCACAGCGUGGGAUAGAGGCCAAUCCGAACAAGAUCAAAGCUAUACAGCAGAUUGAAGCACCCAAGCGAAUUAAGGAUGUGCGUCGGCUUGCUGGUUGCAACGCCGCCAUGGGCAGAUUCAUUUCCAAGUCUGCCGAGUGCGCCCUUCCCUUUUUCAAGAUCCGGAAAAAGGCGGGCCCAAUGGAGUGGACGCUAGAAGCGGCAUUGCAAGAUUUGAAGAAGUACCUCUCCUCCGCGCCAAUACUAGUUGCGCCUAGGCCACAGGAGCCGUUGCUGCUAUUCCUGGCGGCAACGAACCAGGUGGUCAGCGCCGCACUAGUGGCGCAGAGAGAGGUUGACGACGAGGUAAUGGCAGCGACAGAGCUCGACACCACCAAUGCAGAGACGACACGGCCAGUUGAAGUGCCGCCGAAGAAGAAAAUGAUGCAGCACCCGGUCUACUUUGUUAGUUCCCUCUUGCAGGGAGCUAGAUCAAGGUACUUCGGCAUGCAGAAACUGCUCUUCGGCCUUCUUAUGGCCUCGAGGAAGCUGCAUCACUACUUCCAGGCACACAAGAUCACUGUCGUCACUCGCAUCCCUCUGCAAUGGAUAUUGGACAAUCCAGAUGCAACGGGAAGAAUUGUGCAAUGGGCACUAGAGCUGUCCAGCUUUAGCCUCAAGUUUGAAAGUACUUCGACGAUUCAGAGAUGAGUCCUGGCGGAGUUCACUGCAGAAUGGACCGCAACACCUGACGAAGAAGCCCAAGAGACUGCUCUCCCCGGCAAGGAGGCAAGUUGCAGUUGGAUCAUGUACUUUGAUGGAGCUUUCUCCUUACACGGCGCUGGGGCUGGCGUACUGCUUGUCGCGCCCACCGGAGAGCACCUCAAGUACAUGAUCCAGAUGCACUUCCCCAGGGAGGAGUCAACAAACAAUACGGCAGAGUACGAAGGGCUGCUUGCCGGUCUUAGGAUCGCGGCGGACCUCAGAAUCAAGAAUCUCAUCGUCAGGGGCGCACUACUAGAAAAACCCCUACUAAUGGCGCACCUAAUAUGGCCAUUAAUGGCGCAUCUGUGGUGCGCCACUAAUAGCACGCCAUUAGUAAUUUUUACUAAUGGCACACCAGUGGUGCGCCAUUAGUAUGUGGUAUACUAAUGGCGCACCACUGGUGCGCCAUUAGUAUAGGCCAUGAUGCGCCAUUAGUAUGCCUCCCAGGGGCCAGGUGCUUUGGAUACUAAUGGCGCACCACAACUGGAUGCGCCAUUAGUAACCGCGGCAUACUAAUGGCGCACAUUCCUGUGAUGCGCCAUUAGUGAUGCGCCAUUUUGAAUCUAGAUCUGGAUCUUGAUUUUUUGCCCAUUUUUUGCUCGUUUUUUUUGCUUGUUUCUUGGCACGACAAUAUUCUCAAAUUUUGUUCCUGUUUUUGGAUCUUGUUGCCAUGGUCUUUUGCCGGAGAGGAGUUCGCNNNNNNNNNNNNNNNNNNNNNNNNNNNNNNNNNNNNNNNNNNNNNNNNNNNNNNNNNNNNNNNNNNNNNNNNNNNNNNNNNNNNNNNNNNNNNNNNNNNNNNNNNNNNNNNNNNNNNNNNNNNNNNNNNNNNNNNNNNNNNNNNGGAGGAGGGAGGAGGGAGGAGGGAGGAGGAGGUCGCCGGAGAGGAGGAGGAGGUCACCGGAGAGGAGAAGUAUGGUGGAGGAGAGAAGGGAAGAUGAAAUGAAGAGAGGAGGAGAGGACCAGCCAUAUAUACGGCAUACUAAUGGCGCACCGCGGGCAGGUGCGCCAUUAGUAAUUUUUUUUAUUUUUUUGAUUUAUUUUGAAUUUUGAAGGCGGGAAGAUACUAAUGGCGCACCACGGGCAGGUGCGCCAUUAGUAAUUUUUUUUAUUUUUUUGAUUUAUUUUGAAUUUUGAAGGCGGGAAGAUACUAAUGGCGCACCAUGGUCAGGUGCGCCAUUAGUAAUUUUUUUUAUUUUUUUGAUUUAUUUUGAAUUUUUAAGGCGGGAAGAUACUAAUGGCGCACCAUGGGCAGGUGCGCCAUUAGUAAGUUUGAAUUUUUUUGAUUUUUUUGCCUCUCUAGAUCUUAAAAGCCCCGUAUCUUUGUUUUUGUUAGGUUUUUGAGGAUUUUGGAAAUUUGGAUGUAACUUUUCGAGUAGAUGAUUUUUCAUAUAAAAAACUUUUUCAUCCGAGUUAGUAUUCAAAAGUUAUGCCCAUUUUUACAAAUUCUCGCGAGAUUUUGCAAAUGAAGUCAAAAUUCAUAUUUGCAAAUUUUCCCAACAACUAGGCCACAUAUCACAUGGGAAACUUAUUUUCUUUUAUUUUUUUGACAUUUUUAUCAUUUUCUUUUAUUUUUUUAAAAACUGAAAAGGCGAUCCACGGGGAGGGGGGGGGUGCAUUCGGUGGAAGUGGUGGCCAAGGUUACUAAUGGCGCACCGUGGCAUGGUGCGCCAUUACUAGUUUAACUAGUAAUGGCGCACCACACCCACGGUGCGCCAUUAGUAUGUUUGGACAGGCGCACUAGUUCAAAAAAAAAAUUGGUACUAAUGGCGCACCGUAGGCAGGGUGCGCCAUUAGUAGUUUCAACACUAAUGGCGCAUCAGAAGGUGGUGCGCCAUUAGUAUAUACUAAUGGCGCACCACAUGUCUGGUGCGCCAUUAGUGUCAUUUCCAUCUAUAGCCCUUUUCCUAGUAGUGGCGACUCGCAGCUCGUCGUCAAGCAAGUCAACAAGGACUACCAGAGCCCGUUGAUGAAGGCCUACGCCGAUGAAGUGAGAAAGCUGGAAGAGCGUUUCGACGGUAUACAAGCUGAAUACGUUCCCCGAGCGAAGAACGAUAUCGUCGAUUACCUAUCAAAACGCGCUGCCCUCAAGCUACCUGUGGAACCAGGUACCUUUGUGCUCUAGCUAACUCUGCCAUCUGUUGAUCCAUCAACAGGGCAGAACAAGAGGAGGAAAUCAGGACCCGGCAAGUACUUUCCCGCCGGGCUCCCCGGAGCCGCCGGCAAGGAUGUUGCCGGGGACACUGAGCCCGCCACAGGACGGCUAGCUCCGGCGUAGCGUCAAGCUCUUGUCGUCAAGACAGCCGCUCCUAUAGCGGAGGAGAUGCCUUUAGUCUUCGCCGUCGAGCCCCAGGCUCCAGUGCGGGCAUAUCAUACCGUCCGAUUCCUCCAAACAGGGGAACUUCCUGAAGAGUAGGAAGAAGCGGAAAAAGUAGCCCGUCGCUCUACCAUGUACCAGUUCGUCGAUGACGUCCUGUACAGAAAGAGGCCGAACGGUGUGAAAUUGAAGUGUAUCCCUCGGGAGGAAGGACUGGAGCUGUCGGCGGAGAUAUACGGAGGCAUAUGUGGAUCCCACAUCGGGUCAAGGGCCCUUGCCGGCAAGGCAUUUCGGCAAGCUUUCUUCUGGCCCACCGCCCUCCAGGAUGCAACGACACUAGUCACCAGGUGUGAAGCGUGUCAGUUCCAUUCAAAGAAGCUUCAUCAGCCAGCUCAAGCCCUUCAAACCAUUCCUCUCUCCUGGCCCUUCUUGGUCUGGGGGCUCGACAUACUAGGCCCUUUCCCCCACGUUGUUGGAGGCUUUGAGUACUUGUACGUUGCAAUCAACAAGUUCACAAAGUGGCCGGAGGUGGAGGCAGUGAGGAAGGUCAUAGCUCAGUCAGCCUCAAGUUCUUCAAGGGACUAGUGUGCCGUUUUGGUGUACCCAACAGGGUCAUCACCGACAAUGGCACACAAUUCACAAGCCGCACCUUCAUGCAAUAUAUCCAAGACCUCGACAGCAAAGUCUGUUUCGCUUCCGUUGCUCACCCACGAAGCAAUGGUUAAGCUGAAAGGGCAAACACUGAAGUACUGCUAGGCUUAAGGACCAAGACCUUUGACAGGCUGCACAAGAGUGGAAGGCGCUGGAUUGAUGAGUUGCCGACGGUUCUUUGGUCGAUCAGGACGACGCCAAAUCGAGCCAUCGGCCAAACAGCCUUUGCCCUGGUAUGCGGGGCAGAAGAAGUUCUCCCCACUGAACUCAUAUAUGGGUCACCUCGAGUGCUCGCUUAUGAUGAGCUUGAGCAAGAGCAACUGCGGCAAGAUGACACAAUGCUCCUUGAGGAAGAUCGUCUUCUGGCGGCUGUGAGAGCAGCACGCUACCAGCAAGCCUUGCGCCGCUACCAUAGCCGCAAGGUUCAUGCCCGAAACCUUGAGGAAGGCGACCUUGUCCUUCGGCGCGUUCAAUCGGCCAAGAAUUCCAACAAGUUGACGCCAAAGUGGGAAGGCCCUUAUUGGGUAAUACGAGUCACCAGGCCCGGCGCAGUCCGCCUGGAGACCGAAGAUGCCGUUCCGGUGAGAAACUCCUGGAACAUUGAGCAUCUUCGCAAGUUUUACCCGUAAGGCGCGGCUUGCCGGGCCCCCCAGCAAGCCACCUUUUGUACAAGCAUUGCCGAUGAUGCAUGUAACCCUUUGUACAAAGCCAGGCGCAGACCCUGAGCACAAAUAAAUGAAGCGCUGGCGCCCUAAGUUAUAGCAUGCAUGCUAGGUCGAGUCUCGUCCUUGGUUAGGGUUGAUAGUGCUUAGCAGCGACUAACCCCUAGCUUAGAGGUCGAGUGUGCGUCUCUUUGUCAUUCUUUCAUCUUCUUUGGUUCGCAGGACUCACAGGUAUCCUUGUCGGAUCACUUGAGGAUGAAAAAGAGAAGAGGGACAGGCCAGCAUCUAGACCCCGGCAGGCCAGUAUUGCCGGGGGCUGCAAGAGCAAAGAUUCACCCACGGCAAACCAGAGUUGCCGGGGGCUACAGCUUCAGAUAAGUUCUUCAUCCCUUAUCAUGCAUUCCCUUAUGGACUGAGGUAUGUGAAACCUCGUUUUUUCCUAAAGCUACCGUGCUCCCCUAACUCUAGGCCCUAGGGCUCGUUCCUGGGGCCAGGUUUGGUAGUAGUCACGGCAGUGAGAGGAUGAAACAAGGAGCCUGAAUCGACCUCAUCCCUUCCUUCACCAAAGGUGUGAGAAAGGUCGAGCGAAGUGGGGAGAUGGCAAGGCCUGUUGCGGGGCAAGGGAAUGUUUAUCUUAAGGAUAUCAAGGAUUUACUCCUUGUCGUGGGUUCUACCCACAAACAAAUGACCUGGCAAACAUCCCUUUUUCAUUAAAAACAUUCCACUCAGGUACAGUCCAUAGAGAAUGAAAAACAUGAAUAAUGGGAUUACAAGUUUUAAAUUCAGCUAAGGCCCGAAGGCUUACAAACUAAAAAAAGAUAAGGUGCCCGUAAUCCCUUUCUUGUCCCUCUCCUCAGGAGGUAGGUCAAGGAUACGAAAAGGGCAAAAGGGGCGCCUAGGCGAGCUACGGGUGGCAGAAGACACGAAGAGAACAUCUCGGUGGCCGUCCGAAGGCUGGAUGGUGAUGGCGGCGCUAGAAGCAGAGCUCGAAGACGAGGCGGCAGUACAUCAGCACGUGUCGAAGGCGUCGGUGCCCGCGUACUCCGACUUGACGGCCUUGCCGCCCGCCCUCUUCCUCUUCCGCAGCCUCCCAAUGCCAGCCGCCCAAGGAGACGACCCCGAGAAGUUCAGGGAGCCGGCGAUGCGGAUGAUGGGGUCACCGGUGCCGCACGGAGCGGCACCCGAUGCCUAAUCGGACCCGUCAUCCUGCCGCCUACUACCCUCAUCAUCGCUGCUGCUGUCCUCCUCGUCACUCCCGCCCGAGGAGGAGUCUUCACUAUCAGAAGAGCUCUCCAUGCAGCACCUUGCACGGGUCCCAAAGCACCCAAAGACCUUGACGGAGAUAAGGCCACCCUCCAUCAAGCAGUGGAUAUGGGCAAACGUCUUCCAUCCCCGAUGAAGAUACAUCACGUGAGAGGCGGGGAAGUUGACGCGGGCCCACGUGCCACUGAUCCCGCAGCCCCUCAUGUGCAGCCACAACGACUCCGGCGGAUCCAGUUCCAUCUCCUACGCGAAUGGAGUCGGGUGAAGAAGGCGACGGUGAGGCGGCCGACGCAGCCUGACGAAGAACUCGCAAGGAUCAUCCCCAACAUGGCCCUCCAUGGAGGGAGGAACUGCCGGCGGAGGCAAGGCCGGCACGCUGCCCCGUCCUCCUCUUCCCCGAGCGCCUCGGCCUCGCCCACGGCCUUGCCCCCUCCCCCUUCCCCUCGCGGCCAGCUCUACCGCCGCAGGUGCAGGAGAAGGAGGGACGCGCUGUCGAGUGGCGACCCUCGCCGCCACCGUUGAAGGACCAGGAUUCCAUCUCUCCAUGACGGAUGGAAGGGGGGAGCAUAAGCUGAAGGAAGGAGGAGAUGAAGGAAUGCGGGACGCCAUCCCCCCCGUUCUUUAUAAAGGAACGGGGUGGGGGCUCGGCCUCCCGCUCAGCCAAUCAAGACGCGGAAGGCGCAGGGAACUAGAACCGACCCACCACCCCAGCCCGCAGCGGCCCGGUUUCUCGCCUCCACCGUUCGCCACCAAAAGCACAUGAGAGCCACGUGGCAGGCGUGCAGGACCAAGGCGACGGAUGAGGCGACCUCUCCCCACCCUGUGAUCGUGGGGAGUGGACGCCUUGAAGACCACGCCUCGGCCCGGUUCAGUAAAUGGGUCGCGCCUCCACGCCUCCCUCCGUUUAUGGGGAAGGCGCGAACCGCCCCCUUUACUACAGCGUGACGCAUGCAUGCAGAGCUCAGCCCCACGCAUGCCGCCCACGUCACACACGCCUCCCCACGCCGCGCCACGCGUGGGAAGCAUGGGAAGCGCAGCGCAUGAAGAGACUUACCGCGGUAAAAACCGCCCCGCCUGCCUGCGCACCGUUUUUGGGCCUAGCCCAACGACGCAAUUGCGCUUACGUGUGGCCCAGGCCCGGGGGCUCCUAUCGGUGUACAAAAAUAGGGGUACACUUUUUGUACACCUAUAACUGUGCACGGGAAGUCUGAGCCACAGGCUCCACCACACUGAGCAAGGCGAGGGAGGUGAGCCAAGGUAAGGCCGAAGCUCAGGAGAAGCAGAACGACGCCAAGACCAAGACCACAAAGAGCAAAGGGGACGGCAAGUACUUUCCCGCCGGGCUCCCCGGAGCCGCCGGCAAGGAUGUUGCCGGGGACACUGAGCCCGCCACAGGACGGCUAGCUCCGGCAUAGCGUCAAGCUCUUGUCAUCAAGACAGCCGCUCCUAUAGCGGAGGAGAUGCCUUUAGUCUUCGCCGUCGAGCCCCAGGCUCCAGUGUGGGCAUAUCAUACCGUCCGAUUCCUCCAAACAGGGGAACUUCCUGAAGAGUAGGAAGAAGCGGAAAAAGUAGCCCGUCGCUCUACCAUGUACCAGUUCGUCGAUGACGUCCUGUACAGAAAGAGGCCGAACGGUGUGAAAUUGAAGUGUAUCCCUCGGGAGGAAGGACUGGAGCUGUCGGCGGAGAUAUACGGAACCUUGAGGAAGGCGACCUUGUCCUUCGGCGCGUUCAAUCGGCCAAGAAUUCCAACAAGUUGACGCCAAAGUGGGAAGGCCCUUAUUGGGUAAUACGAGUCACCAGGCCCGGCGCAGUCCACCUGGAGACCGAAGAUGCCGUUCCGGUGAGAAACUCCUGGAACAUUGAGCAUCUUCGCAAGUUUUACCCGUAAGGCGCAGCUUGCCGGGCCCCCCAGGAAGCCACCUUUUGUACAAGCAUUGCCGAUGAUGCAUGUAACCCUUUGUACAAAGCCAGGCGCAGACCCUGAGCACAAAUAAAUGAAGCGCUGGCGCCCUAAGUUAUAGCAUGCAUGCUAGGUCGAGUCUCGUCCUUGGUUAGGGUUGAUAGUGCUUAGCGGCGACUAACCCCUAGCUUAGAGGUCGAGUGUGCAUCUCUUUGUCAUUCUUUCAUCUUCUUUGGUUCGCAGGACUCACAGGUAUCCUUGUCGGAUCACUUGAGGAUGAAAAAGAGAAGACAGACAAGCCAGCAUCUAGACCCCGGCAGGCCAGUAUUGCCGGGGGCUGCAAGAGCAAAGAUUCACCCACGGCAAACCAGAGUUGCCGGGGGCUACAGCUUCAGAUAAGUUCUUCAUCCCUUAUCAUGCAUUCCCUUAUGGACUGAGGUAUGUGAAACCUCGUUUUUUCCUAAAGCUACCGUGCUCCCCUAACUCUAGGCCCUAGGGCUCGUUCCUGGGGCCAGGUUUGGUAGUAGUUGCGGCAGCGAGAGGAUGAAACAAGGAGCCUGAAUCGACCUCAUCCCUUCCUUCGCCAAAGGUGUGAGAAAGGUCGAGCGAAGUGGGGAGAUGGCAAGGCCUGUUGCGGGGCAAGGGAAUGUUUAUCUUAAGGAUAUCAAGGAUUUACUCCUUGUCGUGGGUUCUACCCACAAACAAAUGACCUGGCAAACAUCCCUUUUUCAUUAAAAACAUUCCACUCAGGUACAGUCCAUAGAGAAUGAAAAACAUGAAUAAUGGGAUUACAAGUUUUAAAUUCAGCUAAGGCCCGAAGGCUUACAAACUAAAAAAAAGAUAAGGUGCCCGUAAUCCCUUUCUUGUCCCUCUCCUCAGGAGGUAGGUCAAGGAUACGAAAAGGGCAAAAGGGGCGCCUAGGCGAGCUACGGGUGGCAGAAGACACGAAGAGAACAUCUCGGUGGCCGUCCGAAGGCUGGAUGGUGAUGGCGGCGCUAGAAGCAGAGCUCGAAGACGAGGCGGCAGUACAUCAGCACGCGUCGAAGGCGUCGGUGCCCGCGUACUCCGACUUGACGGCCUUGCCGCCCGCCCUCUUCCUCUUCCGCAGCCUCCCAAUGCCAGCCGCCCAAGGAGACGACCCCGAGAAGUUCAGGGAGCCGGCGAUGCGGAUGAUGGGGUCACCGGUGCCGCACGGAGCGGCACCCGACGCCUAAUCGGACCCGUCAUCCUGCCGCCUACUACCCUCGUCGUCGCUGCUGCUGUCCUCCUCGUCACUCCCGCCCGAGGAGGAGUCUUCACUAUCAGAAGAGCUCUCCAUGCAGCACCUUGCACGGGUCCCAAAGCACCCAAAGACCUUGACGGAGAUAAGGCCACCCUCCGUCAAGCAGUGGAUAUGGGCAAACGUCUUCCAUCCCCGAUGAAGAUACAUCACAUGAGAGGCGGGGAAGUUGACGCGGGCCCACGUGCCACUGAUCCCGCAGCCCCUCAUGUGCAGCCACAACGACUCCGGCGGAUCCAGUUCCAUCUCCUACGCGAAUGGAGUCGGGUGAAGAAGGCGACGGUGAGGCGGCCGACGCAGCCUGACGAAGAACUCGCAAGGAUCAUCCCCAACAUGGCCCUCCAUGGAUGGAGGAACUGCCGGCGGAGGCAAGGCCGGCGCGCCGCCCCGUCCUCCUCUUCCCCGAGCGCCUCGGCCUCGCCCACGGCCUUGCCCCCUCCCCCUUCCCCUCGCGGCCGGCUCUACCGCCACAGGUGCAGGAGAAGGAGGGACGCGCUGUCGAGUGGCGACCCUCGCCGCCACCGUUGAAGGACCAGGAUUCCAUCUCUCCAUGACGGAUGGAAGGGGGGAGCAUAAGCUGAAGGAAGGAGGAGAUGAAGGAAUGCGGGACGCCAUCCCCCCCGUUCUUUAUAAAGGAACGGGGUGGGGGCUCGGCCUCCCCGCUCAGCCAAUCAAGACGAAGAAGGCGCAGGGAACUAGAACCGACCCACCACCCCAGCCCGCAGCGGCCCGGUUUCCCGCCUCCACCGUUCGCCACCAAAAGCACAUGAGAGCCACGUGGCAGGCGUGCAGGACCAAGGCGACGGAUGAGGCGACCUCUCCCCACCCCGUGAUCGUGGGGAGUGGACGCCUUGAAGACCACGCCUCGGCCCCGUUCAGUAAAUGGGCCGCGCCUCCACGCCUCCCUCCGUUUAUGGGGAAGGCGCGAACCGCCCCCUUUACUACAGCGUGACGCAUGCAUGCAGAGCUCAGCCCCACGCAUGCCGCCCACGUCACACACGCCUCCCCACGCCGCGCCACGCGUGGGAAGCAUGGGAAGCGCAGCGCAUGAAGAGACUUACCGCGGUAAAAACCGCCCCGCCUGCCCGCGCACUGUUUUUGGGCCUAGCCCAACGACGCAAUUGCGCUUACGUGUGGCCCAGGCCCGGGGGCUCCUAUCGGUGUACAAAAAUAGGGGUACACUUUUUGUACACCUAUAACUGUGCAUGGGAAGUCUGAGCCACAGGCUCCACCACACUGAGCAAGGCGAGGGAGGUGAGCCAAGGUAAGGCCGAAGCUCAGGAGAAGCAGAACGACGCCAAGACCAAGACCACAAAGAGCAAAGGGGACGGAGCGGACCCCCCCGGCAAGAUCCUUGGCGGGAGGCGGUUUUAGAAAACCCGGCAACACCCUUGCCAUGGCAGCUCACCCAACGCCUACGGAGCGAGUCACCCUUGAGUCCACUGCCCCCUUGGGGCAAGGAUUCGGGAGACAUCCCCGUGGUGGCAUGCAGAUCAUUGUGAAGGCAUUCAAGAUCAGAUACACCCUUUAGAAGAUGAUGAUCCUUGGCGGGAUCCCAGCCAAGGAGGACAACAAGGCCCCCGGCAAGAGCCUUGCCGGGGAUGACAGCAGGCGCCACGGCAAGACCCUUAAUGGGGCCCCGGCAAGGCCCUUGCCAAGAACACCCAUUGGGCCACCAUUAGGCCCACGCCAGUAAAACCUCCACCGCCAUUCGCAUGCAGCUGCCGACCCAACCAGCUGGGCAGGCACCCGCGUGACAGCAUGCGGAUCUUUGUGGAGACCCACCACUGUGCCACCUCAGCUGCCUGCCUGCCUACAUGGCACCGCGGGCGCCGCUGGCCAGGGCGCGUGUCAACACGAGAGGGAGCAGCGACGGACAAGACAGGGCUCUCCCCCGUCCCCGAUAAAGCAAGGACACCUGGGCAAGAUGCAUUAAAUGCGCCUUGUCAUGUAAUGCGAGGGAUAACCUCGCAUCACUGUUCCCUUUCCACCUCCUGUGUGCCACUGUGGCUACCCCUUUUCCUAUAAAAGGAGGCCCGAGGCGACCAGGAGGAGGAUUCGGAUUUUUGGAGCUCCUCACGCCCCAUAGCUAGCUCAAGAACACAGAUAUACAAUCCACCAAAGCAGGAGUAGGGUUUUACGCAUCCCUGUGGCCCGAACCUGGAUAAACGAACCGUGUGCUAUCUGUUUGAUCCGCUCUUCUCACAACCCCAUGCCCCGCAACCGUAGUAGGGAUUCUUGUGAUCCCAUAGGUGUCGUUCCCACCGACACAUUUACUAAUCAAAUUGACAUUCAUAUUAAGCAGAUAAUAUAUUCCAUUUCGAUGUUAAGGAAGCAGGAUUUCAUAAUUGAAAUACAUCGGAGUACAACAUGAUAUAGCUUCAGCACUCAGCUACCCCAUUACACAACUGCACCAGCAGCAAGUUUCACAUGCAACACCUAGAACCUUUCGAAAUUAGCAUCAUAGACGGUACAUAGAGAGAUGCAUCUCAUCUGAAAAACUGCUGAAGUGGAAGGCGAAUACUGAGCCUUCAUUCAUGUUGAAGGUCUUUGCAACUUUAGGCCAGUGCCUGUGGAUGAUUGACCGUCCAUUCUUCGACCUCUUAUGGAACACUUCAAUAUUAAAUAGUGGGUGUUGUAUGAAAACUUUCCUCGCCUCCUAACCACAGAGGUGGUUUGAGAGGUAAUCAUCAGUGAACCCAGAAACACAAGGAUGUGCAUAAAUAUCUUCUCUAUACUGGAAAUGGGGCAAAGGAGUAAUAAAAGGCAAGGUAUAAUAGUUAGUACCAUCUUGUAAACCUCAGUGCUUUCCACUAUUUCCCUGCAACACAUAUAAGGUAGUUAGUCAUCAUGUUAAGUAAGGGUUCACAUGCUAUCAGUAAAAUAUGUUGAUAAUAAAAAAGCACAUUGUAGAUUCAUCAGAUUAAUUCAAGCCACGUGGAAAACCCAUUUAUCCAAACCAAGCAUGAUUAAGAACUAGGAAAUAUAGCACUUGUAUAUCAUUCUCAUGUAUUAAGUGCAGCCAAAUUCGAUGUAUUCCUCACAUGGUAUACAAUAAUAGAAUGCAGCCACAACAAUUGAACAUCUCAUUGCAUAAUUGAACAAAGCAGUUAACUAAACACCACAACAAAUGAACCAAACGUUAACUCAGCACCACAUUGCACAAUAUAACAUACUCCUAAUAGAAGAUUAGGCAGUUAACCAAACCAAGCAUGCUUAACAACUUGGAAAUAUAGCAAUUGUAUUUGUUUCUCAUGUAUUUAGUACAACCAAAUUCUAUUUAUUUCUCACAUGGUAUACAAUAACAGAAUGCAGCCACAAUAAUUGAACAUCACAUUGCAGAAUUGAACCAAGUAGUUAACUAAACACCACACCAAAUGAACCAAACGUUAACUGAGCACCACAUUGCAUAAUAUAACAUACUCCUAAUAGAAGAUCAGACAGUUAAACAAACCAAGCAUGCCUAACAACUUGGAAAUAUUGCACCCUGAAGAAUUGAACAUCACAUUUGCUGAAUUGAACCAAGUAGUUAACUAAACACCACAUUGCACGACAUAUACAACAUAUACACUAUAGCAGAAGAUUGCAUGGUAAAAGUAAAUAGCACAAUUCACUAAAAUUUGUUAAGGAAAGGCAGUAGCUAGCAACUUGAACAUGGGUCCUUAUAGUGACCUAAUAAUACAAGUUGCUCCUCAUUGUUGGAGAUAUCGAUGACGAUUGGCUCCUUGGGCAUGGAAGAGGGCGAGGCCUCCGCAUCGUGGGUGCCCUCAUUGUAGUGGUGAGUUCCCUGAGCUGCUCCAAGCACCAACCGGCUGGCUCUCGAGAUGAGGUAAGCACGUGCACGCUGAAAAAACACCUCGUAGUCUUUGUCUAAGGCACCGAUGGUGGCCUCAAGAAAAUACCACGAACUGUUGUUUAAAGCAGCCAACCGCAUCGUGGCAUCGGCGCACGAGGUGUCAACGGUGGCCUCGAUGGAGAGGUGCUCCUCCAAGAUUAGGGGGUCUGCAUGAAUGGCAGCCAUCGCGAGCUCAUCCGCGCGUGCGGCCGCGAUUUGCAUCUCCGCUGCCAAAUGCUCCUUGAGAUCCUGGCUAUACUGCGUGCACCAUGGCUUGGGCCGACGCUUAUUUGGUGGAGGGGUCGGUGAUUUUGGUGGAUGGUGUCGUGCUCGCGCCAGUGGUUGGGCAUGUGGGAUGUGGAAGGAGGAGGAGGAUGGGGUCGGGUAUGGAUUACCUGCCUAGAUAGGCGAGGCCGAGCAGCGUGAAGGAGGGUCGCCGGUGAGGAGGCAGCGCUGCAAGCAAGGAGUGAAGGUUUCAACUUGGAAAGGAAGGCAGAAAUAGGGGAAAUGUGGCUUUUGGUAAGGGGGAUGGGGCGUGGAGGUAGAUAUUUCCGCGGAAGCUGAAAAUUUGAAAUCGCUUCAGCGAAAAAACUGGCGCGCAAAGUGUCAUCAGACAGGGUACCUUAUUCAGAGCAGGCUAUGGACUGUAGCCGUCUCACCUUCUCGCGUAAGCCGUAUGCGUACUAUACUCCGACAGUGCUCGAAGAUAUUUUGUGCUGCAUCUAACAUGGUUAGUUAUAAUAAACUGUGUGGGAUCUACUUGAUUUUUCGUCUUGAUUUGAAUUACAUAAUGGGGUCACAGCGGCCGUGUACGAUGUUUGAACUGCUAGACCUUUUAUCUGUAGUGAACAUGCAAAUAUAUUUGUGUCCUAAAAGAAUUGGAUUUAUUCAGGGUUUGCUUGGAAAUUUUUAUGCAUUAAGUGAGUUUUCAAUGCAUUUAUGUGCAUAAUUCAAAUUUGAACUACAUGCACAUGCUCCAGUGCAUAUAAAUUGGUUGAAAAAUCAAAUCUUUGUCCUUGGAUGCAUGCUUAGAUCCCAUGCAAGAAAUGUGAAUGAAUGUCAAACACCCUGCCACCAUCACUCGGCCCGCAAACAUUGAGAUACCUAGUUUUUAAAUUCUAGUAAGUCCAAAACUCGUCUAAAAUUCAUGAAACAUGGCAUGCUAUCAUGGAGCGACAUCAACAUGCCGUGGUAAAUUUUUUGUCCCAUUUGGGGCAGGUUUGGGUAUAUGCUUCUCACAAACCAGAGCUUCUUCCAACAAGCAUGAUGGUUUUGAUAGGGAACGUCCCACCUUUGGGGACGAAACGAUAUCCAUUGCCUCUUAUUGCAUUCAAUUUUUUUCUCGUGUCAACAUAGAAUAACAGGAGCGUUGGGUCAAUUUUUGGGAUUUUUCAGGGUUCGUUUGGACAUUUUUAUGCAUUAGUUGAGUUUUCAAUGCAUUUAUGUGCAUAAUUCAAAUUUGAACCACAUGCACAUGCUCUAAUGGGUAUAAAUUGGUAGAAAAAUCAAAUAUGUGUCCUUGGGUGCAUGCUUAGGUCCCAUGCAAGAAAUGGGAAUGAAUGUCAAACAUCCUGCCAUGGUCACUCGGCCACAAACAUUGAGAUACCUGGUUUUAAAAUUCUAGUAAAUCCAAAGCUCGAUCGAAAUUCAUGAAACUUGGCAUGCUAUCAUGGAGCGGCAUCAACAUGCUGUGGUAAUUUUUUUGUCCCAUUUGGGGCAGGUUUGGGGAUAUGUUUCUCACAAACCAGAGCUUCUAACAACAAGCUGGAUGGUUUCGGUAGGGAACGUCCCACCUUUGGGGACGAAACAAUAUCCCUUGCCUCUUACUGCUUUCAAAUUUUUUCUCGUGUCAAGAUAGAACAAUAGGAGUGUUGUGUCAACUUUUGGGUAUUUUCGGGGUUCGUUUGGACAUUUUUAUGCAUUAAUUGAGUUUUCAAUGUGUUUAUGUGUAUAAUUCUAAAAUGAACUACAUGCACAUGGUCUAAUGCAUAUAAAUUGGUUGAAAAAAAAUCAAAUCUAUGUCCUUGGGUGCAUGCUUAGGUCCCAUGCAAGAAAUGGGAAUGAAUGUCAAACACGCUGGCACGGUCACUCGGCCACGAACAUUGAGAUACCUGGAUUUUAAAUUCUAGUAAAUCUAAAGCUCGUCCGAAAUUUAUGAAACUUGGCAUGCUAUCAUGGAGCGGCAUCAACAUCACUACAAAAAAAUACACUUCCGUGAUGAUACGUGUUUGGCACAGUAGGUCGCAUUUUUCGUCAUGCAUGUACAUCCAUGACGAUUUUAUGACAGAAUCAUGAUAGUCAUACCUGUGCUGUUGUAGAAGUGUUCCAUGACAUUACCAAAAUUAUCAUCACGGAAGUGUCCACUUCCAUGACGAUAAAUCCCGCAUCACAGAAGUGCUUUCUGUUGGGGAACGUAGUAAUUUCAAAAAAAUUCCUACGCACACGCAAGAUCAUGGUGAUGCAUAGCAACGAGAGGGGAGAGUGUUGUCUACGUACCCUCGUAGACCGAAGCGGAAGCGUUGACGCAACGUAGAGGAAGUAGUCGUACGUCUUCUCAGUUCAACUGAUCCAAGCACCGUUAAUCCAGCACCUCUGAGUUCUUAGCACACGUUCAGCUCGAUGACGCUCCCCGGGCUCCGAUCCAGCAAAGCUUCGGGGAGGAGUUCCGUCAGCACGACGGCGUGGUGACGAUCUUGAUGUUCAACUGUCACAGAGCUUCGCCUUAGCACCGCUACAAUAUGAUCGAGGUGUAAUAUCGUGGAGGGGGGCACCGCACACGGCUAAGGAACGAUCACGAAGAUCAACUUGUGUGUUCUAGGGUGCCCCCCUGCCCCCGUAUAUAAAGGAGCAAGGGGGAGGCCGGCCGACCCUUGGUGCGCCAAGGAGAGGGGGGGAGUCCUCCUCCUAGUGGGAGUAGGACUCCCCUUUCCUAGUCCAACUAGGAAUAGGGAGGGGGAAGGAAAGAGAGGGAGAGGGAGAGGGAGAGGGGGCCGCGCCCCCCCCUCCUAGUCCUAUUCGGACUCCCCAUGAGGGGGGCGCGCCACCUCCUGGGCUGCUGCCCUCUCUCUCCCUCAGGCCCAAUAAGGCCCAUUACUUCCCCGGGGGGUUCCGGUAACCCCUCCGGCACUCCGGUUUUAUCCGAAAUCACCCGGAACCAUUCCGGUGUCCGAAUAUAGUCGUCCAAUAUAUCGAUCUUUAUGUCUCGACCAUUUUGAGACUCCUCGUCAUGUCCAUAAUCACAUCCGGGACUUCGAGCAACCUUCGGUACAUCAAAAUACAUAAACUCAUAAUAAUUGUCAUCGUAACAUUAAGCGUGUGGACCCUACGGUUCGAGAACAAUGUAGACAUGACCGAGAUACGUCUCCGGUCAAUAACCAAUAGCGGGACCUGGAUGCCCAUAUCGGCUCCUACAUAUUCUACGAAGAUCUUUAUCGGUCAGACCGCAUAACAACAUACAUUGUUCCCUUUGUCAUCGGUAUGUUACUUGCCCGAGAUUCGAUCGUCGGUAUCCAAUACCUAGUUCAAUCUCGUUAUCGGCAAGUCUCUUUACUCGUUCUGUAAUACAUCAUCUCACAACUAACACAUUAGUUGUAAUGCAUGCAAGGCUUAUGUGAUGUGCAUUACCGAGAGGGCCCAAAGAUACCUCUCCGACAUUUGGAGUGACAAAUCCUAAUCUCGAAAUACGCCAACCCAACAAGUACCUUUGGAGACACUUGUAGAGCACCUUUAUGAUCACCCAGUUACGUUGUGACGUUUGGUAGCACACAAAGUGUUCCUCCGGUAAACGGGAGUUGCAUAAUCUCAUAGUCAUAGGAACAUGUAUAAGUCAUGAAGAAAGCAAUAGCAACAUACUAAACGAUCGGGUGCUAAGCUAAUGGAAUGGGUCAUGUCAAUCAGAUCGUUCUACUAAUGAUGUGACCUCAUUAAUCAAAUAACAACUCUUUGUUCAUGGUUAGGAAACAUAACCAUCUUUGAUUAACGAGCUAGUCAACUAGAGGCAUACUAGUGACACUCUGUUUGUUUAUAUAUUCACACAUGUAUUAUGUUCCGGUUAAUACAAUUCUAGCAUGAAUAAUAAACAUUUAUCAUGAUAUAUGAGGAAAUAAAUAAUAACUUUAUUAUUGCCUCUAGGGCAUAUUUCCUUCAGUCUCCCACUUGCACUAGAGUCAAUAAUCUAGAUUACACAGUAAUGAUUCUAACACCCAUGGAGCCUUGGUGCUGAUCAUGUUUUGCUCAUGGAAGAGGCUUAGUCAACGGGUCUGCUACAUUCAGAACCGUAUGUAUCUUGCAAAUCUCUAUGUCUCCCACCUGGACUAGAUCCCAGAUGGAAUUGAAGCAUCUCUUAAUAUGCUUGGUUCUUUUGUGAAAUCUGGAUUCCUUUGCCAAGGCAAUUGCACUAGUAUUGUCACAAAAGAUUUUCAUUGGACCCGAUGCACUAGGUAUGACUCCUAGAUCGGAUAUGAACUCCUUCAUCCAGACUCCUUCGUUUGCUGCUUCCGAAGCAGCUAUGUACUCCGCUUCACAUGUAGAUCCCGCCACGACGCUUUGUUUAGAACUGCACCAACUGACAGCUCCUCCGUUUAAUGUAAACACGUAUCCGGUUUGCGAUUUAGAAUUGUCCGGAUCAGUGUCAAAGCUUGCAUCAACGUAACCGUUUACAAUGAGCUCUUUGUCACCUCCAUAUACGAGAAACAUAUCCUUAGUCCUUUUCAGGUACUUCAGGAUGUUCUUGACCGCUGUCCCGUGAUCCACUCCUGGAUUACUUUGGUACCUUGCUGCUAAACUUAUAGCAAGGCACACAUCAGGUCUGGUACACAUCAUUGCAUACAUGAUAGAGCCUAUGGCUGAAGCAUAGGGAACAUCUUUCAUUUUCUCUCUAUCUUCUGUAGUGGUCGGGCAUUGAGUCUGACUCAACUUCACACCUUGUAACACAGGCAAGAACCCUUUAUUUGCUUGAUCCAUUUUGAACUUCUUCAAAAUCUUGUCAAGGUAUGUGCUUUGUGAAACUCCAAUUAAGCGUCUUGAUCUAUCUCUAUAGAUCUUUAUGCCUAAAAUGUAAGCAGCUUCACCGAGGUCUUUCAUUGAAAAACUCUUAUUCAAAUAUCCCUUUAUGCUAUCCAGAAAUUCUAUAUCAUUUCCAAUCAGUAAUAUGUCAUCCACAUAUAAUAUCAGAAAUGCUACAGAGCUCCCACUCACUUUCUUGUAAAUACAGGCUUCUCCGAAAGUCUGUAUUAAACCAAAUGCUUUGAUCACACUAUCAAAGCGUUUAUUCCAACUCCGAGAGGCUUGCACCAGUCCAUAAAUGGAUCGCGGGAGCUUGCACACUUUGUUAGCUCCCUUUGGAUCGACAAAACCUUCCGGUUGCAUCAUAUACAACUCUUCUUCCAGAAAUCCAUUCAGGAAUGUAGUUUUGACAUCCAUCUACCAAAUUUCAUAAUCAUAAAAUGCGGCAAUUGCUAACAUGAUUCGGAUAGACUUAAGCAUCGCUACGGGUGAGGAGGUCUCAUCGUAGUCAACCCCUUGAACUUGUCGAAAACCUUUUGCGACAAGUCGAGCUUUGUAGACAGUAAUAUUACCGUCAGCGUCAGUCUUCUUCUUGAAGAUCCAUUUAUUCUCAAUUGCUUGCCGAUCAUCGGGCAAGUCAACCAAAAUCCAUACUUUGUUCUCAUACAUGGAUCCCAUCUCAGAUUUCAUGGCUUCAAGCCAUUUUGCAGAAUCUGGGCUCACCAUCGCUUCUUCAUAGUUCGUAGGUUCAUCAUGAUCUAGCAGCAUGAUUUCCAGAAUAGGAUUACCGUACCACUCUGGCGCGGUUCUCACUCUGGUUGAUCUACGAGGUUCAGUAGCAUCUUGUCCUGAAGUUUCAUGAUCAUUAUCAUUAGCUUCCUCACUAAUUGGUGUAGGUGUCACAGAAACAGUUUUCUGUGAUGUACUACUUUCCAAUAAGGGAGCAGGUACAGUUACCUCAUCAAGUUCUACUUUCCUCCCACUCACAUCUUUCGAGAGAAACUCCUUCUCCAGAAAGUUUCCGAAUUUAGCAACAAAAGUCUUGCCUUCGGAUCUGUGAUAGAAGGUGUAUCCAAUAGUUUCCUUUGGAUAUCCUAUGAAGACACAUUUCUCCGAUUUGGGUUCGAGCUUAUCAGGUUGAAGCUUUUUCACAUAAGCAUCGCGGCCCCAAACUUUCAAAAACGACAACUUUGGUUUCUUGCCAAACCAUAGUUCAUAAGGUGUCGUCUCAACGGAUUUCGAUGGUGCCCUAUUCAACAUGAAUGCGGCCGUCUCUAAAGCAUAACCCCAAAACGAUAGCGGUAAAUCAGUAAGAGACAUCAUAGAUCGCACAAUAUCUAGUAAAGUACGAUUACGACGUUCGGACACACCAUUAAGCUGUGGCGUUCCAGGUGGCGUGAGUUGUGAAACUAUUCCGCAUUGCUUCAAAUGUACACCAAACUCGUAACUCAAAUAUUCUCCUCCACGAUCAGAUCGUAGAAACUUUAUUUUCUUGUUACGAUGAUUUUCAACUUCACUCUGAAAUUCUUUGAACUUUUCAAAUGUUUCAGACUUAUGUUUCAUUAAGUAGAUAUACCAAUAUCUGCGUAAGUCAUCUGUGAAGGUGAGAAAAUAACGAUAUCCGCCACGAGCCUCAAUAUUCAUCGGACCACAUACAUCUGUAUGUAUGAUUUCCAACAAAUCUGUUGCUCUCUCCAUAGUACCGGAGAAAGGUGUUUUAGUCAUCUUGCCCAUGAGGCAUGAUUCGCAAGUACCAAGUGAUUCAUAAUCAAGUGGUUCCAAAAGUCCAUCAGUAUGGAGUUUCUUCAUGCGCUUUACACAGAUAUGACCUAAAUGGCAGUGCCACAAAUAAGUUGCACCAUCAUUAUCAACUCUGCAUCUUUUGGUUUCAACAUUAUGAAUAUGUAUAUCACUACUAUCGAGAUUCAAUAAGAAUAGACCACUCUUCAAGGGUGCAUGACCAUAAAAGAUAUUACUCAUAUAAAUAGAACAACCAUUAUUCUCUGAUUUAAAUGAAUAACCGUCUCGCAUUAAAUAAGAUCCAGAUAUAAUGUUCAUGCUCAACACUGGCACCAAAUAACUAUUAUUUAGGUCUAAUACUAAUCCCGAAGGUAGAUGUAGAGGUAGCGCGCCGACUGCGAUCACAUCGACUUUGGAACCGUUUCCCACACGCAUAUUCACCUCGUCCUUAGCCAAUCUUUGCUUAAUCCGUAGUCCCUGUUUCGAGCUGCAAAUAUUAGCAACAGAACCAGUAUCAAAUACCCAGGUGCUACUGCGAGCAUUAGUAAGGUACACAUCAAUAACAUGUAUAUCACAUAUACCUUUGUUCACCUUGCCAUCCUUCUUAUCCGCCAAAUACUUGGGGCAGUUCCGUUUCAAGUGACCAGUCUGCUUGCAGUAGAAGCACUCAGUUUCAGGCUUAGGUCCAGACUUGGGUUUCUUCUCUUGAGCAGCAACUUGCUUGCCGUUCUUCUUGAAGUUCCCCUUCUUCUUCCCUUUGCCCUUUUUCUUGAAACUAGUGGUCUUGUUGACCAUCAACACUUGAUGCUCCUUUUUGAUUUCUACCUCCGCAGCUUUCAGCAUUGUGAAGAGUUCGGGAAUAGUCUUAUUCAUCCCUUGCAUAUUAUAGUUCAUCACGAAACUCUUGUAGCUUGGUGGCAGUGAUUGGAGAAUUCUGUCAAUGACGCAAUCAUCUGGAAGAUUAACUCCCAUCUGAAUCAAGUGAUUAUUAUACCCAGACAUUUUGAGUAUAUGCUCACUGACAGAACUGUUCUCCUCCAUCUUGCAGCUGUAGAACUUAUUGGAGACUUCAUAUCUCUCAGUCCGGGCAUUUGCUUGAAAUAUUAACUUCAACUCCUGGAACAUCUCAUAUGGUCCAUGACGUUCAAAACGUCGUUGAAGUCCCAAUUCUAAGCCGUAAAGCGUGGCACACUGAACUAUCGAGUAGUCAUCAGCUUUGCUCUGCCAGGCGUUCAUAACAUCUGGUGUUGCUCCAGCAGCAUGCCUGGCACCCAGUGGUGCUUCCAGGACAUAAUUCUUCUUUGCAGCAAUGAGGAUAAUCCUCAAGUUACGGACCCAGUCCGUGUAAUUGCUACCAUCAUCUUUCAACUUUGCUUUCUUAAGGAACGCAUUAAAAUUCAACGGAACAACAACACGGGCCAUCUAUCUACAAUCAAACAUACAUAAGAAAGAUACUAUCAGGUACUAAGUUCAUGAUAAAUUUAAGUUCAAUUAAUCAAAUUACUUAAAGAACUCCCACUUAGAUAGACAUCCCUCUAAUCUUCUAAGUGAUCACGUGAUCCAAAUCAACUAAACCAUGUCCGAUCAUCACGUGAGAUGGAGUAGUUUCAUUGUUGAUCAUAUCUACUAUAUGAUUCACGCUUGACCUUUCGGUCUCCGUGUUCCGAGGCCAUAUCUGCAUAUGCUUGGCUCGUCAAGUAUAACCUGAGUAUUCCGCGUGUGCAACUGUUUUGCACCCGUUGUAUUUGAACGUAGAGCUUAUCACACCCGAUCAUCACGUGGUGUCUCAGCACGAAGAACUUUCACAACGGUGCAUACUCAGGGAGAACACUUCUUGAUAAUUUAGUGAGAGAUCAUCUUAUAAUGCUACCGUCAAUCAAAGCAAGAUAAGAUGCAUAAAAGAUAAACAUCACAUGCAAUCAAUAUAAGUGAUAUGAUAUGGCCAUCAUCAUCUUGUGCUUGUGAUCUCCAUCUCCCAAGCACCGUCAUGAUCACCAUUGUCACCGGCGUGACACCUUGAUCUCCAUCACAGCAUCGUUAUCGUCUCACCAAUUUUAUGCUUCCACGACUAUCGCUACCGCUUAGUGAUAAAGUAAAGCAUUACAUCGCAAUUGCAUUGCAUACAAUAAAGCGACAAUCAUAUGGCUCCUGCCAGUUGCCGAUAACUCGGUUACAAAACAUGAUCAUCUCAUACAAUAAAAUUUAGCAUCAUGUCUUGACCAUAUCACAUCACAACAUGCCCUGCAAAAACAAGUUAGACGUCCUCUACUUUGUUUGUUGCAAGUUUUACGUGGCUGCUACGGGCUUAAGCAAGAACCAAUCUUACCUACGCAUCAGAACCACAACGAUAGUUUGUCAAGUUGAUGCUGUUUUAACCUUCGCAAGGACCGGGCGUAGCCACACUCGGUUCAACUAAAGUUGGAGAAACAGUCACCCGCAAGCCACCUAUGUGCAAAGCAUGUCGGGAGAACCGGUCUUGCGUAAGCGUAUGCGUAAUGUCGGUCCAGGCCGCUUCAUCCAACAAUACUGCCGAACCAAAGUAUGACAUGUUGGUAGGCAGUAUGACUUAUAUCGCCCACAACUCACUUGUCUUCUACUCGUGCAUAUAACAUUAAACCAUAAAACCUAGGCUCGGAUGCCACUGUUGGGGAACGUAGUAAUUUCAAAAAAAUUCCUACGCACACGCAAGAUCAUGGUGAUGCAUAGCAACGAGAGGGGAGAGUGUUGUCUAUGUACCCUCGUAGACCGAAGCGGAAGCGUUGACGCAACGUAGAGGAAGUAGUCGUACGUCUUCUUAGUCCAACCAAUCCAAGCACCGUUACUCCGGCACCUCCGAGUUCUUAGCACACGUUCAGCUCGAUGACGCUCCCCGGGCUCCGAUCCAGCAAAGCUUCGGGGAGGAGUUCCGUCAGCACGACGGCGUGGUGACGAUCUUGAUGUUCAACUGUCGCAGGGCUUCGCCUAAGCACCGCUAGAAUAUGAUCGAGGUGUAAUAUCGUGGAGGGGGGCACCGCACACGGCUAAGGAACGAUCACGAAGAUCAACUUGUGUGUUCUAGGGUGCCCCCCUACCCUCGUAUAUAAAGGAGCAAGGGGGAGGCCGGCCGGCCCUUGGUGCACCAAGGAGAGGGGGGGACUCCUCCUCCUAGUGGGAGUAGGACUCCCCUUUCCUAGUCCAACUAGGAAUAGGGAGGGGGAAGGAAAGAGAGGGGGAGGGAGAGGGAAAGGGGGCCGCGCCCCCCUCCUAGUCCUAUUCGGACUCCCCAUGAGGGGGGGGGGCGCCACCUCCUGGGCUGCUGCCCUCUCUUUCCCCUCAGGCCCAAUAAGGCCCAUUACUUCCCCAGGGGGUUCCGGUAACCCCUCCGGCACUCCAGUUUUAUCCGAAAUCACCCGGAACCAUUCCGGUGUCCGAAUAUAGUCGUCCAAUAUAUCGAUCUUUAUGUCUCGACCAUUUCAAGACUCCUCGGCAUGUCCAUGAUCACAUCCGGGACUCCGAACAACUUUCGGUACAUCAAAAUUCAUAAACUCAUAAUAACUGUCAUCGUAACGUUAAGCGUGCGGACCCUACGGUUCGAGAACAAUGUAGACAUGACCAAGAUAUGUCUCCGGUCAAUAACCAAUAGCGGGACCUGGAUGCCCAUAUUGGCUCCUACAUAUUCUACGAAGAUCUUUAUCGGUCAGACCGCAUAACAACAUACGCUGUUCCCUUUGUCAUCGGUAUGUUACUUGCCCGAGAUUCGAUCGUCGGUAUCCAAUACCUAGUUCAAUCUCAUUAUCAGCAAGUCUCUUUACUCGUUCUGUAAUACAUCAUCUCACAACUAACACAUUAGUUGUAAUGCUUGCAAGGCUUAUGUGAUGUGCAUUACCGAGAGGGCCCAGAGAUACCUCUCUAACAUUCAGAGUGACAAAUCCUAAUCUCGAAAUACGCCAACCCAACAAGUACCUUUGGAGACACCUGUAGAGCACCUUUAUGAUCACCCAGUUACGUUGUGACGUUUGGUAGCACACAAAGUGUUCCUCCGGUAAACGGGAGUUGCAUAAUCUCAUAGUCAUAGGAACAUGUAUAAGUCAUGAAGAAAGCAAUAGCAACAUACUAAACGAUCGGGUGCUAAGCUAAUGGAAUGGGUCAUGUCAAUCAGAUCGUUCUACUAAUGAUGUGACCUCAUUAAUCAAAUAACAACUCUUUGUUCAUGGUUAGGAAACAUAACCAUCUUUGAUUAACGAGCUAGUCAAGUAGAGGCAUACUAGUGACACUCUGUUUGUUUAUAUAUUCACACAUGUAUUAUGUUUCGGGUUAAUACAAUUCUAGCAUGAAUAAUAAACAUUUAUCAUGAUAUAUGAGGAAAUAAAUAAUAACUUUAUUAUUGCCUCUAGGGCAUAUUUCCUUCACUUUCGUCAAGGGUGGCCGACACGUGGCAUCCACCGUAACGGAACACCGUUAAGCUAUCGGGUCGGGUUUUGGAUCCGAUAACCCGUUAACAGCCCCGACCAAUGGGGAUUUUCGUGUGUAAAAUCAUCAUUCGCUGGAGGAAACACGUGUCGGCUCAUUGUUGGGCAGAUGUCAUCCACUCAUUGGACAGAAGGCGCCUAUGAUACGUCGACACGUGGCACGGCCCAACAAAGGCCCACUCUUGUGAAAAGGCCAACCCGUUUGACUUGGUAAAAAGGUGGCGGGCUGGCCCAUGUAAAGCCUGUUAACGGCCUGUUCGCAUAUAGCCCAUUUACAGCCCGCUAACCCAAGGCAUGUUACGCCCUAUCCAAAUUAGGCCCACUAGCAUCAUUGGGCCACCCAAUAUGAUUCCAGUCCGUUUUCACUUCUGGCCCAUGUAUGGCCCAUGAUGUCUUUCAGCCCAUAUGAGGCCCUAUGUAACUCUUGGCCUAUUAACGGCCCGUGGUGAAACUGGCCCGUAAUGAAUAGUGUAUCACUUUACACCCAUUAAUGGCCCGUGGUGAAACUGGCCCGUAAUGAACAGUAUAUCACUUUAUACCCAUUAAUGGCCCGUUAUUCUGUUGGGCCAUUUCCAGCCCAUGUUAUCUUUAGGCCUUCUCAGAGCCCAUUUAUUCUUGGGCUCAUUUCCAGCAUUUAUUUACUUACGACCCAUUACUGUCAUUUUCUGCUUGUGGGCCAAAUUCAGCCCGUGGUUACAGUCGGCCCGUUUGUGGUCCUUUAAUACGUUGGGCCGUUUUCAUAGCAUCAUCAAAUACGGCCUAUUAACGAUGGCCCGUUAUGGUCGGCCCAUGAACGGACGAUUCCAACUCUAGCCCGUUUACAGCCAUAAUGCGGCCUGUUAUUGGCCCAUGUUUGGCCAAUCGAUCAGACUGCCCGUAUAAGGCCCAUUGAUGAUACGACCCGUAGAAGGCCCAUUGUUUCUAUGGCCCGUAGAAGGCCCACUGUUUCUACGGCCCGUAGGAGGCCCAAUGUCACUACAGUAAAUAUUAGCCCAUGGUUAUUGUGGCCUAGUUUUAAAAAAUAGGUUAUUGCAGCCACUAGAAAACCGCGGAAAAAGAACUGCAAUGACUACAAGCAAACAAAUAAACAAGACAACAAGGAAAUAAAUAAGAAAGCAACUUACGCUAGGCUAUUACGGCUAUCACACAUAUUACAUCCACUUGGUAUCAAAGUUCGCCACCAGUGCAAAUAAACGCGCUGACAAAAGAAUAUACAAAAUAGAGAGCACUUCAGAAGGCACUAGGCCUGGCCAGGUCGCCCCCCCCCCAAACAGCUGAAGAAGCUGAGUAGACCUCAGUUGUGUCAAUGAUAGAUGCAUCAGCAAUAGAUUUAAGGCAUGAUGGUGCGCACGGCAGCCCUCUGGCAUCUUCAUUGCAUCUUUGACUUCAAGUCGGAGCUGAGUUGAAGCAAGCCUUUCCGCUUUAAGUUGAGACUAAAGAAGUCGAACUGAUUGAGGCAGCAACUACACAGAAGUUUUCUCACACCUGCUGGUGAGUAGCUUCAACUCACUGUCUUCAUCAAGACAGGACCUUGCGGUCAUCUCACUGUCCUCAAGAUGGUUUGGCUCCCUAUCUUCCCUAAAGUUCUGCCUGGCGUAAGAGAUACAAGUCUGAAAGAGAAACAAGGAGACAUGUAAUAGGUUUCACAAUUAUAUAAGCAAAAAAAUGGAUCUGUUCUCCAUAAGGAACAUGUUUUUACAACUACAAUUUGAAACUAGUAGUUGUUGCAAACAUCCAAUCAGAUGUAAAUAGCAAAGCAAAUAGCAGUGGAGGAAAUGAUGCCUAUCCAAAUCUAUACUAGAACAAAGUUUGAAGGCUUGAGAAGGAUGAACUUACAUUACAUGUAAACACGGGCUGGCCAAAGCCCUUCUCCAUGUUGAUGGAAGGAUAAUUCAAUAAAUUCCCCAAAGAAAAUUCUUUAUAAGCUUUGCCAUUAUUCUACAUUUUGCAAAGAGUAAAUAUAGAUCAAAUAAUAUAGGAAGAAACAGAGGAUAAUGAAGCCCAGGUGCAGACUGAUGAUACAUAAUCAAAUAGCAAUUAAUUAAGUCCAGCAUUACAAGGCAAAAGGGAGAGAGGUACUGACAAGAGCAAUGCAGAGCCCAUUAUUGUUUUGAGUUGUAUGAUCCUUUGAGCAAGGAGAUUUAUCUGAAAUUAGUUUUCAUACAAGAGAGAAGGUAAGGCACAAGCAGAAAUUUAGGAGUUCAAAUUUUGAAUUGAUAUCAUAGGCAUUACUUGAUGUUGGACUCCCAUCAGUUCUAGUAGGGGUUUGGCCACUGGAGUAGGGGUAAAGUGUGGUACAGUUGGGCCUGUGUUUUGUGUGGCUACUGAUCUAUCGGAUUUAACAGGUAUCACUACCUUUUCCAAAUACCUAGUUUGUACUCCUUGAGGAUCUGCACUCACCCUCUUCGUUUUGGACAUCUAUUAUGAAAGAACAACAUUUGACUGGAAAAACAUAGUGUGAUGACACAUGGAAUAGGUACAGAAAAUGGAUAGGUAUGGCAUAUACUAAUAUAUGAUGCUUAAACUAAGCAGAUGGUGUAACAAAGUAGAAGUAAUGCAAGAGGUCAGAUGCAAAAUAUGUGCGACCAAUACAACUUUGCAAAGUUAGAGCAAGCACCUUGAUGGGUGAAUAAGAUAGGCCAUCCUCCACCAUGCCAAGUUUGUUAGCCAGUGGAUCAUUCCGCAAUAUUCCUCUCGUGCGCCCAUUCUCAUAUUCAUUUUGAUAAUGUUCAAUAUCUGACAUGCAUGAAAACAUGAAAACAAGUGUGGUUUUCUUUGUAAUGCAGAAGUGAUUCUAAUCCAAUACUGCCUCCCUGUAAACCCCUUUGUGCUAUCUCUGCAAUUCUUUUAAAAGAUGCCAUGCAUGCUGUAAUUUGUUGUGUGCAUUAAUAUAAUGUGGCCUACUACUCAAAAUAUGAGAGCUCCAGAAGUGAUGACACUUCGCAGAUGAUAGCUUCAACAUAUAGUAAAGAAGAACAAGUCGACCUGACCUGGCAGAUUCAAAAUAUACUAAGGGAGAACAACUCGACCUGACUAGUCGACCGCAAGAGAAGAGUAUCAUCUUAAAGAAGAGCAGAAGAGCAAGCAGAUUGAAGAUAUUACAAGUCUUUCAAUACAAUGUCGGUCGGCCACCCAUGUCGGUCUCUCCAUAUGUGGCUCACAUGCAUUUCGAAACUAAAGUAGGAACAUUUAGCUAACCAAUUAAACAUCUCUCAGUUUUACUAAUAUUAGCAAUAAUAUCAGAUAUGAAUUUGUACAACUAAGCUUGUUUAGCUCGAUGGGUGGAGCAGUGCUAUUACGACACGAACCACGUAGGCUGAUUGUGGUCAUCAUAAAAUGGGGAAAACAUAAGCGUGAUGAGUACAAUGUUGACCGUGGCAGUGGGAUGGCAUAUCUGAAGCUACACACCGAGCAAAAGGUAGUUAGCAACCAAUGUUUGCUUUAAAAUAACAACUAAGAUUUGGUAUGGCCAAGAAAGUAUGGUCAACAAGUGACAAAGAAAUGCAAUUAUGCUGUCUCUCUAUAUGUCGCGACAUGGAUUUGGAAACUCAAGUGGGACCUUUAGCUAAGCAAUUAAAUGUGUCGGUUAACUAAUAUCAGUAUCAUAUCACAAUCAUAUUUGAACAACUAAGCUUUCGAAUUCGGAGUGUUGUGUUGUUUAGCUUGAAGGGUGGAGUAAUGCUAGUACAACAGAAAGCACCUACGAAGAUCAUAGUAGAGUACUCCCUCCAUUCGAAAUUACUUGUCGCAUAAAUGGAUGUAUCUAGACGUAUUUUAGUUCUAGAUACAUCCAUUUCCAAGACAAGUAAAUCCGAACAGAGGGAUUAGAUAAAAGGGGAAAACACUUAGCAUCAAGAGAAAAAUCAAGAAAGUGGAACUAGCUCGACUAGUGGGUGGGGCACAUGCUCUUGGAAAUGAAUAUAGGAACAUUAGGUCACCAAUUAAACGUUCUCUGUUUUAGUGGUAUGAGCAAGAUAUCAGAUUUGUAUUUCAACAUGUAAGCUUUGGGUUGAGGUCUUGAGGAGCAAUGCUAGCACGACACGAAGCACCUACGAUAAUGGUAGUGAAUAUAAAGGGGGAAACCAUAAGCUUUACGAGUAUAGUGCCCAUGCCAUGGUGGAUCUGGAGGUGCAAACCGGACAAAGCUACUUCACAACCAAUGUUUGCUUUCAACUAGCCACUACGAUUUGGUACGGACAAGAAAAGUACUGUAAACAAAUUACGAUCUAUUUUUCCAGGUGAGAUCAAUAACUUAAGCACAUAUGGAAGAGUACCACCUCUCUUGCGACGCCGUGUAGGCCUAUGCUGAUACGUUGAGGGUGCUGCGGAUGCGAUCGCUGUCGGCGGCGCGGAAGAAGACUUUAGACGGUAGACAGCCGGGUUGGGGGAUAUAUCCUGUUGCCGUGGACGAGGCGGUCGUAGGAGCGGCAACAACAAGGUGGACGACGACGCCGAUGAAUCGAGAGGAGGCGAUGAAAGGAUCCUGGUCCAGCACCGUGGAUGAGAGACGUCCAUCUCUUGCAGUGGACGACGGGGUAGGGGUAGCGGCUCCGGCAAGGUGGAGGAUGGAGUGGUGGACGGAGAAGGCUGGCCGAAGUGCGGAGGUUGUCAUGCCACCGACGGUAUAUGAAUGGGGAAAUGGAGGGGAGGGGGGAUCUCAAACUUUGGGACACGCUUCUCUGAAAUGGGGGAAAGUUACGAACUUAUCCCCCAUUUAAAAUUUCGGACAUCGCGUCGGUUGGGGAUAGGACGGUAAUCUCGCAUCUCCCAAAUAUUUGCCGGUAACUAUUUCAGGCGAGGAGAGGGUGUUUUACCGCCCACGGUUGACACCCACGGUGUAUGAACGGGGAUGACAGGUAGGGCGGUUGUGUCAUGUCUGAUGGAAGUUACACAUCUGCCCCUAUUUAAAAUAUUAGCCUACAUCGAUUUCGAACGAGGAGAGUUUGUUUUGCCGCCCAUCGUGUAUGAAUGGAGAAAUGGAGGAAGAGACACAUGUCUUUCGGACGAGCUUGAAUCAAAUGUGUUUUCCUGCCCACGUUUUGCGCCCACCGUGUCUGAAUGGGCUCAGAGGUUGUCGUGUCACGUCUGAUUGAAGUUACUAGUCUACCCCUAUCGACAACAGUGUAAAUCCGGUCGAUAAGGAUGUCAAGUGUCAGGGGUAGAUAGUAAUUUCCAUCUCGCAAACACUUGCUUUGGGCAGCCCACAAAUUAUAGUGGCUGUUUAGCCACUUCAUUCAAAACAUGGGAGAAUUAGCAUUCAUGUUUGCCCUGGCACCUGGCAAACUAAAUUCAAAUCCAAUUUGUAUUCAAUUAUGAAUAUCCACAGAUAAUUAUACGUUUUGUUAUUUAUUUCUUCAAAACUACAACAAAGAUUUAUUCCACCUUUAUAUAUGAUUAUGAUUUAGAAAUGUUGUGAUCUUCGAAUUCAGUAGGUUGGUUACACUCUGAGUCAAACAGUUAUUUCAUCCAAUACAAUAUGCUCACACGAAAAACAGUUCACCUUAUGUCAAUCAUACAAGUACUGAGGAUUCCCUCGCCUAGAAAAUUCGGAUCAUUACAACACAUGGACAACAUAGGGGGUCUUGCAACAUAAUCCAUUCAGAGACAUGACACGACAUGCAAGUACAAUAAUCUAAUGACAAUUUCAACUGGUAUCUAAAGAAAAACAUGGAUUACCUUGGGCUUUAGAUAGCAGAAAUAGCAGGACCUCCUCCAUCUUCAAAUGAAACAAUCUUACUUCCUACAAUUCUUUGGUUGCUUGCAUAAUGCGUGCCGCUAAUUCCGUAAUUUCCAGCCUCAAGAUAAAGAUUACCUCAUUCAUGACAGACACACCAUCUCUUUCUGCCUCUAGUAGAGCCUCAAGCACUAUAAUAUCUGUGCUCAGACUGCUCUCCGACGGUGUUGCCUCUGAACUGCUACCAUCUGGUAACAUGGAUGGCGCACUACUUCCACAAAUGGAUUCUGGAGUUGUACUUUGUGUCCUAGUGUGAACGGCAGCCUGAAAGGUUUCCGCUGGAUAUCAGUAAGAGAUAGUUAUCGUAUGAUCCAGGCAAAUAAGCUUACAUGGUAAACAACGGACGAAUUAUUGCCGAGCAUGGCAAACUAUAUUUAAAUGGUUCGAAGCAGCAUCAGCUGAAAAGAAAUUAAAAUGGUAAGAUGAAACUAGGGAUGUAAGUGGCAAAUAAACGACAUCCUCCAGUCCCAUCUAGUUAGUUUUUGCUACCUCCCUAGUUCAUUUUCCUCAAAAAAUAAAAACUAUUUUGAUCUAUCAUACCACUAGUCGACUUUAAUCAGGAUUAAACGGGACCCUGUUGACAUCCCUAGUUGAAAGGGAGUGUACAAGCGCUAUAUUUCAGUUGCCAAGGCAUCUAAGCAGUUGAAAUAAUCUGAGAAAGCACUUAACAGUGUGGUCUCAUAUAAACUACGAAGACAGUCUUGUGAUGAAGUUGAGAGGAAAAGUUAAGGACUCAAAUGAAAUAGGCAUGCAUUUCUAUACGAUAGUACAGCAGGCACUGCUGACAUAUUGGCCAACUCAGGUAUAGCGUAACAACAAAUAAGCAUUCAAAUCAAGCAAUACAGCAAAGCAGACAACUGAACUAUUUGUAAUUCGGUAGGAUUACAUGUUGAGGGCACAAGCCAAGAAAGCAGUCCACUCGCAUUGCAUUUCACAUGUACUAAAACACACUGGCUUAACAUAUGUUGCUGUGAAGCCUAGCUGCUGUUGGAAUGUUCUUUGAGGAUAUCGUCAGCAUCCCGUGGUUGCAAAUCUAGUUUUUGUAGUUUAUUCUGCACCAUAUAUUUAGGUAAAAAUAAUUUUAGUCGCAUGCACUGGUCCGAAUUGAUCACCAAUGGUUCAUCUAAACUAAUGAAAGAAGGGUGUGUGCAUACACAACAAUAUAUCUGCUUCCCUCUAUUUUUAUGGUUGUUCGAGGUGCCAGCCCCAAAAGAACAAAUAUUUUUCUUGAUGGGGUUGGCAGCUCCAUAAUUAAUAGAAGCAUCAAAUUAGUCAUGCAACUUGGGAAGAUCAAGAACACACAAAAAAGUAAUGAACAGAGGCUCGGAGCAGUGAUGUAAUAGCUAGCAUCAUAAAAUGUAGGGUAAAACAAACAAAAAGCAGCGAAACCACAUGCUAGUUUGUUGAUGUGUAAUUAAACAUAGAGAACAUUAAGCAGUCUGAUGGAACCAACAGGUGGCAUCAGAACAAAACUAAAGCAUAUUAACUAUAUGUGCACUGGUAUGUAAUUUAGCACAUGUAACAUGUUCAUUGCCAGAAGUAUGGCCCUACAGGUGCAAGCAGAAUAACGCGUCUCAUGAAAAACUGAAUGAUGCCCUAAAGAAAUUCAAAGGUGCGGUGCUCAUGCUAGGAAAGUGAAUGUAGGCCCCGGCCGUUGGAUAAUAGUACCUGAUUCUCGGCGGCAUAUGGGUAUCGUUGUCAUACUUGAUAGCUAAGGAUCGUCGAUGGUGCUCGUGUUGCGGUUGAGUUUGGACCGGCUGUCGCCGUCGCUGAAGCGGCUCCGGUGCUAUGGUUGCGGCGCCUGUCAACAUACAAGAAAGCUCAUCUGUGGUAAGUGAACAGUUGCAUGAUAAAGAGAAAAACCGAAGGAGUACAAAUCGAAAUAACCUGUUGAGGCUGCGGUGUCAGUAAAGUAGGGCCGGUGGAGUUGAAUAUGGCGUCCGUGGAGCGGGUCUGGUGCAGUGGACGAAGGCUUCGGCAGGCGCGUUGUACAGUGCUUUCGGUGAGGCGGAUCUGUUGCGGCGGACGAGGGCUUGUAUGAAGGGGCAGCGAAGGGGCGGACGAGGGAGUCAGUGAAGGGCCUACACUGUGGUGGACGAGGGCACUGGUUAAGCAGAUCCGGUGCGGUGGACCAUGAUGGCGGUCAAGGAGAUCUGGAGUGCUGGACAAGCCAGUCGCUGAAGCGGCUCCGGUGAAGUGGUGAGUUGGCAGUUGGGGGUUCCAAGGUGCGGAAGGUAUUUCCGACGGGGUGUGAGGUCCACCGUUGCGGCGGAGGACUAGAUUCGGCGGCUUGCCGUGAUUGAGGGGUCGGGGAGGGGAAGGGGAGGGGCUCUUGGGAAGAAUGUUGGGGGCAAAGAGGGGCAAACAAUUGAGUUAUCAAAGCAGCCCUUUUCUGUUCAUGUGGCAGGGGUAAAACAGGAAUAUCGCAGGGCUAAACUUUCGGGCGCGUGAUAUUUCAGUGUGAGCGGGAAGCCUGAAAGCUAUUGGCGCCUAAAAUUAUAAGUAUUCUGCUCUCGUACGGCUGACAAUGAUAUCUUGGCCGACAAUUUAUUUGUUUUGCACGCAAAAAAAUGUGCAAGUUUUGAAAAUCAAUGUCUCCAACUCGAAACUUAGAUUAUCCAUUCAAUUCAAAUAUGGAUCAUUGAGCUACUACAAGCAAAUACCAUCAUACGGUCCAAUUCAAAUGAAAUUCCAAAUGUGUUUAUCCUAAAUAUGAUGAAAAAAGCAAAAAUGUGUAUGUGUAUGAAUAAAGUGGAUGAUUAUAUGUGUAUGAAUAAAGUGGAUGAUUAUAAAGUUUGAACAUGCCCGUAUGUGUAUAUCUCUAGGUUUGAUAUAGGAAUUUGAAAUCACGAAAUCCUGGCUUAAAAAAUGUACCUUCUGUUUAAAUGAAUUACAAAAGCUAAUGAUGGAGUCGAAUUCCAAAAUUCCAAUCUUAGGUUUGUAAUUCUGGUACAUCAAGGUAUAUCACGCAUGUUCAAAAGUAUCGUUAUCUCAUAGUACAAACUGUGAAACAAAUUGAUCAACCAUGAGUGCACAAUAUCUCAAUUACGCUAAAGUCCCUCAAAUAUAGACACCUCACUCUUUAUCUUAAGUCAACCCCCCCCACCACCACACACACACACACAUAGAGAAGUCGUUCUCUCCCCCAAACACCAACACACAAGCACAUUAACACCCCUCUCUCUUGUAAAGUCCGGACCCCAACAUAGGUCUCUAUCACUUUGUCUCUCGGGCAUGCACACAUCUCUUACCUCACUCUCUAGGUCUCCCACUAUCUCUCUUACCCAAGCACACGCACUAUGUAGAGUGUAUAUUUCCCAUACACACAAAACAUUGCCCCCAAACUUCUAUCUCCCUAGUUAUGUGGUUCUCACGCACUCACCUCACACACCACCCCCACUACAAACGAGCACACUUUGUCUCCUUGUGCACCACUCUCCUCUUUCUAUCUCUCCCACAUGCGGACCCGCCCCCAGCUCCUUCCCUGUAUACAUAUAUGUCGUGACUCUCUGCAUAGCUCCCUAAUGUAUAAUCGUUCUCGAUUUCGCACAUUGUUCUCUACACCAUCUAUUCUAGAUCUCUCAUGAAGUCCCUAUCACACACGCGAUAACUCGCUUCCCUUGCGUCUCCGUUCAUAGGCCAAUUUCGGACAACAUCAACAUUGUCUCCCUAUCUAUACGCCAUUUAUUGACACAAACGACCCCUCUCACCCCCUCUCUUCCUCUCUCUCUCUCUCUCUCUCUCUCUCUCUCUCUCUCUCUCUCUCUCUCUCUCUCUCCGCCGCUAGCUCUCUCUUUCUCUCGCUGUCACACCCCUCUCCCACACACACACUCGAUGUCCCUUCCAAAUAGUCUGCUCCCCCGCCCGCACCCGUGCUAUCUCGCUACUACACAUGUCACACCAUUCCCCCUUCCCUUAUACUAGGUUUACAUCAUUAGUGGUCUCUCUACUCCACAUACACUCUCUCCCUCUCACACACAAACGCGUGCACAAACACAAACAGACACGCACAAACACCCAUUUAUCUGGAUCCUCAUCUCUCCUCAUGUCCGCAUGUGUAUCUCACACACUCACUCUCUAAUUAUGUAUAUGUGUCUCCACGUUACACAACACAAAGCCCCAUGUACAUGUCUCUCUCUAUCCACCACACACAUAGACACAAAGAAUCUGUUAUCAUUGCCUCAGUCUCUAACAUAUCACACACGCACACUGUCUCUCUCUCUCUCUCGCAAACACGCUCAACAAGGGUUUCCCCGUGAAUAACUUACUGUCUAUUCAUCAACAGUCGUGGCAGUACGGCGAACACGAGACGUGAAAAAGAAUAAAUCUACACAUUCUUAGACCACCUAGUAUGACUACUAGGACUAGAGCAAGCCAAAAAGGGUGCCGCUGUCACCCCCUCCUUGUCGGCAACGGGAAAAUCUUUGUUUUCCACAGUCGAGAAGUCAUUGUGCUAAGGCCCCACAUGCCGAGGCGUUGAAUAGAAUGUAGAUGCUAGUUUACGGAAGCAAGAAUUGAGAAUACAUUUGUAUAUCCAUACUUAUAUUUCUUCUCUUAUAAAAAACCCAGUUGGUAAUGAUGCUACGUGUGCCAUCUUGCAAUAUAGACCGUCCAUCUCCGCUCAGUCUGACCACCAAGCACCACCACACCCCACUCCUCUUCCCCUUAUCUCAUAUUUCUCGAGAUAUCAUUAGUUUUUAUACAUGGGAUUACUCCCGCAAGGGUCAAUCACAACAAGUGUUUUAUAAAAAAAUGCAUCUUGAUGUUCCGUGCAAUGCAUGGAUCUUGCUACUACUCCUACACAAAACAAAGUUGGUGAUGCUGGUGUGUCUGCCAUCCAUAGUUUUUGACCAUUAGAUCUACAUCUAACGAUUGUGAGGUAAGUUGUUGCCUUUUCUCACCAACAUCCCACUUGUCUACCAAUUUGCAAAAAAACAACUUGUCUACCACUUGUCUACCAAUUUGCAAAAAAAAACCCAUAGAUUUUUAUGACCACACAUGUUAUUGUUAGAGUUGAUAUGAGAACAAUUGGCAUCUAAUGAUUGUUAGAAUACAUAUUAUGAGCAUAACAUCAUGAUUGCUAUAUGUUACUCUCAUUUACAAAAAAUUUAUAACAACGCAUGUUAUUGCUUAGAGUUGAUAUGAGAACAAUAGUAGUAAGUGCUAUGGUAGAAUAUGAGUAGGCGUUGUCAUAGCUGUUUUCCUCUCAUUGUUACAUGAUGUUUGAACCAUGACAUAUUGCUAGAAUAUGAAAGCCAUUGGCUUAUUUUUUUAAGUUGGGGUAUGAUUAUGACCACGGCAUUUCAAUUCUCUGUCUAUGAUAUGUGUCACUAUUAUAAUAUUCUUAAUUCCACACAUACUCUGAACAUGAUUGUUUAUUUUGUCCUUUUGGUAUCCAAUUUGAAUUGUUGCAGUAGACGCAAAUGCGCUGGCCUUCAUGAUUCCAGGACCUGGAAUCAUACCAGCCGAUGGCUGGUGGUUUAUCGCUCGUUCAGCUGACGGCGGUCAUUUGAUGCUCAUUCGCACGUACCAAAUUGACCAAACCAUUACAUCAAACCACAUGCAGUACAAUGCGUGGGGCGUUUGUGACAUUGAUGGCUAUGGCUGCUUCGUGUUCGAGAAAGAUCCCAGCUCCGUUGGGCCAGGCGUAUUCAACUGGAGGCGGGUUUACAGCCUCGGCAACCACUCCUUGUUCCUCGUGCUCAAUUAUCCGAUCAUCUAACCAAUCAUUGAUCAUAUCAUCGGUGAUGAUUACUGUGCUAUGGAACUUCCAUUCACGAGGGGGGCUGUGUUUACACAUCAUACCAUGGGUUUCAUGAAUCACCAUAUCCAGAGAUUCAUCGACACAGCUUGUUGCCAGAUAAUCUUCAGUGUGUGAAAGGCAUCAAGCUUCCAUGCAAUGGAUGGCUUUUGCAAACCCGACAUGCGGCGAUGUGGUUCAUGCCAACAGCAAAUAUGCACAACUUGAUUCAUGCUGAUAUAUAGACUGAGCCAUGUAUUCUGCUGUUGCAGCAUGACCCUCUUUUGUUGGAUAUUAUGUACUGUUGUUAGUUUGAAGCACUCCUUUGGUUUGAAGGAUAGAUACCUUCCUGGGAUCAUGUGCAUCCUAACUCACCUGCGUAGGAUGUACUGAUAAUGAUGAUGGAGAUGUUGUGCAGAAGCCAUAUAUAUAUCAGUUAGGCUUCAAGUGCGUACUUGUUAGUUAAACCUAUGUAUAAAUUGUGACACUAAAUACGACUAAUAAGUACUCUAGUAUAGUAGCAGUACUAGUAUAUGUCGGUCAAAUUAUUCAUCAUGUCCACACAUUGAAUUGACGUGACAACACGCUGCGCGUGAGGUGACACAACAAUCCCGACGGUGUGUUCGGGUAUUUGGACUUCAGAUUUGGAGUACCACUUAUCUGUCGAAAUCUUUCAUCAUUCACUUAAAACAGUCGAUUGAUCAUACAUUGAGUACCAUAUAACUGGAAUUACCGAUGCAAGUCGAAGAAGGAUUGGUCGGUGCUGCCGGCUGGCAUCAAGUUCGAUCCCACGGAUCAGGAGCUGAUCGAGCACCUUGAGGCCAAAGUGAGUGCUGACAGUGCGAGAUUUCAGUCUCUCAUCGAUUUGUUCAUACCAACCAUCGAUAGCGAGCACGGCAUAUGCUACACCCAACCUGAGAAACUUCCAGGUAAGACACCGAUCGGCCGUCCACUUGCACAAACAUAUUCCUUUGUUUAUAGCUCUAUUUUUCUUUUUAGACGCAGACCUGGUGAAGCAAUUACAAUUUGACAGUUAAUAAAAAGUGAAACAAGUGACUGCAACAUGCCAAAGAUGUUAUGAAAAUGCCAACUAGGUACACUAAAACAUGUAUUCCACAAUACUGCAGGUAUCACACUGAGUGGCCUAAGGAAGCAUUUCUUCCAGCACAAUUCCAGGGCAUUCAAAAGGGGCACGUGGACGCGUCGCAAGAUAAAGUCGGAGUGCGGCAUGCACGCGAUGUGGCACAAGACCGGCAAUACCUUGCCGGUGAUGGUCAACGGCCGGCAGACGGGCAACAAAAAAGGUUCUGGUGCUGCACACCAACAAGAACUUCGACCAGCAUAGGACUAACUGGGUGAUGCACCAGUACCACCUCGGGGACCUGGAGCAAGAGAAGGAGCGGGAGCUGGUCCUCUACAAGAUUUUCUACCAGACGAACACUAGGGCCAGGAGUAAAAAGAUUAUAAGUUAGUUUGGUAUUGGUAGUUGUACUACCUUGUCGUCCGCAAGUUGGUAUUGUUGUUAAUGAUCUUUUGGUACGAACUUGCAUUUUCUUCCAACCAUCAUGCCGAGGGUCGACAUGGAUAUAAAGCUGAAUCACUUGUUUCAAAACGAAUUUUCAGGCACCUGAUUUUUAUUUGAUGGGUAGCAUAAGCACCCGCCGUUAGAAUUCCCAGUUCUCCAAUUUUUUUGAAACAAGUGCAUGCACUUAUUAUCACGAUAAAAAACAAUAUCUGUGCUGCAUCCCAGUUAUCAACCUGUACUUGAAGAAUUCUCUCGUUUAUUGAGCACGUAUAUUGUUUUUUCAGGUCGAGCAAGUUUCAACUGGGCUGUAGACUGCCCAGGGUUGGUUUUGUUUUUAACAGGCCCAGCCCAUGACGACAAUGGGGCACAAAGAUCCAGCAGGUAUCUACUGGCCUCUGGCCCGCCAGCCUUAGUUAUAUUUUGUCUGACAACAUCCGCAUGCAGUUUUUUACUGAAUCAAACACACAACCUAGUUCUAUUAUCCUCUUGAAACGCAUGUCCUACAUCUGUUCUCUAAUCUCUACCUAUAGUUUUACUAGUUCAUAUACACGUAUCAUUAUAUUGAAAACACAUAAAAUUACCUUUUCAUAUUUACAUCCUUAUUUUUGUUGUUUUUUCUCACCCAACGCUGAUUUUUUACCACUGGUUUUCCCUUAAACCAACUCAAUUGUCCCACGUCUUAUUUGCUUACAAAAACAAAACGAUUUUUUUGGUAAAUCAAUAAGUUCUUAAAAAAAUGUUUAUCAUUUUGGGAUUACAACAGUUCGGACUCCACUGAAAUAUGCAAAAUAAGGUUGAACUUUUUGACCGUGGUCCUGGGCAGAAAAUGGGCUGUAAUAAAUUACUUAAGAAUUAGCAAAUGGGCUACAAAUUAUAAAAAAUAGCAAAUGGGCUUUAUGUUGUCUGCCACAUAUUUGGAGGCUGACUUGUGGGCCUACUAAGUUCAUGCGUACACAAGGUUUCUCAAAAAAGAAACUUAGUCAACAAUCGACUCUACCAGCGUCAGACCGUUAGAUGUCAAUCUAACGGCAAUCGUGCUUCUUCAGUCUCUAAUCUUCCUGCCCCAGCCGCCCAAACCAGUGCCAUCGGAACCGCCUCCUCCAGCCUCCCGUGGCCGGCAGUGCUGCCAAGCAGGCCUCACGUCCCCAUCAUACUCACAUCCCUGGCCUGUCUAUCCCUCUACUCACCCACACCUCCUAUUAUUUUCUGGCGCCGGCAGCCGAACCAGUCAACCUUCAUACUCUCCACCCUGUGGGCAGCCACUGUCGUGUCUUCCCCGGCUCCGUGUCGUUCCCUUUGUAGGCCUCGCCGUCGUCCACCGCCCUGGUGCUCUUGGCGCGGCGUGGUCAACGAUGUCCAUCCAAUGGCAGUAGUGCUUCUUCGACCUCUGGUCUUCUAGCCCCAGCCACCCAAAGCAGUGUCGGUCAUGCCGCAUGCUCCUGCCUCCCGUGGCCGGCUGUGCUGCCGCGGAGGACUCACCGUCCCCAUACUACUCCCGCCGCUGGCCAGGCCAUCCCUCCAUUCACCCACUCCCCCUGUUAUUCUGCAGCGACGGCAGCCUCACACCACAGCCAAACCAGUGAACCCUCGUACUCCUCUCCGCGUGGGCAUCCACUGCCGCGUCUUCCCCGGCUCCAUGUCUUCCCCUUCCUAGGCCUCGCCGUCGUCCACCGCCGUGGUGCUCUCGGUGCGGCGUGGUCAAUGUGGUCAACGACCGACUUCCAUCGGAAGAGUACUGUACGUGGAGAGGCUGACAGCUGGGUCCACGACAGCCGCAAGGAAGUGCCUCCUCCACCUGACAAUAGGGACCCACCGGACGGGCCACCAGUAUUUCACAGAAAAACAUUUCCCCCCUGACUGCUGGGACCCACCGGACGGGCCACCAUACUUCGCGAAAAAAACAUUUGCCCCUGACUGCUGGGACCCACCGGACGGACCAUCUAUUUCGCGAAAAAAACGUUCCCCCCGCUGCAGCUCGGACCCACCGGAAGUGCCUCCUUAUUACGCAUAGAAAAAUGAAUACUCCCCCUGCUAGCUGGGACCCACCAUGUGGGAGGCUGACUUGUGGGCCUACUAAGUUGACGGGGACGGAGGGCUUUGUCAACUUAGUCAAUAUGAACGAUUCUAGCUCCAGUGACCAUACGAUGUGCAUUGAACUACCGUCGUGCUUCUUCAAUCUCUGCUCUUCCUGCUCGAGCCGCUCAAACAAGCGCCGGCGGGACUGCCUGCUCCCUCCUCCCCGCGGCCGGGUUUGCUGCCGCGCAGGCCUCACCGCCCCACCGUACUCCCAUCGCUGGCCUAGCCAUCCCUCUACUCACCCACACCUAUUGUUAUUCUCUGGUGAUGGCAGACGAACCAGUAAUCCCUCGUACAGUCGUACUCCCCUCUAUGUGGGAAACAACUACUGAGUCUUCCCUGCCUCCGUGUCAUUCCCUUCCUAGGCCUCGCCACCGUCCACCACCCUGGUGCUCUCGGCGCGGCCUGGUCAAUGUGGUCAACGACCAACAUGCAUCUGAAGUGGACUAUAUGUGGAGAGGCCGACAGCUGGGUCCACGGCCGCAUGCAAGGAAAUGCCUCAUUACGCGCAAAUAAUGAUUCCUCCACCUGACAUCAGGGACUCACCGAAAGGGCCUCUGUAUUUCGUGAAAAAAACGUUACCACCGCUGACAGCUCGGACCCACUAGCUAUAUCUUUGCACGCAAGGAAGUGCCUCCUUAUUACGCACGAAAAAAAUGAAUACUCCCCCUGUUAGCUGGGACCCAGUAUAGUGGCAGGCUGACUUGUGGGCCUACUAAGUUGACGGGGACGGAGGACUUUGUCAACUUAGUCAAUAUGCACGAUUCUAGCUCCAGUAACCGUAAGAUGUCCAUCCAAUGGCCGUAGUGCUUCUUCAACCUCUGGUCUUCUUGCUCCAGCCGCCCAAACCAGCGCCGGUCGUGCCUCGUGCUCCUGCCUCCCGUGGCCGGCUACAAUGCGGUGGAGGCCUCACCACCCCCCUACUACUCCCACCGCUGGCCAGACCAUCCCUCUACUCACCCACACCCCCUAUUAUUCUGCGGCGACGGCACCCUCACACCGCAGCAAACCAGUGAACCCUUGUACUCCUCUACGCGUGGGCAUACACUGCCGCGUCUUCCCUGGCUCCACGCCGUCCCCUUCCUAGGCCUCGCCGUCGUCCACCGCCCUGGUGCUCUCCCCGCGGCGUGGUCAACGUGGUCAAGGAACGACUUCCAUCGGACGUGGAAUGUACGUGGAGAGGCUAACAGCUGGGUCCACGGCCGCAGCAAGGAUGUGCCUCCUUAUUACGUGCAAGAAUAUUAUUCCUCCACCUGACAGCGGGGACCCACUGGACGGGCCACCAUAUUUUGCGAAAAAACGUUUGCCCCUGACUGCUGGGACCCACCAGCUACAUCUUCGCACGCAAGGAAGUGCGUCCCGGCAAUAAAACGACUCGCCCCUGACUACUGGGACCCACUAGCUACAUCUUCGCAGGCAAGGAAUUGCCUGACAGUCGGGACCCACCUGGUCGAAGUGUACGUAGCGUUUUCAUUUUGGUCGCGAACGUGUACGUACAUAUAUACUGGUGGAUGUAGAGGCGCGCACGUGUCGUAGUAGAGGCGCGUACGUGUCAUAGUAGAGGCACACACGUAGCAUGUACACGUACGUACAUCGGCCAGGAUGCAAGAAAGAAAAUACGGCCAUGUAUAUGUACAUAUGGGCGGGGUCUCGAAUGCCUACUCGCGCAUACGUACGGCCAUGGCUCAUGUACAUGGCUGGGUCGGAACGGAGAAACAGCGUCGUCGUCGUGCUCAUGGGGAGGUGUGGCGUCGUCGUGUUCAUGGGGAGGCAAUGGAAUGCGUCGUGUUCACGGGGAAGCAACGGAAUGUGUCGUGUUCAUCGGGAGGCAACAGAACACGAGGGAGCCAACCGGCUGGGUCGGAACGUAAUGUCGUGUUCAUCGGGAGGGCUUGGACGGAACAAGCGAUGGAAACGAGGCCUGGCGUACCGCACAACUGAGGAAACGGACCUCCUACGUUCGAAACGGGGUCCUGUUGAUCGGGAGGGGUCUGGCGUACCGCAAAACGGAGGAAACCGGCCACCUACGGUCGAAACGGGGGUCAUGUUGAUCGGGAGGGGUGUGGCGUACCGCAAAACGGACGAAACGGCCUUGUGUUGGAGCGCUACGGUCGAAAGGGGGGUCCUGUUCAUCGGGAGGGGUGUGGUGUACCGCAAAAUGGGACUCCACAGGAUACUAUUCAUCUCCACCGUCGACCUCCUCCAGCCUCCAGGGGCUACCGUCGACCUCCUCUAGCCUCCACGGGCUCCUGUUCAUCCAACCUCCACCACGCGCUACUCCACUGGCUACUAUUCAACGACCCCUCCACGGGCACCCCUCCAGCAUCUACUGUUCAUCCAGCCCUCCACACCACGGNNNNNNNNNNNNNNNNNNNNNNNNNNNNNNNNNNNNNNNNNNNNNNNNNNNNNNNNNNNNNNNNNNNNNNNNNNNNNNNNNNNNNNNNNNNNNNNNNNNNNNNNNNNNNNNNNNNNNNNNNNNNNNNNNNNNNNNNNNNNNNNNNNNNNNNNNNNNNNNNNNNNNNNNNNNNNNNNNNNNNNNNNNNNNNNNNNNNNNNNNNNNNNNNNNNNNNNNNNNNNNNNNNNNNNNNNNNNNNNNNNNNNNNNNNNNNNNNNNNNNNNNNNNNNNNNNNNNNNNNNNNNNNNNNNNNNNNNNNNNNNNNNNNNNNNNGGCUUCAGUUAGCAGCAGUAGCGAAGGAAUCGCUCGAUCGGAUUCAGUUAACAUCCAUCGAUCGAUCACUUGGGUUCAGUAACGCAUAGCCUGCAGUGCAAUCGCUCGGGUUCAGUAAGAGAGCAACGCCUCGCUCGGGUUCAGUUAGAGCCAACGCCUCGCACACACGCGUGUACGUGUACGAGAGAAACGCGCAUCGCUCGGCCCCCGACCUCCCACCGUAACCGGGAACUCCCCGAAAUUUUCCUCCCCCUCGCUUCUACCACGGUUUUUUCCGUCAUGGACGGCCCAAAGAAUGUCAUGCAGCUGAGUCUCCGGCCCGCCCAGGACGAAAAGCCCAUUUUCUGUCAUGAUUUUUUAUCAUAGAAGUAGGAGCCCACCACAUCUAUGAUGAUACCGGGUUUUGUCACAAUUAUCGUCAUAGAAGUGUCAUAUGUAUGACAAAUUUUUUUGUUCGUUCGGCCCAAAAUGUCACGGAUGUGUCUUUUUUUUGUAGUGCAUGCCGUGGUAAUUUUUUUGUCCCAUUUGGGGCAGGUUAGGAUAUAUGCUUCUCACGAACCAGAGCUUCUCACAACAAGCCGGAUUGUUUCGGUAGGGAACGUCCCACCUUUGGGGCCGAAAUGAUAUCCUUUGCCUCUUAUUGCUUUCAAAAAUUUUCUCGUGUCAACAUAGAACAACAGGAGUGUGAUGUCAAUUUUUGGGAUUUUUUGGGGUUUGUUUGGACAUUUUUAUGCAUUAAUUGAGUUUUCAAUGCAUUUAUGUGCAUAAUUCAAAUUUGAACUACAUGCACAUGCUCUAAUGCAUAUAAAUUGGUUGAAAAUUCAAAUAUGUGUCCUUGGGUGCAUGCUUAGGUCCCAUGCAAGAAAUUGGAAUGAAUUUCUAACACUAGGGCACCAUUGAUUGCCGGCAAAAUGUUGAGAUACUUUGUUUUUAAAUUCUAGUAAAUCUAAAACUUGUUUGAAAUUCAUGAAACUUGGCAUGCUUUCAUGGAAUGGCACCCGAUAUGCUGUGGUAUUUUUCUUGUACAUUUUGAGAGAAGGCGCACUCGAAUAACAGCCAACAAAGGCAUUUUGAUAAAAUAGCCACCACUUUAAUAUCUCAAAUGGUUGUAUUAUUCAAAUCGCAUGCGUUCUAUUAACCAUUCACGUGACGCCAUGUGUCUUUGUUUUAAUGCCUAUAGGAGGUGCCGUGCAGACAGCUGCUUGAUCUUGACUGAAUGGGAGGCGUGCGAGCGGAGUCUGGUGCGUAGGCUGACCGAGAAGCGUGCAAGCUGUCCUCCAAUGCGCAGGUUCACCGGGAAGCGUGUGAGUUGUACGCUGCGCAGACUCACUGGGAAGCGAGCCCUUUGACUUCCAUGGCCGCCCGCCUUCCUCUCCACUAAUCGCGCCCAAGCCGCUAUUUAAUACGAGCGGCCUUACUAUUCGCCUCCCAUUCCCCUCCCUAUCGUAGACCUCCACCAACGCCAUGGCGCAGAAUGAUCAUCUGCCACUAGUCUUCAAGUUUGGAGAAGUUAACUCCGAGCUAGAGAAGAUAGAAAAUAAGGAGGAAUGGCGCCUCAUGGGUAUGUGGCCCAGAACGAGCUAACCGCGGCGGUUGCGCCCCCACUCCCAUCCCCGUGCCCGCGCCAGCGACCACCCCCGUAGCAUUGACGGGCUAGUCGCCGAGCACUACCGCAUAGCUGGAAGCCGCAGGCGUCAGAGAGGUGUCCGCGGACCAGCGCGAGCUCGUGUACAUGCCAGCCCUAGUGCUCGUGCGCACCCAUCCACCCACCGUGGCGCUGGCCCCCGUGCGUUUGGCUGCACCCGCCGCACCCGUGCCCCUAUCCGUGUGCGCCCCUCCACCCACCGCGGUGCCAUUCCCCGUGCAUUUUGCUACACCCAUCACGCCCGUGGCUGUGCCCCCCCCCUCAGCGGCAUGGGACGCAGCUGUCGACAGCUACCUCUCAGCGGCGCCAGUUGCCGUCCUCCCGCACCCCGCCCAUCGCUCGCGCGACGACAUGAUGUUUGAUUUACAAGUGAAGAACAUGUUGCGCUACCUUGAAGACUUCAACAACGGCGUCCCGGAGGACGACAACGACAACGACGGCGCGGCACGCCGCCGUAAUCGGAAAUAGUUCUUUUGGGGGUUUAAUACUGUAUCUUGAAUUCUCGAUCAUAUGAAUAUAAAUUCGGAGUGUGACUGAAUGAAAGAUAUGUUUUGAACGAACUUGCCUUUUUCUCUCUUAAUAUACAGACUUAUCAAACAAUUUUCUUUUGAAAAAAACGUCAAUGGUUUUUAAAUAUGAAACACUCAUCGCAAACGUUUUAGUUAGAACACCCGUACGCAAACCGACAGCUUCCCCAGGAAUCCAAGGGAAAAUGUGCCGAGUAGGAUUUCUGCAUCCCUUCAAUGCAAAUGGUUGUUUUGCAUGACUCGUGUGCAACCACGUAGAAACAAUUGGGUAAGAUUUGCAUCUAUCAUUUUGGGUAUGUUGCCAUUUGUCAAACUGGAAAGAUUGACAUUUGUUUACCUAGUAACAUUGUCAUUUGUUAACCUUGUAACACUGCAAUUCGUCAAAAUAUGCAGCUAUAAAUCACUAGCACUAUCUAAUUUUUGCAACUAAAAUCACUAGCACUGUUCAUAUGGACACCACUAGCCGGCGUGAUUUGAUGGAUGCAUAUGCAAAUGUACCACUGAUUACAUACAGCAAGUCAUCAACUGAGAAUGACAACGAGGAUACACGUUGGAUUAUAUAUCAUUUCCAACAAAACAUUCUAGUAAAGUUUUUCUCACACAAAAAAUAACAAAGAGAUGAAAUGAACUCCAGCUCAACCACUUGUUGUCGUUGGAAACACUUGCUUUGAACCAGAAGUGAUUCUCUGGGGAGGGCCAGCUACUGUCAAUCUCGAGACCAACGCAGGACUGAUCAUCCAGCCUAAAGCAAGCUAUGUUAGGACCCAUAGUGCGAUGGUAGGGAAGCAUAGCAAUUACCGAGGUAUAGAUGCAGUUGCUUCUCAUAAAUGGUAGUUACGUUCUGUCCACAGCAGCUGGAUCGCCUUUCACCAUCAUUGGAUUGCUUUGUCCAAGGAAGAGUGAGUUUCCUCCAAGACUUUCAAUACUGAACCAGGGAGAAGGUGUUGGCGCUAGUACACUAGUAUCCAUCCCGAAUACCCUACAACAGAUGUUGGAAUAAGUCCGGAGAGUGCGACCAUGCAAGACAACACCUGCUUCCUUAGUAACAUCAGUAGUGCCCUGUAUACAGACAAGAAGAGGUGAUCUAUCGGAAUAAGUUGCCAGGCGCCACUAAAUAUAUGCGUCCUGCUCCUCCGCAUUCUCGUGAUCAUCAGCAUCGUCAUCUCCCCCUUGGUUAUAAAUUUUUUCAAAUAUAGCUGGUGGAAUGUUCACAGGACCUUGGAAACACAAGAAGGUUAAUUAAUUAGUAAAGGGAAACUAGCUAACCCGCAUGCAUGUGGAUGAAACAAUUAUAAUUAUGGUGAAAGACAAAUGUACCGAAAGCAUGAUGAUUCUAUGCAAAAACAGUGCCACAAGUAGUGUAAGCAAUAUCUAUCGAGGCGUGGAUGUAAGGAAGGAAACAAGCCUGUCGAAGAUAGCAACAACUUCGUAGUUCGUGUAACCCCAAGAGCGGUUGGGAACUUGACAAAUUGCUAUCCUCCGUAGACGACAGUUACCAUGAUCGUAUUUGAACUCACGUAGAUCAUCUGUGUGCUCAUCCUCUGGGCAGUCUGAGAUUUUGGGAAGUGGAACCCGGUGACGAGUGUACACAUUCACAAGUUCCCACUCACAGUUGUAUCUAAUAUAAAAAACCCAAUCUUCAUUUUGCGCCUACCCAAGCCUUGCCCUCAAGCGAUGGCAUCUUAACAUCACACAUAUCAUUAUCAAGCGGCAUCAACUUGCACAAGAUGAGGCUUCUGUCAUCCCUGCGCCAGUCAGCAGGGCCACGGGAAACAAGAUAGGGGAGAUCAAACCACUCCUAGACCCUUGUAAUGAUGUUAUUAGUUGAGUCGAGAAUGGUCUUGAACGAACCUGCCAUGCUAGCCGAGGUGAUGACGUCGCACCGAUCAAUGAAUUCCUCCACCACGUCAUCUUUCCGAUCGAGGCAAGAAUAAUGGGGUCGUUUCCCUCCUGUUCCCUCCAUGGAGAAGAUGAUUGAACAAUGGCAGAAGAAAGGGUGAAGGCAAAUGAAGGGAGGUAGAGCAUGAGACAACAGUUCCAAAUCGAGAGGGAAAGGCGAAGAGGCGGUGGACGGUUGCCACGGUACUAGAAGAGGCUAGUGGGGAGCGAACGGUUGCCACAAAGGUCAUACAUUAACGACAAGGCCGAGUGAACCGCAUUCCAUAUAUCGCACACACCUUGAUUUGGCCGACCUUUUCUUUUGUGUUGCCUAAUCACAAACAGUUUAUUCGAGUGAACCGUAUGCUCUACAUCGCACACACCUUAAUGUGGAUGACCGUUUCUGUUCUCUUGUCUCAAUUCAAAUAGUUCAUUUGAGUGAACCGCAUGUCGUACAUUGCACACACGUUGAUCUGGCUUAUCGUUUCUUUUGUGUUGCCUAAUCACAAACAGUUCAUCCGAGUGAACCGUAUGCUAUAUAUCGCACACACCUCCAUCUGCCUGCCCAUUUCUUUUGUGUUGCCUCAUCGCAAAAAGUUAAUUGAACUAAACCAUAUGCCCUUCAUCGCACACGCAACUAAAAUCUGAACCGUGUUUGAUGCAUCCGUCGUCGCAAAUGUUUUGCAACUUUUUUGAUGGUUUUUUACACCGCCGUUUGCGAUUAUUGCAUUGCACACAGUUUCGUCGAGGGGUCUCUGAUCGUAGUGUCGCUUUAGUAACAUCCUGCAGUAGUGAAAGGGCUCCCCUGCAGCCCAUCUCCCAAAUGCAACGGGCUAUGGAUGCCCAAGAUUUGAUGUAUGACUGACUUUUUUGUGUCGACUGAGUUCUUUUGUGUUGUUAUUACAGUCAUCGGUGGAGAUUUAAAAAAACAUUGUGGAUUGGUAAGACUAAGUUCGGAUUAUCAUAUUUAAUGGGUCAUAAUUUUUUAUUCCAAAAGAAGAUGUUACACAAAAAAUACAUGAUUGAUUUUGAUAAAUUUAGAUGUUACCAAAGGUCAUGCAUGUCGCUGCUGCAUGAAUUCUACCGAUAUUUCUUUCUUUGAACUGACGUAUAAUGAAUGUAACUGAUUUGGCCCCCUCAGAUCUACCCUUGUUUCAGUUUAUUUUUUCUGAAAAUUGGUGGUAUUUCCGAUUACUCACCAUUUUCAGUUUGGAUGAUAUGAUAAAAGCCCCUAUUUCUGUUUACUUUUUUUCUGCAAAAUUAUUGUUACUAGCCAAUGAUUGAACCAACAAAUUUCAAGUUGUCGACUUCAUAUACCUGAACAUGGUGGCUUCAACUUGGUUACAGUAAUUCUUGGGCAUGAUGCUGGAGUAAUUCUUGAAGUUUCAUAUAUUCUGCUAUUUCUUCAGUUAUCAAUUAGCUUAAUUGCAUACAUAUGAAUAGAUAUGCUUGCUGCACCUAGCAAAAUAGGAUUAGGAGGUGUGUUCAGUGGAGUGGAUUUAAUUGGUUUUGAAAUCUUUGUAAUAUACCAUAUCCAUCGACUUUGCAUUCAUCGUCUCCGUCGACUUCGUCACGAGGCCAUCUGCGAUCACCUGCGCCGACUUGGGAGGAAGACCAUCAAGUAUUGCCUAGAUCUAAUUUGCCACAGGUACUUUUGGAGCAUCGGAUGGGUCUUGUCUAUUUGUCAAUUCGUCAGUUUACUGUAGCCAAUAUAGCUAUUGCCGACAGUAGACUACAUUUGACUGACAAGUAACACAUGCCCUCCUACAUAUAUGGAUUCCGUUUGUACUUGACAGCAAAAGACAAGCAACACAUGCCCUCCUACCCCAUUGUAUGAAUAUGUCUGUUUAAAAACAAGCUAGCAUGUGUGUUCAUUCCUAUAUUUUCUGUUAGGUAUAUUAGUUGAUUUUAUUUACAACAAUUUACAAAAAGAGUUUACUGAUGCUGCUGCUGGAGGUAAUUAGCCAGUCCUGAAUGCUUCUUCUGUUGAUGUUUCUUCUUUAGGUAAAGACCUAGCCAAACGGGGAUAUGCAAUUUUGAUAUGGGGAUCCUCAAUUUGUUUUUUGCAAUAACCUGAAAUUGUUUAGCAAUUAUUUAUUGGCAGCCAAGAAACUUCCUCUGAUAAAUAAUCUACAAUCAGAAAAUUAAGAGUAUGUUAUUCCUCUAAUACAUGUCUUGUUAUCCACGUAGCAGAUCCGUCAUGUUUCUACAAUGUCACAUCCAUGCUCAAGCUAGAAUGCAGAUAGAGGAUUGGACUUUCAGUAUACCACAUAAGUAGAGAUGUGUCAUGCUAUUCAAUCAUGGUUUGGAGAGGUUAAACUUCAUAGUUAGGUUUUUCGGUAUGCUCAGAGAUAAUAAAACUUGAUGAGGCCUCUUACAACACACUGCUGAUAUGACAGAUCGAGGGAAAGAAUUAAAGAAGAUAUUGCUAAAAUGAAAACCAUUUUAAUUGCUAUUUCCUUUACGAAAUCCACUCUUGAGCUUUGUGCCAAUCAAUUUCUUCCUUUGUAUAUGACUUAACCUUCAUUUCCUACUGAGGCAGAUGUAAUUUUGCUUCAGGGUUGGGCAUAGCAGUUCUUCGGAGCCACUAGGCAUCUAUUGAUAGGGAAGAAAGUGUUUCUAUUAGCCCCUUUGAUUUUCUUAUGCUUGGGAAGUUCCUACAUGUAUUAGUAGCUAAUGCUUUUGUCCCGGGCUUUAGGACUCACCUUGCUGCAGAUAGGUGUUCACAUGCUUCAUGCUUUUAAGUAUCUAUUUUCACGGGAUAAUUCAGUCCCUUUGUUUCUUGAGAGGAUAGGACUAACUGAAAAAUAAUAUAUGGCUCACAACAUGAAGAAGCAUGCAACAAUUUAUAAGUUUUGCUGUUUGCUAAACUCCGGUUCUGAUUCAAAACAUACGUACAUUAUUUUUUGAGUUCGCCUUACUUGGUCAGAUUAUAAACUGGUGCAUUUCUAAGAUACAUGUUCAAGCUGAAGAGUUAAAUGUAUUAAGUUUAAUAAAUGAGUAAAUUGUAUUAUAUUUCACCUCGGCUUGAACUCACGGGGUUGUUAAAACAUAGGCUUUAUGGUUUUUACUCUACGUAUGAAACUAGAGCCAUCUUCACUUGCUUUUGCUAUGCUAUUCUUGACAGCACACUAAGAUGGUUAGUUUGCAAAGUUCUUGGAUAAAUUAGGAAGAUAUUGGUAAUCUUUUUGCACAUGUUGGAUUGUCUUAUGCUGCUAACGGAGCCCUGUCGAUGUUGUUCUUAACUUGGUGUACAUAUAAAUUAUUGUCUGAGACUGACUGAGCAGUCUUCAUUAUCAUAAAUGGUGUUCAUAUGGUCUGUAUAUACAAUUGCUUGAUGUUGUUUGCAAAAUUUAAGUAAGUAAAGUUCUGACGGUGGUUUCAUGGUAUGUAUAUUAUCAAUCUGUGUGAUGUAUGUAUAAUUAGAUCACUCCAUCACCAUCUGUAUGAAAGUUCCCAAGUUAGUGUCAUCUACUAGUCAUGGAUGGUCAGUGUUUGUGUGCGACCCGAGGUGCAGAUGAAGAUCUCAUUUGAGUAUUUGACCCGCUACUCCCCAACACCGACUCACAUAAGGAGGACUAAGUGUUUGCUCCUCGGUGAACCCGUUCCAACACACGGGCACAUUUACUAGUAAAAGAAAAAAGGUAAAUCACACAUGCACUUUGGUGUGGCGCUAUCUCUGAGAAUUAGAGACUUCUUGUCCAAGUCUAUGCUAUAGAUGUCUUAGUAGGAAAGUCCUACCCAAGGAUCCUACCUAGUCUCACAUGGCGUCUACGGCGUGGCGGCGAUCGUUGGCCGCAGGGUCGUGGGCAUUGGUGUCCAGCACAGUGGGCUGCAUGGUGCAGUCACCCAUGGCGGCGACGGUUCUGGUGCGCCCAGAUCAGGGCGCCGUUGGCUGCGGGUUGUCGAGGCGCCACCGACGGGGCUUCCUUGCUUCUCCUAGGAUCUUUGCCACUUCAGAUGAUGGUGCUUCAUCUAGGUGACCUGUGUUUGCCUCGCCUUGACCUAGUGUCUCACCGCCUUCGAGUUUGCUACAAGCCAGAUCCAUGGCCCAACGGACUUCUUUGGCCUGAUGCCUGCCUAGAUCUGUGGUGGUGGCCACCGAGGCGGAUGGUUGGUUGUGUCUAGGAGUCCAUGGCCGCCGUCCACUCAAAGGUGGUGUUUCCGUCAUCGGUUGGUCCUCCCUGGUUUUGGCGUCUUGGCUGAAGGACAGGGGGAGGGGGGGCAAACAGGGGUUGUAGUGUGUCGUCUUUGUCAGAUGUAUCCAUGUCGGGCGGCGGUGUGAGUGGUGUGUGCUAGGUGGUGGGUUCUUUUUUAUGUCAAGGCGACGACCUCUGUUGGCAGUCCGCCAAUUCGGCUUUCAGUAGGCGUCUCGCUUUUCUGGUCAUGUCGGCGGUAGAGGAUGUGGCAUUGGGUCGCCCCGGUUUCAGCGGUGCCUUGGCAGCAACGAUUCCAGAUCGUGCUUUGGAAGUUUUGUUUGCUGGCGACAUGUCUUCCUUCUUGUUGGGUAGGUGAUAGAGAGUCCUCGUUUUGGCGAGGUUGAGAGGCUCCAGGCUAAAGAUUUAAUUUAUGCUUUGGCACCAGCGAUGGCUAUGCCUGCGGGUGUCGCGUACCUCUAGGGGGUGUUGUUGAGGUCCGUCUCGUUGAGUCAGGGCUCCGGGUAAAAACCCUAGACCGGUUCCUCAGUCUCGACGACAUUGACAUGUUGUGUCGUCUCCCUAUUAAGGGUGUCAUUGUGGAUCACAUAUUACCUCUGAUGCACCGCACCGUCAUUGGCGGGCAUUUUCAGAUCCCGACUUAGAGCUCCUUUGGCUCUGGCGUGGGCAGAUUCACUAUCCUCCUAUUCUUUUAUGCGGGUCCUCGUUGUGCCACUUGCGGUCCUUGUUUUCCGCAGGAAGUCUCGGGCUUCACAAUCCGAAGUGGGAGGACAGGAGGUCCUCUCCGGCGGGAACUUGGUGUGUGCGGCGAAACAUAGUCUGGUGGUUUCCCUUGGCGGCGAGUCUUCAUCCUUGUUGGUAGUCUAGGUUGCUUUGUGGUAUGGUGUGGACUCUCAUGUAUUCAUGUAUUCUCCUUUGAUCUACUUUAUAAGUGGAUCUCCUCAUCACAAUGUAUCAGUUCGGCUGUGUUGCCUUAUAUAUAAAGUAGGGUGGAAGCCUUUUUGGUAAUCGUCAAUCCCAAUCCAAUGAAAGUCCAAGAUUAAGCUAAAGAAGAACGAGCUGAAAAGAACCUUAAGGGGGCUAGCUGCUAGUCGAAACACUUCACUUGUAGGGAAAAUGAUAUUCUUGAGGCUAGGCCUACUUGCUAGUCAAGCCACUUCUACCGUAGUGAUCCCAAAACCGGGUUAAGUCACACUUCAACGAGGUGAUUAAACCUAUUAAUAAUACAAACUUUUGUGAUGGUCGUAUCAUUUUUCAAAAAAUAUCAAAAUUUCACCAAUUCAUUUAAAAGAUAAGUCAUAUGAUAGAAAACUGGUAAUGUAUAAUGGAAAGAGCAGACAUUGCACGCAUCACAGAAAUCCAAGUAGACUGGUUCAAUCUAACUACACUGGAUUUGUGGCUGAAAUCGUAAAACUAACUAAAUAUGCCACUUGUCUAUCUCUUCCCCUUCCCCAUCCGUCUCCUCACUUUGAGCAAACUAGGUUGUACUUGGAGCCUUGCAACAGCUAGGAAUGGAAAUUACUAAGGCGAAAAACUGGUUGAGCUCGGGCGUAAAUGAACUCAUUAACUUUGGAUAUAAGAGAACACAUGAAAGUUGUUGGUUUCACAACACCAAUUUCUUCUAAUAUCCUUGACCCCUUCACUUACCACAAGUCGUAAAUAUUUACCUAAUAAUAAAUCGACUAUUGCCUCUGGCGGUACGUCAUGAAAAUUACCCCGAAAUUGCCAUAAAUUACCCAUAAUGCCAUCAAUGAGUGAAGAAAACAAUUCAAUUUUUUUUCAAAGUCGUCGUCGUCGGAUUCGUCUCUUAUAUGAUGAUACCCUUACAUAUAUCAGAAGGAAACGCGUACCGCAAUGGCUAGAGCCGCUGUCUUUCACCCCAGAGACCCGGGUUUGAUCCCAGGUACUACCCUUUUCCCUUCUACUUUUCUCUCUUAACAGCGAGCGGGCUUCCUCCACCCCGCACGCAUUCAUGGGCUGGGCCAUCUUGCUCUUUUUUCUUUUCCUCUUUCUGUUUUUCCUUCUUCAAAUUAAUUUCGGAUUUCCAAAAGUUGUUAGUUUUGAAUUUUAUUUGAGAAAUCGUAAAUGUUCAUUAAUUGAUAAAAUGUUCAGGAAAUCAUGAAAUGUCCAGUAUAUUAAAAAACUGUUCGCAUAAUUUUUGCGAGAUCAUAAAAUUAUCAUGAAUACAAAAAAUGUUUGGAAAAACAUGGAAAAUGCAUUUAUUAAAAAAUCAUGAUUUCGAAAAAAAUCACAAAAAAUACUCAUGACAUGGCCCUUUUUUUCUUUUCCGGUUUUUGUUUUUCCUUCUUCAAAUUAAUUCAGGAUUUCCAAAAGUUGUCAGUUUUGGAUUUUAUUGGAGAAAUCAUAAAAUGUUCAUGAAUACAUAAAAUGUUUUGGAGUCACAAAAUGUCCAGUAUUUUAAAAAACUAUUCACAUUGUUUUUGCAAAAUCAUAAAAUUUUCAUGAACUCAAAAAAAGUUUGUAAAAUUAUAAAAUGUCUAGUAUUUUGAAUAAACGUUUGCACUAAUAAAACGAAAUCAUGAUUUCGAAAAAAUGUUCGCAAAAAAUAGUCAUGAUUUUAGAAAAUAUGAUCAUGUAUUUCGGGAAUUUGAAAAAAUGUUCGAAAAAAAAUUAAGCAGAUAUGUAAAUAACGAACAUAACUAACCUGCUUAUAUAGAGGUUUUUUUUAAUAUGUAGAGGUUGUUUUAUGAUUUUAUUUAGUACAAGCGAGUUGUGUAAAAAAGGUUUCCAUAUUCUGCACAACGUUGAGCCCAAAAAAAUUGACAAAACUUUCUACGGAUUAGCUUUUGUAAGCUGUAUGAAAAUGAUUAAAUAUCUAAUUUGCCUCCAUACUAUUCUGGUACUAUAUAGUUUUACUAGGCAGGGUAAACACCGUGACCCUAGGUGAUGACGGAGACACAUCAUUUUCAUUAGUCUAGCUUAGGUGGAGUCCAUCAAUACAGUUUUCUCUGCCAGAAAAUAUUUUGUUGUGGUGCCUUAGGAAAUCAAGUCAUGAUGAGACCAUCACAUUUUUAGCCUUUGAAAUGACUUUUUAGAAGUUCCUUAUCUCAUCAUGACAUGAUUAAGACGCAGUUUAUGAAAUCGUAAUUUAAAGGUCCCAAUCUCAUCCUGGCAUAUGUUUCAGAAUUUUUAUCUCCACCACAUAUGCAUAAUCUGAUUGUUUUUCUCCCGUUGCAACGUACGAGCAUAUUUUCUAGUAGGACCAUAAAAUGAUACAUGAACAAACAUAAUUUAGACAAUUUGAGAAGAAGGCUUUAUUAGUUUCACAAACGUUCUCAUACAAAGUGCUUAACAUAAACUUUUCGGAGCACAGCUUCACGAAUUACAGAUCUGAAUGGAAUGCUAUUGUGAGGCCAGGUACAUGGAAUGUAAAAGCCAAUACUUCUCCUCCCACAGCUAAACUAGAGUCACUACUCCAGAGGAGGGAAUGUGUAACCUGCAAGACCAUUCAAUUUGACCCAACAUAUGAUUAUAAUAGCACAAGAAGCAUAUAAAAAUGCAUAACUAAAAUCAAAACCGUGUGAAUCUGAAGAAUAACAAGUAUCAAAAUUGCAUGUAUGCAAUGCCGAUCAUCAUAAUUCCCUUAAUAUAUUUCACUUACUUCC
rnacentral:lncRNA from 1 species